rnacentral:lncRNA from 1 species
ACUUGCAAGGAUGGCAAUCAGAUCGACAUCCGCACAAUGCUGAUAUGAACAUUGUCUUGAUACAACUUUAUUUGUAUUUUAUUUCAGAAUUUAAACAACUAGUUUGGGCGGGUCACACAUGGUGUUGUGUGACACUUUAUUUGUCACCGCUACAUCGACAUAUCCAUCGACUAAACAACGGUGAUCCAACUAUAUAUUAAUAGAGAUCUUUUCUUAUCAGUAGGCACCAACUCCAGUGCCAACGCCGAAUGGCGCACUAGUGGUGGUUCCGUACAACGGCACGUUGACAUUGCACAUCGUUGGCAAGGUACGGAGUGCAAUGGAAGUCAUCACCUCAAAUUGAGCUAUCUGGUGUGGCUGCAAAAAGGUACCCUGUGCCAAUUGUUGUUGUUGAGGUUGUUGCCCGAGUUGCUGCUGCGAUUGUUGUUGGGGUUGGGAGACACAUUGGCCCAACUGUUGGGGUUGUUGUUGCUGAGCUUGGAUGAUACUCUGAACUUGUUGUUGUUGUUGUUGUUGUUGCUGCAGGAUGAUAGAGUAGAUGAUAGCACGGAUUGACUCAUGGCGGGAUUGCCCGGGGAUUUGCCGCAACUGUUGGCAACAUUGUUGCUGCAUCACAUGGCAAAUCCUCUGCUGCAACAUUUGUGACCUAGCAAGACAUCGCUGCAUUGCCACAGGGAUGCACUGCUGCUGGAGGAAUACCUUGCAUGGGUUUAGUUGCUGCAAAACAGAUGGAUGAAUAACUGGUAUUUGUUGUUGCUGUGAAAAUGGUGGUUGUUGUUGCUGCGAAAAUGGUGGUUGUUGUUGCUGUGAAAUUGGUGGCUGUUGUGAAAACGGUGGUUGUUGUUGUUGUGAAAAUGGUGGUUGUUGUUGUUGCUGCUGCGAAAAUGGUNNNNNNNNNNNNNNNNNNNNNNNNNNNNNNNNNNNNNNNNNNNNNNNNNNNNNNNNNNNNNNNNNNNNNNNNNNNNNNNNNNNNNNNNNNNNNNNNNNNNNNNNNNNNNNNNNNNNNNNNNNNNNNNNNNNNNNNNNNNNNNNNNNNNNNNNNNNNNNNNNNNNNAAUUGGUGGCUGUUGUGAAAACGGUGGUUGGUGUUGCUGCAAAAAUGGUGGUUGUUGUUGUUGUUGCUGCGAAAAUGGUGAUUGUUGUUGUUGCGAAAAUGGUGGUUGCUAUUGCUGUGAAUAUGGUGGCUCUUGUUGCUGCGAAAAUGGUGGUUGUUGUUGCUGCGGAAAUGGUUGUUGUUGUUGUUGUUGCUGUGAAAUUUGCGCAACGGCACUUGCCGCCGCAAGAGCGAGGAGGGAAAAGACGAGGAAUGUCUUCAUUGUGGAUUGAUGUCAACUAGUGUUGCUUGGUUUUGAUGCUUGUGCUUGUGAUGAUCUUUAUACUUCAUGCCUAUUUAUAGUAGCCCGGGCACCACCUCUUUUCUUCUUUGCAUCAGCUUUAAUAAAUUUGUUUGGCUGCAUCUGAAAUGAAUUUUUUUGGUACAUUGUGUUUGGUUGCGCUAGCUACAAGCGUACUUUUGGAUUAAUCAUCAAAGUUGCUUUUUAGUUGUGCAUAUGAUCACACACGAAGUACAGAAACCCUGAUGUUUGUUAUAUAUGACUCAUCUUAUUCACUUUACAUGUCACACACUUAUCAAGAUAGUAUCACUUUUGCAACCGAGUUUGGAACCUUGUAUAGGCUAUCAACCAUAAACUAAAAAGGCAAAACUUUUGUAGGACUAAGUUGCAAUCGUGUGUGGGCUGUUAAGAUAUGCUCGAUUAUUAAAGCCUUGCGUGUGGAGGGUUCUUCUAGAGUUGGUUGCUUUUUAUAACUAAUUUUGUAUUUUCCACUAAGAUGAUAAGAUGAACCGACGCCUAUAGAGCAUGACAUGACUCAUCGAAUUCCCUUUAUAUGAAAAGGAUGAUAAUUGCUUACAAGAUACUCCUACUAGCAUAUAUUCGGUCCUAAGUCUAGACAUGUCAUCAUUAGUUCCGUGUUUUUGUUUAGAUAAAUCAUCAGUUCCAUCUAUUUGUGAAAGCUUUUGGGGGGGGGUGACAGUUUUUUUUGGCGCUAGGGGAAAAAUCUUUUUUGAUCUAGGGGGAAAUGAUAGAUGGGGCUGGAACAGAGGCCCGCAGCCUAGAGCGAGAGAUUAGGCCCAACAUAAGCGCUGUGUGUUAGGGCACCAAUUCGAAUUGGGCUAUAGUUUUCGUAGGCCCCAAUGUCACAAGCCGAACUCACACUCCGCAGAUCUGCGUCAUCUCCUUGCUCGUCCUCCUCGCCGGUCAGACCUCUCGUCGGCGUAGCCUCUCCUGGAUCCCACCGCCUGCGGCCGGUCACAUACGUCUGAGGCAGCGGAGGCGGAAGCCUCCCUCCUGCCCUCCGCACCCGCUACCACCACCAUUGGUCGACAAAAAGGUCACUUUUGAAGCUCCUUCGUCGAUUGCGGGCCGUACGUCGACGGCAGCCACUCCGGCCUCCCCGCUAAAACAAGGUAUCGAUCCUGGCCGUCUGUCUCCUCCAACGAUUCAAUUCACAUGAAUUCGAGAGGCGUACCCAUCUCCAUGCCAGCCACAUGAAUCAGGAGGGUCAUGAAGCAGGAUUCAUCUGCGUAGCCUGAUAGUGACAUACAUUUGUGGCUUUGGUAGCUAAGCAACUUUGUGCUUUCUAUGGAUGUCACUUCAAAAGUUCAAAUAAUCAUCAAAUUUCCGCCUUUGGGUGCUGCAGGUGGAGUGGAGGACAUUCAGUUUCCCUCUGAUGUCCGAGAAGUCCGUCUUCGGUGCAGCAAUUGUGGGUGUCAAAACCGGGGGAUCUCGGGUAGAGGGUCCCGAACUGUGCGUCUAAGGCGGAUGGUAACAGGAGGCAGGGGACACAAUGUUUACCCAGGUUUGGGCCCUCUCGAUGGAGGUAAUACCCUACUUCCUGCUUGAUUGAUCUUGAUGAUAUGAGUAUUACAAGAGUUGAUCUACCACGAGAUCGUAGUGGCCAAAUCCUAGAAGCUAGCUUAUGAUUAUGAUUGUUGUUGUCCUACGGACUAAACCCUCCGGUUUAUAUAGACACCGGAGGGGGCUAGGGUUACACAGAGUCGGUUACAAGGGAGGAGAUCUACAUAUCCGAAUUGCCAAGCUUGCCUUCCACGCAAAGGAGAGUCCCACCCGGACACGAGAUGAAGUCUUCAAUCUUGUAUCUUCGUAGUCCGGCCGAAGGAUAUAGUCCGGCUGUCCGAGGACCCCCUAAUUCAUGACUCCCUCAGUAGCUCCUGAACCAGGCUUCAAUGACGAUGAGUCCGGCGCACAGAUUGUCUUCGGCAUUGCAAGGCGGGUUCUUCCUCUGAAUACUCCAUAGAAGAUUUCAAACACAAGGACAGUGUCCGGCUCUGCAAAACAAAUUCCACAUACCACCGUAGAGAGUAUAAUAUUUUCACAAAUCUAAUCUGCUGACAACUUUUCAUAACGUGACAUCACGCCAUGGCCUGGUCAUUAUUUGAACCGUUUUUCUCAACCAACUACUACACAUAUUGCGAGGCGGUUUUCUUGACAUGUCUUGUCAAAGCAGAGAUCGUGUCCCCUUAUCAUGAGAUUCUAAUCAAUAUGGGCGUGGGUAACCCAACCGCGCCAUCAAUCACGAUGCUUGGGGAAUAAGCGAGUUUACCAGUCAAGUGGGGAGGCAUAGAAUCCCUGCUGCCUUUAUAAGGGGAUAAGGACUCCCUUUCGCACCCACGCUUUCUUCUUCCCGAUCCAUUCCCCUUUGCCCGAGCUCCAGCAAUAGAGCGUUCGUCUUCUCUGCCCACAAAGGCCUUCCGAAAAUGUCCGGAUCAUGAGCAGGAGGCAAGUGGAUGGCCUCUACUGUCGAGGAGAAGCAUAUCAAAAAGUUUUGGGAGGCCGGGUAUCUGGCCAAAAAAAUCGACCACCGUCUCCCGACGGCGGGACAGAACGUUCCUACUCCGGAACCCCAAGAGAGGGUUGUAUUCCUCCCUCAUUUUGUCUGCGGGCUAGGGUUUCCCCUCCACCCGUUCGUUCGCGGCAUCAUGUAUUAUUACGGGAUCGAUUUUCAUGAUGUAUCCCCCAAUUCCUUCCUCAACUUCUCGACAUUCAUCAUCGUGUGCGAGGCUUUUCUCCGCAUCUCGCCACACUUCGGCUUAUGCCUGAAGAUCUUUAAUGUGAAGGCCAAGGUGGUGAGCGGCGAGCACGCCGAGUGUGGGGGCGCCAUGGUGAGCAAGAUGCCCAAUGUCACCUGGCCAACAUGUACUUUUAAUGAUUCCAUCAAAUAGUGGCAACAACAGUGGUUUUACAUUACUAAGCCACGCAGCACGGAAUGGGCCGCUGCUCCAGAGUUCCGAUCCAGAGCCCCUCUGCGGCUUACGUCCUGGCCCAAGAAGGGCCUGAACUGGUCUUCGUCUGACGAACUGUCUAUGCUCCAGACGCGCAUUAAAGAUAUGGAAGACAAGAACAUCGAACUUGUCAUUGUAGUCCAGGUGAUGUUAGUUCGCGGGAUCCUGCCUUGUCAGCACCAGACUUGCAAUAUGUGGGAAUUCGAUCCGGCCAAGCACCAGACCCUGUGAAAACUCUUUGGAUCCUCGCACGAAGACAUCUGGAAGGUGCUUUUCAAGUCUGGAAAAUCAUGGACGGACUCGGCCGAGGACCGUGGGUAUCAACUGUCCCGCCCUGCAAGCUCGGUAAGUUUUAUGCGUUUUACCCGCAUAACCCAAGGGAAAUGCCUAAUGUGUUUUCCUCAAUUCCCCUAGGGCUGGACGAAGAAGGCGGGGCGGAUCCACUGUCCGGUCCCGUUGCCCGAAGAACCGGCCGGCCCACUUCUGACGAAGAUGCUGGCCCCGGCGCCAUACAAGGCACCGAAGAAGAAGACCAAGGAGGCCAAAAAGACCCGAGGCGGCCUUCGUCGCCGCGGCACUUCAGCCACAAUAUCCGAAGGCUCCAAACCCCGUUCUGCCUCUGAAGAGGACGAGGAGGAGGAAGACGAAUCCCCAGUGGGGGGAAGAAAAGAAGAGGGCGGCCUCCAUACACUUGGAGGCCGAGUCACCUAAAAGGGGAAAAGAUCCUCUUCGUGAAGAGUCCACUGCCGCCGCCGACAGCAGCCCGGCAUGGGAUCCCAGGGCCCAGCCCCUGGUGAACUCGUGAGUAUAAAAUCCGAACACGUUUAUGCGUCCAGACUCAUCAUGGCAUAAUAUUUUAACCUGAGCUAUAUUUUUUUCAGUCCGGCGAGGUCCCGCACCAAAUGAUCCUCAUCAGAGGAUUCGCUAAGCUCGGAUGCUAUAGAGAGCGGGACGCCCCCAAAGGCCCCUUCCCCCAAAUGUGUGCAUAACACCGAGGCUUCGUCCCAGAAGGACCCCGGCCAAGGAGGGGGGGAAGAGAUCGUGAAAGCAGCGCCUGGAGUUCAAACUUCGGGGGCCGGAGACAUGGGGGAGAAGAUUCCCAUGGGAGUCGACGGCGGGAGCCAUCUUGAAUUCGGCUCCCAGCCGGGCGCAAUUCCGGAGACCAAUACGGCUCGAAAAUCAAGCAGGCGGCCUCCCUCGGUUGGAGGGGGCGUGCCUGUUCCACCGGCAAUCUCUGUCCAGCCAGAGGUGCCGGAUGUUUUGUUGGCGGCGCUGAAGAGCGCCUCCAUCGUCGAUGAACACCGUGCCCUGAUGGGUGUGGUGAUUAAGGAGAUUCAGUCUGCUGAGAGUGGACUGAAUGAAGCUUGUAUCAGCCUUAUAAGAGGCUUUGAGGUAUGUUUUAUGAGGUUUCGAAGAGUGUCAUAGUAUGGAUAGUAGCCCCUGAUACACUGUUCGGUGCAAGAAAGGACCGAACAAAGGAUCAAUUUUAUGUUCGCAGGAAGACUCACUUGAUGACAUCUAUCUCUCUUCUUUUAUAAGCAGGUGUCUGCAGUGGCUGCUGCCUCUCAUGCUGCGGAGGUCUCCGGACUAAAUCAAAGUCUGGAGCGGGCCGAAGAAGAACUUGGCCAGUUGAAAAGCCAGUUGGAAGAUAAACAAGGUAUGCGCAAGCAGGGGCGGAAUUGGGCCUAUGGCAACUAGGGCUAUAGCCCCAGGCGUGGCCCAACUAGUGCUAUUAGAUCCAGAUGAAAAUUUUCAGAUUUUUAGAUUUUAAGAGGCCCAGCCCCAGGCGUGACCACCCAGCUCCAGGCCUCAGCCGCUCAGCCCAUGUACCUUCUGAGGCUCGCAGCCCAACUAGCUCUGCAUAUUUUGCUCCUAACAAAAGCUAUGCAUCGCCAAGCAGCAGGAAGCCAUGCCCACGUUUUGCCCUAAGGAAACGUUUUUGCUAACAAAACAACGCCCACGUUUUCCCCUAAAAAAACCUUUUUGCUAGAAAAACGACGCCCAGGUUUGAUCGUUGGUCUGUUGCGAUUCCAAAGGAAUCGAUCGCACGACGAUUCGAUCGAUCUGACAAAACAUAGUUGCCUUGUUCCGUGCGCCGCCUGAGGUGUUUCCCUUCCCCUCGAUGGCUCGACAGACCUGCGCAUGGCCUCGUCACUUCGUCGGAGCAGCCCCCUCCAAGUCCAACCUUCUGGUCUUUUCCAUCUCCACAACCGGCAACGUCUUGUUCUUCUCCGUUUCCACAACCGGCUAGACUGGUAUUUUCUACUUUGGUGUAUCGUCUAUCUUUUUGCUAGAUCCAAGAUGAUUAAAUUGUACUCGUAUUACUUUAGUCAAUUUUUGUUUCGGUAAUUUGUAAAAGCAAAAAUAGAUAGAAACCCAAGAUGAAUAGGAUACGUACGAUUGUUUUAAGCAACAUCCAGCCAGCCUUCAUCGAACAAUACCAACAUCAUCAUUGUUAAACUAUUUUGUUCUAUUAAAUUUCCUCUUGUGGUAAAAAUGAAUUCAUAUAUCAUUUUUAAAGUGAAGUUGUGAUUCCCGCCAGAAAAAACUGAAUUUGUGACGUACUUGUAACAUGCACUGGUUUGUGUGGUAUAGUUACUUAGUUUUAGUCCUAGGCUUUGAGAAAUCCUGGCUCCGCCUCUGUGCGCAAGCCUUGUUCGCAUUUGGUGCAAACAAAUUCUCAUUAUGAUAAAAUAUGUUUCAUUAUUUGCGCCAGGGGUGAUGACCGAAGUCGAGGCUUUGAGGAAGGCAGUUGCCGAGGCCGAGGAAAAGGCGGCCGCAGAGCAGGCUCUUCGUGAGAAGCACGAGGCCAGGGUUAUUGAAGCUGAGCAGGAGCUUCAAGAGUCCGUGAAGAAAUGCGAGACCUUGGAGCAGAGUUUAGCGGAGAAAGAAUCCGAACUCGCCAGGGCUCAUCAGGCCGCGCGCGAUGCCCAGGGGGAAACCCAAGGCGCCCUGCAGGAGAUCCAAGAGGCGAGGACGAUCACGGCGGGUAAGGCUUUUUUCCAUGUAAAGCAAGUAUUUGAGGAGAAAACCAUGUUUCUAAUUUUGAGUUCGGAUUUCUCCAGGGGUAUUUGCGGAACUACCCCGCAGCAUAUCGGAUGCCGCCCAAUUCUACCGAGCCAAAGAAGGGAACACUGCGGAUAAUCUCUUCUGGUCGCAGUAUUUAGCACCGAUUUAUCCGCUGCCUUUUGCCGACCAAAUGAAACAACUGAUCGAACUGCAUAGGGCGGCCGAACUAGCCAUGAAGGAUUUGAUUAUCCGGCUAUGGCCUGCCGAGCCGAUUCCAGGCAGCUACUUCGGGCUCGUGAAGCGGCUUGUGAGUGCCUGCCCUCGACUUGAUGUCAUCAAGCGGUCGGUCUAUAUAGAGGGUGCGCGAAUAGCCUUCACUCGCGCAAAUGUGCACUGGGGGAAGAUGGAUGCUGAAAAGCUGAUGACCGAGGGACCGCCAGAGGGGAAGGAGCACCGCAAGCCCGAAUUAUAUUAUGAAAGUGUCCUCAAAGGAUCAUGCCUAGCGGCGGAGCAAUGCACCAAGGACAUUAUAUUUCCAUGAAUACAAUCAUGUUGUCAUUUGUAAUGUCGAACAAGGUCAUUUCUAUUAUUUAUUGCCUGUUAUAUACAAGUUUAUCCUCCUACACGGCCGUUUUAUAUAUUAAUCCUGAGAGUUGGCCAGUGAUAUGUCUCCAACAUAUCUAUAAUUUUUUAUUGUUCCAUGCUAUAUUAUAUUCUGUUUUGUACAUUAUUGGGCUUUAUUAUACACUUCUAUAUUAUUUUUGGGACUAACCUAUUAACCGGAGGCCCAGCCCAGAAUUGCUGUUUUUUUGCCUAUUUUAGGGUUUCGCAGAAAAAGAAUAUCAAACGGAGUCCAGACUGAAUGAAACAUUCGAAAGCAUGAUUUUCGGAACGAACGUGAUCCAGAGGACUUGGACCCUACGUCAAGCAAUCAACGAGGAAGACACGAGGUAGGGGGGCGCGCCUACCCUCCCUCAGGCGCGCCCUCCACCCUCAUGGGCCCCCUAUUGCUCCACCGACAUACUCCUUCCUCCUAUAUAUACCUACGUACCCCCAAACUACCAGAUACGGAGCCAAAACGCUAAUUCCACCGCCGCAACUUUCUGUAUCCACGAGAUCCCAUCUUGGGGCCUUUUCCGGAGCUCCGCCGGAGGGGGCAUCGAUCACGGAGGGCUUGUACAUCAUCACCAUAGCCCCUCCGAUGAAGUGUGAGUAGUUCACCUCAGACCUACGGGUCCAUAGUUAUUAGCUAGAUGGCUUCUUCUCUCUUUUUGGAUCUCAAUACAAAGUUCUCCCCCUCUCUUUUGGAGAUCUAUUCGAUGUAAUCUUCUUUUGCGGUGUGUUUGUUGAGGCCGAUGAAUUGUGGGUUUAUGAUCAAGUUUAUCUAUGAACAAUAUUUGAAUCUUAUCUGAAUUCUUUCAUGUAUGAUUGGUUAUCUUUGCAAGUCUCUUCGAAUUAUCAGUUUGGUUUGGCCUACUAGAUUGAUCUUUCUUGCAAUGGGAGAAGUGCUUAGCUUCGGGUUCAAUCUUGCGGUGUCCUUUCCCAGUGACAGUAGGGGCAGCAAGGCACGUAUUGUAUUGUUGCCAUCGAGGAUAACAAGAUGGGUUUUAUAUCAUAUUGCAUGAGUUUAUCCCUCUACAUCAUGUCAUCUUGCUUAAAGCGUUACUCUGUUCUCUUGAAUUUAAUACUCUAGAUGCAUGCUGGAUAGCGGUCGAUGUGUGGAGUAAUAGUAGUAGAUGCAGGCAGGAGUCGGUCUACUUGUCUCGGAUGUGAUGCCUAUAUACAUGAUCAUACCUAUAUAUUCUCAUAACUAUGCUCAAUUCUGUCAAUUGCUCAACAGUAAUUUGUUUAUCCACCGUGAAUACUUAUGCUCUUGAGAGAAGCCACUUGUGAGACCUAUGGCCCCCGGGUCUAUUUUCCAUCAUAUUAAUCUUCCAACACUUAGUUAUAUUUAUUUCCUUUUAUUUUACUUUGCAUCUUUUAUUUCUCUUUAUCAUAAAAUACCAAAAAUAUUAUCUUAUCAUAUCUAUCAGAUCUCACUCUCGUAAGUGACCGUGUAGGGAUUGAAAACCCUUUAUCGCGUUGGUUGCGAGGAUUUAUUUGUUUGUGUAGGUGCGACGGACUCGUGUGUGGCCUGCUACUGGAUUGAUACCUUGGUUCUCAAAAACUGAGGGAAAUAGUUACGCUACUUUGCUGCAUCACUCUUUCCUCUUCAAGGGAAAACCAACGCAAGUGCUCAAGAGGUAGCAGCCAGUCGUCGGCUUCUGCCCCCACGUAGGAAGUACGGGGGUGUUCGGGAUAAACCACGUAAGGCAGCAAAACAUGGGAGUCGGGCAAACCCAACAUUUGACCCAAGACAUGAUUCGGAGCUGAUGCAUGUAAUGCUAUAAGUUCGGGGUGCCGAACUUCCAUGAAGGCGUUCGAACUUUAUUGCCGUAUUAUGGCUAAAACGAAGCCCUUGGCCUAUUUAAAGCAUAUCACGGUGUACGGAUGCCACUUGACAAAAGAAUUUCAAUAAGAAAUAACAACAGAUAAGCGUUAUAUAAACCCACAUGUUGUAUUUGAAUAGUAAGUCGAUGUGUGUGAGUACGGGUAAUGUGAUAAAAAAAGAAAUAUGACUGUGGAACCUGCUGAGACCAGGGGGAAGAAGGUGUGUGCGGAUCCGGAGUAUAGUCGGAUGGUCAUCGCGGGGAAUAUCUAAGGAUUCCCUUGCGCGUUCGAGCUGCUUCCAUAUCGCCAGUCCUGGUCUGCGCAAAGUUGAACCUACAAACAAAAUGUAAGAAAUGCUUGUGUGCCGCAGAGCGGUUGAGCCGCGGUAUGUGGCCUGUCGUGGCUUUCGCCGGAGUGUUUAAUUGAGCUCUGGACGAGCCGGGCUAUCUUGCCGCGAAGUAGUUCGAAGUCCUUUGGCGGUGUCCGGGAAUCGGGUCGUCGAGUCGAGGUUCGGUUGGGAGGUGCCACUUGUAGCUUCUGUUGUUAAAGCAGCAGUAUACUCUUUGGUGUCGUGGGGAAGUUCGGCCUUGCCAUUAACCGUGAUGACGCCUAAUGUCUACUACACAACCUUCUUCUUGUAGACGUUGUUGGGCCUCCAAGUGCAGAGGUUUGUAGGACAGUAGCGAAUUUCCCUCAAAUGGAUUACCUAAGGUUUAUCAAUCCGUAGGAGGCGUAGGAUGAAGAUGGUCUCUCUCAAGCAACCCUGCAACCAAAUAACAAAGAGUCUCUUGUGUCCCCAACACACCCAAUACAAUGGUAAAUUGUAUAGGUGCACUAGUUCGGCGAAGAGAUGGUGAUACAAGUGGUAUAUGGAUGGUAGAUAAAGGUUUUUGUAAUAUGAAAAUAUAAAAACAGCAAGGUAACUAAUGAUAGAAGUGAGUGUAAAUGGUAUUGCAAUGCUAGGAAACAAGGCCUAGGGUUCAUACUUUCACUAGUGCAAGCUCCCUCAACAAUAAUAACAUAAUUGGAUCACAUAAUUAUCCCUCAACAUGCAACAAAGAGUCACUCCAAAGUCACUAAUAGCGGAGAACGAACGAAGAGAUUAUGGUAGGGUACGAAACCACCUCAAAGUUAUUCUUUCCAAUCAAUCCGUUGGGCUAUUCCUAUAAGUGUCACAAACAGCCCUAGAGUUCGUACUAGAAAAACACCUUCAGACACAAAUCAACCAAAACCCUAAUGUCACCUAGAUACUCCAAUGUCACCUCAAGUAUCCGUGGGUAUGAUUAUAUGAUAUGCAUCACACAAUCUUAGAUUCAUCUAUUCAACCAACACAUAGAACCUCAAAGAGUGCCCUAAAGUUUCUACCGGAGAAUCAUGACGAAAACGUGUGCCAACCCCUAUGCAUAGGUUCAUGGGCGGAACCCGCAAGUUGAUCACCAAAACAUACAUCAAGUGAAUCACGUGGUAUCCCAUUGUCACCACAGAUACGCACGACAAGACAUACAUCAAGUGUUCUCAAAUCUUUAAAGACUCAAUCCGAUAAGAUAACUUCAUAGGGAAAACUCAAUCCAUUACAAGAGAUUAGGGGGGCAGAAAACAUCAUAAGAUGCAACUAUAAUAGCAAAGCUCGCUGAGGGAGUCCUGGAUUAGGGAUUCUCCGGAUAGCCGGACUAUAUCCUUUGGCCGGACUGUUGGACUAUGAAGAUACAAGAUUGAAGACUUCGUCCCGUGUCCGGAUGGGACUCUACUUGGCGUGGAAGGCAAGCUAGGCAAUAUGGAUAUGUAUAUAUCCUCCUUUGUAACCGACCUUGUGUAACCCUAGCCCCCUCCGGUGUCUAUGUAAACCGUAGGGUUUUAGUCCGUAGGACAACAUACAAUCAUACCAUAGGCUAGCUUCUAGGGCUUAGCCUCUUUGAUCUCGUGGUAGAUCAACUCUUGUAAUACUCAUAUCAUCAAGAACAAUCAAGCAGGACGUAGGGUAUUACCUCCAUCAAGAGGGCCCGAACCUGGGUAAACAUCGUGUCCCUGCCUCCUGUUACCAUCCGCCUUAGACGCAUAGUUCGGGACCCCCUACCGGAGAUCCGCCGGUUUUGAAACUGACAUUGGUGCUUUCAUUGAGAAUUCCACUGUGCCGUCACCAUAAGGCUUGAUGGCUCCUUCAAUCAUCGCUAGCGAUGCGGUCCAGGGUGAGGCUUUCCUCCCCAGACAGAUCUCCAUAUUCGGCGGCUUUGCACUGCGGGCCAAUUCGUUUGGCCGUCUAGAGCAGAUCGAGAGCUACGCCCCUAGCCAUCAGGUCAAAUUUGGAAACUUGAGCUACACGCCGACAUCCGCGGAGACUUGAUCUUCGGCGGAUUCGAGCCCAGGUCGGACGCGCCGCACAGUCGCGAUGAGCAUGACGUAACUCUGUCAUCGGACAAUGUUCGGGAGAUCGCAUCCGCAACUACUCCGUCCAUCAAUCCGGAGCAAGUCGCACCAUCCGAGAGCGGAGGGAUGGACCCCGCCAUGGAGGCCGCACUGUCAGUGGCGAUAGAGCCGGAUACUGACUUCACCCCUUACGAGAGCCGUGUCGCCGAACCACUGGAUUCAUCUCCGGCCACGGACUCCGAGCCGCUCACAUCCAUGCCCGUCUAUUCCGACUGGGCACCGAUCAUGGAGUUCACCUCCGCGGAUAUCUUUCAGCACUCACCUUUAGGAGAUGGGCUAAAUUCAUUAAGGUCUCUCUCCCUAUCAGGAGAACCUUGGCCGAACUAUGUCCGGCUAGAAUGGGAUGCGGACGACGAAGAAAUUCGCUGCCCACCCACCACCCACUGAGUAGCCACGGUCGACGACUUAACCGACAUGCUCGACUUCGACUCCGAAGACUUCGACGGUAUGGACGACGAAGCUGGAGACGAAUAGGAACCACCGCCCUCAGGGCGCUGGACCGCCACCUCAUCAUAUGAUAUAUACAUGGUGGACACCCCCAAAGAAGGCAAUGGCGAUGAGACAACGGAGGAUGACCCCUCCAUGAAGCAACCCAAGCGCCGACGUCAGCGGCACCGCUCUAAGUCCUGCCACAACAAGAGUAGUGGUACCGGCACAGGAGAUAAUAACACUCUGGAUAGCACCGAAGACAACAAUUCCCUCCAGCACGGUGUAGAGCUAGAGGACGAACAAGCUAGCCCUCCAGAGCAGGCAGCAGAUGCAGAACCGGAGGAGGACAAUUACAUGCCUCUCUCCGAAGACGAGGCGAGCCUCGGCGACGACGAGUUUAUCGUGCCUGAGGACCCCGUCGAGCAAGAGCGCUUCAAGCGUUGGCUUAUGGCCACGGCAAGUAGCCUGAAGAAAAAACAGCAACAACUUCAAGCUGAUCAAGACUUGCUAGCAGACAGGUGGACCGAAGUCCUUGCGGCCAAGGAGCAUCAACUCGAGCACCCGUCCAAAAGUUACCCAAAACGCAGGUUGCUACCUCACCUCGAGGACGAAGCAUUGAAACCUCAUUCACCAGUGUACGAUGUGGUUGACCGACCACUACGCGGCCGAGCCACAGAGGCUUUUCAGCCUAAAGUUCAGACCGCACCCCGUCGCCACUCAGUCAAACAUACUAAGGCCCGGGGCAACACAGAGGACCCGCGAGACAUCUUGGACAGUAAGGAAAAAAUCGCAAGGUCAAUAUACGGAACACGGGCACGUGCGCCCACACGGGACGAUGAUCGUUGCGUCGGAUACACCAAGAGUAAAUCCGGCCGGGCCGAAUACAACAGACAAGACUCAUACGAACUAUGUUGGGAUAUAGCCCGGCACAGAGGUGCCGCACACCCCCUAUGCUUCACUGAUUAAGUUAUGAAUCAUGAAUUCCCGGAGGGUUUCAAACCCAUAAAUAUCGAAUCGUACGACGGCACAACAGAUCCCGCUGUAUGGAUUGAGGAUUUCCUCCUUCACAUCCACAUGGCUCCGGUGAUGAUCUGCAUGCCAUCAAGUACUUCCUACUAAAACUCAAAGGACCAGCUCGGCAUUGGCUGAAUAGCUUGCCAGCAGAUUCCAUCGGCAGUUGGGAGGAUCUGGAAGACGCAUUUCUUGACAACUUCCAGGGCACUUAUGUGUGGCCACCGGAUGCUGAUGACUUGAGCCACAUAACCUAGCAGCCAGGGGAAUCGGCCAGACAAUUCUGGACACGGUUACUGACUAAGAAAAAUCAAUUUGUAGAUUGUCCGGAUGUAGAGACCCUAGCGGCAUUCAAGCAUAACAUCCGCGAUGAGUGGCUCACCCGCCACCUUGGCCAAGAGAAGCCGAAAUCUAUGACAGCCCUCACGACACUGAUGACUCGCUUUUGCGCGGGCGAGGACAACUGGUUGGCUAGCAGCAAAAACACAUCGAGGAAUCCGGAUACCUCAGAUACCAAAGAUGUUAACGGUAGGCAGCGUUGUAACAGACCAAAGCGCCGCAAUAACGGCGAUAACACCAAAGAUACGACAGUCAAUGCCGGAUUCAGAGGCUCUAGAUCCGGUCAGCAGAAAAAGCCAUUUAAAAGAAAUACUCCGGCUCGGUCCAGUCUGGAUCACAUACUGGAUCGCUCGUGUCAAAUCCACGGCACCCCGACAAGCCAGCCAAUCUCACCAACAGAGAAUGCUGGGUGUUCAAGCAGGCCUGUAAGUUAAAUGCCGAGAGCAAGGACAAGGGGCUGCAUAGCGAUGACGAGGAGGAGCCCCGGCCGCCGAACACAGGAGGACAGAAGGGUUUUCCCCCACAAGUGAAGACGGUGAACAUGAUAUACGCAACCCACAUCCCCAAGAGGGAGAGGAAGCAUGCACUAAGGGACGUCUAUGCGAUGGAGCUCGUCGCCCUGAAGUUCAACCCAUGGUCUGCUUGUCCGCUCACCUUCGAUCACAGGGACCACCCGACUAGCAUCCAUCAUGGCGAAUCUGCCGCACUGGUCCUAGACCCCAUCAUUGAUGGAUUUCACCUCACUCGAGUCCUUAUGGAUGGCGGCAACAUGCUGAAUCUGCUUUAUCAGGAUACAGUGCGAAAAAUGGGUAUCGAUCCCUCGAGGAUCAAACCCAGCAAAACCACCUUUAAAGGCGUCAUCCCAGGUGUAGAGGCCCAUUGCACAGGCUCAAUCACACUGGAAGUGGUCUUUGGAUCACCGGAUAACUUCCGAAGCGAAGAGUUAAUCUUCGACAUCGUCCCGCUUCGCAGUGGCUAUCAUGCACUGCUCGGACGGACAACAUUUGCAAAUUCAAUGAAGUGCCGCAUUACGCGUACCUCAAGCUCAAGAUGCCAAGACCUCGCGGGGUCAUAACAGUAAAUGGAAACACAGAACGCUCGCUUCGUACAGAAGAGCACACUGCGGCCCUUACAGUAGAGGCACAAAGCAGCCUGUUCAGGCAGACCACUCAUUCGGCGUCACAACCCCCGGACACCUUCAAACGAGUCCGGAACAAGUUGCAACAGGAUCGCCUAGCACGAUCAGAGAUCGCCUAGCAAUCUGGUCCCCAUCCCAGUCCCAGUGAAGCGACAAAAUCCGUGUGGCGCGUACAUAACUACGCAUUGAAAAUACCAUGGACAUAGGCGGGGGCAGAAUCAGAAUACGCCCCGCAUUGUGGCUUAACCACACUAGGGGUUGUAUACCUUUGACAUUCCGCUGACUCUUUGGAAGCCCUUUCCGGCAGUAUGAUUGCCGGACACAUUCCAGAAGCAACAACCAAGGCGGCAAGAAGCUAAGAUGAACACGGGAACCGCCAGGUGGUCUCUAGUAAUACUUGAUAUACCCGCUUUUCACUAUUUAUGCGUAGCUUUCCCUGGGAUAGGACAUUUCGAAUUGUCCUACUUCAUGCUUAUUGCACUACUUGUACCAGUAUGCUUCGACGUAUUAUUCAAAUAACAAUGCAUAUCAUUAAUCUGUCAUUGCAUUCUUUCAGUUUUUCUCUUUCUCUUAUAUGUCCAUUUACGACAAUCCGCACCCGCAUGUUCGGGUAUGGUCAGUACGCCAGGGGCUCUCGUUUACCCCACAAUACGAUGCAAGAAGUCUGAACACUUUCUACAGUGCGGCACCCCGAACUUCUAGCAUUAUAUGCAUCAGCUCCGAAUCAUGUCUUUGGUCAAAUGUUGGGUCGCCCGGCUCCUAUGCUUUGGUACCUUACGUUCUGCUAUAUCGGCUAAGGUAGCGGUGGGAGAACUACUGCGAUUGUGUCCCGGUUCUUCUGGACGAGCACCUCUGUACAGAAAGCCAAAAACUGACUGUCAUGAUAAGGCGAGAGACUGGUCGCUGUUCGAGAGGUCUCAAGUCCUUAAAGACUUUUUCCGCUUCGGGCGAGGAGUCGGCCUUGUCCGGCUUAGGCAUGUAUAGCGCCCCAAAUUCGGCCCUCCGAAUACCAGGGGCUUCGCCAAAAUUUAAAAUCAUAGACUUCUAUGGCUAAGUGAGAGUGAUAAAGCAUUAUAGUCCGAUUGCCUGGUUCGUUGCGCUGAACACCUCCCUUGAAGGACCCAAAAUUUGGGUAAAGAGUGUUCAGAUUUACCCCGAACACCCCAGUACUAGUUACAUGGGGGUAGAAGCCGAUGACUGGCCAACUCUCAGAUUUUAUAAACAGCCGCAUAGAAGGUAAUAUUUUAAAUUAAGAAAGCGUCGCAUGGCGCAAAAAAACUCGUUUCAUAUUACAGGAUCACAUGGGCAUGUUCAUUCAAAAAUUACAUCCUUGGCACACUCAUCUGCCACUCAGCAGGAACCCUUCAGGACACUUUCAUAGUAAUUCUCGGGGCGGCGAUGCUCCUUGCCCUCCGGCGGCCCCUCCUUCACCAGCUUCACGGCGUCCAGCUUCGCCUAGUGCACCUUCGCCCGGGCAAAAGCCCUGCGUGCACCCUCGAUGCAGACGGACCGCUUGAUGACUUCAAGCCAUGGGCAGGCUUCCACAAACUGCCUCACCAGACUGAAGUAGCUGCCGGACAGGGGCUCGCCAGGCCACAUCCGGACUAUAAGGCCCCUCAUGGCCUGUUCGGCCACCUUGUGAAGCUCGACAACUGCUUCAGCUGGUCCCUCAAGGGCACAGGGUGUUCGGUCCCAGUAUACUGAGACCAGAACAACUUCUCCAUUGAGCUCCCCUCCGCAACCCGGUAAAACUCCACGGCAUCCAGUGCACUACGAGGAAGAUCUGCAAACGCUCCUGGAGAGCUCCGAACUCGGGUAAGAAAAAGGAAAGUCUCCUUCACGUGCUUGCUUUGCAUAAAGAAUGCCUUACCCUCUGCUAUCUUCUUCACCGCGUCAAUCUCUUGGAGGGCCUUGUGGGCUUCGGCCUUGGAGCUCCGGACGCUUUCAAGCGCCUGCGCGAGCUCGGACUCACGCGUCUUGGAGUCAAGCUCCAAGGACUCGUGCUUUUUAACGAGAGCCUCGAGCUCUUGAUGCACCUCGCCUUCUCGGGCUUCUUGUAUCUCCCAUUCCAUGCGUUCUUUGGACGCUUUGUCUUCGGCCUCGGACAAUGCCAUCCUCAGGGUCUCCACCUCGUUCGUGGCCCAUGACAAAUUCAUGAUGAUCCUAUUACUUUACACCCGAACUUCCUUUUAACUAUAUAGACAGGGGUAUAUCUUACCUUUGCUCUCUUCAAGCUGCCACUUGGUAAGGCCGAGCUCAUCCUCGGACCGCUUCAGGGCCUGCUUCAGCGCAGAGACCUCCGCAGUACAUGCGGCAGCGACCAACAGUGAAGCCUGCACAUACACAUAGACAUACUCUAAUUAGACUCCUGAGUUAUCAUUUGAUCCUCUAUUCGGCUUUUCAUCGCGAACACCGAACAGAGCAUCAGGGGCUACUAUCUAUGCGGUAAUAUUUUCUUAUAUUUUGAUUGCUUACCUCAAAGCCUGUUAGGAGGCUGGCGCAAGCUUUGGUCAGUCUGUUUUUGGCGGACCGAACCUUCUCAACCACUGCACUCAUAAUAGUGCAGUGCUCUUCAUCAAUGGAAGCGUUGUGAAGCGCUUCCAGCAAGUUGUCCGGUGCCUCUGGUUGUACAAAGGACACCGACACAGAUGGUUGGCCCCCCUUAAUGGGGGACUGCCUGCCAGAGUCUAGAACCAUCGAAGGUUCUGGCGCAGUGUCCGGCUGGGGCCCGAACUCGAAGCCCGUAGGAGCCUCGCUCCCUUGGUACCCAGGGUCCGGGAGGUCGCCGUGAGGCGCCCCCAAGAUCACCUCCCCUUGGCUCGGUGCCUUUUGAGACAACACCUCGGCGUUGUCCGUAGGGCGAGGGGUGGAAGCGGUCGGAGGAGAACCGUUGUUCAUAUCCGACGAGUCCAAAGAGCCGCUCGACGAAGGUACGUCGAGAUGAGCUCAGGACGGACUGCAUAAUCAUGUUCGGCAUGAGAAAAGCCAAUACAAUAAAACAUUCCAUGAAGUACUAUGGUGUCCGGACACUUACGACUUCGCCGGGGGCUUGUCCCUGGGUAGCCACUCGUCGCCAUUGUCGGCGGCCGUCGUGGCACAUUCCGGAGGGAGGUUCUUUCCCUUCUUGGACCCGUCGGCCUCCCUGGAUGGGUCGGCCUUCCUUUUCUUGUCUCUCCCGGCUGGGGGGGAGAACUUUUCUCCUCCUAUUCAUUUCCGUGGGAGGAGUGCGCGUUGGAGUCAUCGGACGAUGAGUCCGAUAUAACCUUGCGCCGGAGACCCUUUCGGGUCCCCGUGGCCUUCUUCUUGGCCUUCUUUUCCGGCACCUCGUAAGGUGCCGGAGUCAGCAUCUUCGUUAGAAGAGCAUCUGCAGGAUCUUCGGGCAGGGGGGCUGGGCAAUCAAGCUGCUCUGCUGUCUCUAUCCAGUCCUGUUAAUGACAUGAAAUCUUAGAUCCAGCACACAACUAAACCAGGGCAAAUAAAUACCCUGAGAGAUAUAAAAGCCUACCAGACGGGCGCGGCGCUUUGCACUAAGUCCGCGGUCCUCGGUGAAGGAGGGAAGCAUCUCGGCGCUCUUGAACAACACCCUCCAGACGUCCUCGUGCAUCGUGUCGUAGAGCUCUCACAGCAUCUGGUGCUUGGCCGAGUCGAACUCCCACAAAAAAGUGCCCGUCGUUGACACGGAAGGAUCCGGCGGAAGAGCAUAACCUGGACCACGUUGACGAGCUUGAUUUUCUUGUUUGUCAUGUUCUGGAUGCAGGUCUGGAGUUCGGUCAGCUGUACCGAAGAACCCCAGGAUUGGCCCUUCUUUUUCCAGGAGGUGAGCCGUGUGGGGAUUCCGGAUCGAAAUUUGGGGGCCGCCACCCAGUUGGAGUCGCGCGGCUCGGUGAUGUAGAACCACCCCGAUUGCCACCCCUUUAUGGUGUCCACAUAGGUGCCCUCGAGCCAGGUGACAUUAGGCAUCUUGCCCACCAUGGCGCCUCCGCACUCUGCUUGCUGGCCACCCACCACCUUCGGUUUGACAUUGAAGGUUUUCAGCCAUAGGCCGAAGUGGGGCCUGAUGCGGAGGAAGGUCUCACACACGACGAUAAACACCGAGAUGUUGAGGAUGAAAUUGGGGGCCAGAUCAUGAAAAUCCAGCCCAUAGUAGAACAUGAGCCCGCAGACAAAUGGGUGGAGAGGAAAUCCCAGUCCGCGAAUGAAAUGGGUAGGAAAAACUACCCUCUCAUGGGGUUUGGGCGUGGGGACGAUCUGGCCCGCAUUUGGCAGCCGGUGCGCGAUAUCCGCGGCCAAGUAUCCGGCUUCCCGUAACUUUUUGAUGUUCUCCUCCGUGACGGAGGAGACCAUCCACUUGCCUCGUGCUCCGGACAUGCUUGGAGCGGUUUGAGAAGAAGAACGCGAGCUUGGGUGCUAGAUCUCGAGUGUGCGGGAAUGGGUAAGCGAGAAGGAAGAAGGCGUGUGUGAAAAAAGUAAAUCUUUGUCCCUUUAUAAGGGCGGAGGAGGCGAUGUGUCUCCCACUUGCCUGGCAAAACUGCUUAUUCCCCAGGUGCCAUAAUUGAUGGCGUGGUUGGGUUACCCACGUCCGUAUUGAUGAGAAUCCCGUGAUAAAGGGAACAUGAUCUCUGCUUUGACAAGACGUGUCAAGAAAAUCGCAUCAUGAUAUGUGCGGAGCUGGUUAAGAAAAGCAGUUCGAAUAAAAACCGGGUCGUGACGUGAUGUCAUGCUAUCAAAACAUGUCAGCAGAUUAGAUUUGUGGAAAUAUUAUUCUCUCUACGGUGGUAUGUGGAACUUAUUUUGCAGGGCCGGACACUAUCCUUGUAUUCAAACUCUUCCAUGGUGUAUUCGGAGGAGGAACCCACCUUGCAAUGCCGAAGACAACACUGCGCGCCGGACUCAUCGUCAUUGAAGCCUGGUUCAGGGGCUACUGAGGGAGUCCUGGAUUAGGGGGUCUACGGACAGCCGGACUAUAUCCUUUGGCCGAACUGUUGGACUAUGAAGAUACAAGAUUGAAGACUUCGUCCCAUGUCCGGAUGGGACUCUACUUGGCGUGGAAGGCAAGCUAGGCAAUACGGAUAUGUAUAUCUCCUCCUUUGUAACAGACCUUGUGUAACCCUAGCCUCCUCCGGUGUCUAUAUAAACUGGAGGGUUUUAGUCCGUAGGACAACAUACAAUCAUACCAUAGGCUAGCUUCUAGGGUUUAGCCUCUUUGAUCUCGUGGUAGAUCAACUCUUGUAAUACUCAUAUCAUCAAGAACAAUCAAGCAGGACGUAGGGUAUUACCUCCAUCAAGAGGGACCAAACCUGGGUAAACAUCGUGUCCCCUGCCUCCUGUUACCAUCCGCCUUAGACGCACAGUUCGGGACCCCCUACCCGAGAUCCUCCGGUUUUGACACCGACACUCGCGAUACAUCAAGAUCGUACCACCUCAAGAACACGAGAGAGAGAGAGAUCAAACACAUAGCUACUGGUACAUACCCUCAGCCUCGAGGGAGAACUACUCCCUCCUCGUCAUGGAGAGCACCGGGAUGAUGAAGAUGACCACCAGAGAGGGAUUCCCCCUCUGGCAGGGUGCCGGAACAGGUCUAGAUUGGCUUUCGGUGGCUACAGAGGCUUCUGGCGGCGGAACUCCCGAUCUAUUGUGCUCCCCGGUCGUUUUAGGGUAUAUGGGUAUAUAUAGGAGGAAGAAGUACGUCAGGGGAGCCACGAGGGUGGAGGGCGCCCCCAGGGGGUGGGCGCACCCCCUACCUUGUGGCUUCCUCGAAGCUUCCUUGAUGUGGACUCCAAGUCUCCCGGGUUGCUUUCCUUCCAAAAAUAAGUUCCGUGAAGUUUCAGGUCAAUUCGACUCCAUUUGAUUUUCCUUUUCUGCGAUACUCUAAAACAAAGAAAAAAAUAGAAAUUGGCACUGGGCUCUGGGUUAAUAGGUUAGUCCCAAAAAAUCAUAUAAAAUGGCAUAUAAAUGCAUAUAAAACAUCCAAGGUUGAUAAUAUAAUAGCAUGGAACAAUCAAAAAUUAUAGAUACGUUGGAGACGUAUCAGCAUCCCCAAGCUUAAUUCCUGCUCGUCCUCGGGUAGGUAAAUGAUAAAAACAGAAUUUUUGAUGUGGAAUGCUACCUAACAUAUUCAUCAUGUAUUUCUCUUUAUUGUAGCAAGAAUAUUCAGAUCCAUAAGAUUCAAGACAAAAGUUUAUAUUGACAUAAAAAUAAUAAUACUUCAAGCAUACUAACUAAGCAAUCAUGUCUUCUCAAAAUAACAUGGCCAAAGAAAGUUCAUCCCUACGAAAUCAUAUAGUUUGGUCAUGCUCCAUUUUCGUCACACAAGAAUGCUCUCAUCAUGCACAACCCGGAUGACAAGCCAAGUAAUUGUUUCAUAUUUUAGUAAUCUCAAACUUUAUAAACCUUCAUGCAAUACAUGAGCGCGAGCCAUGGAUAUAGCACUAUGGGUGGAAUAGAAUAUGAUGAUGGGGAUUAUGUGGAGAAGACAAAAAAGGAGAAAGUCUCACAUCAACGAGGCUAAUCAAUGGGCUAUGGAGAUGCCCAUCGAUUGAUGUUAAUGCAAGGAGUAGGGAUUGCCAUGCAACGGAUGCACUAGAGCUAUAAAUGUAUGAAAGCUCAACAAAAGAAACUAAGUGGGUGUGCAUCCAACUUGCUUGCUCACGAAGACCUAGGGCACUUGAGGAGGCCCAUUGUUGGAAUAUACAAGCCAAGUUCUAUAAUGAAAAUUUCCCACUAGUAUAUGAAAGUGACAAAACAAGAUACUCUCUAUCAUCAAGAUCAUGGUGCUACUUUGAAGCACAAGUGUGGAAAAAAGGAUAGUAGCAUUGUCCCUUUUAUUUUUUUAUUUUUUAUUAUUUGGCCUUUUUUAUUUUUUAAUAUUUGGCCUUUCUUUUUUCCCCUAUUUUUGGGACAAUGCUCUAUUAAUGAUGAUCAUCACACUUCUAUUUAUUUACAACUCGAUACUAGAACAAAGUAUGACUAAAUAUGAAUGCCUCCGGUGGUUGAUAUGUCUCCAACGUAUCUAUAAUUUUUGAUUGCUCCAUGCUAUAUUAUCUACUGUUUUGGACAUCACUGGGCUUUAUUAUCCACUUUUAUAUUAUUUUUGGGACUAACCUACUAACCGGAGGCCCAACCCAGAAUUGCUGUUUUUUUGCCUAUUUUAGGGUUUCGAAGAAAAGGAAUAUCAAACGGAGUCCAAACGGAAUGAAAGCUUCGGGAACAUGAUUUUCUCAACGAACAAGACCCAGGAGACUUGGACCCUACGUCAAGACACAAAAGAGGAGGCCACGAGGUAGGGGGCGCGCCUACGCCCCCCCCCCCCAGGCGCGCCCUCCACCCUCGUGGGCCCCCUGUUGCUCCACCGAUGUACUCCUUCCUCCUAUAUAUACCAACGUACCCCCAAAUGAUCAGAUACGGAGCCAAAACCCUAAUUCCACCACCGUAACUUUCUGUAUCCACGAGAUCACAUCUUGGGGCCUGUUCCGGAGCUCCACCGGAGGGGGCAUCGAUCACGGAGGGCUUGUACAUCAUCACCAUAGCCCCUCCGAUAAAGUGGAAGUAGUUCACCUCAGACCUACGGGUCCAUAGUUAUUAGCUAGAUGGCUUCUUCUCUUUUUUUUUGGAUCUCAAUACAAUGUUCUCCCCCUCUCUUGUGGAGAACUAUUCGAUGUAAUCUUCUUUUUGUGGUGUGUUUGUUGAGAUUGAUGAUUGUGGGUUUAUGAUCAAGUCUAUCUAUGAACAAUAUUUGAAUCUUCUCUGAAUUCUUUUAUGUAUGAUUGGUUAUCUUUGCAAGUCUCUUUGAAUUAUCAGUUUGGUUUGGCCUACUAGAUUGAUCUUUCUUGCAAUGGGAGAAGUGCUUAGCUUUGGGUUCAAUCUUGCGGUGUCCUUUCCCAGUGACAGUAGGGGCAGCAAGGCACGUAUUGUAUUGUUUCCAUCGAGGAUAACAAGAUGGGGUUUUCAUCAUAUUGCAUGAUUUUAUCCCUCUACAUCAUGUCAUCUUGCUUAAGGCGUUACUCUGUUUUCAUUAACUUAAUACUCUAGAUGCAUGUUGGAUAGCGGUCGAUGAGUGGAGUAAUAGUAGUAGAUGCAGGCAGGAGUCGGUCUACCUGUCUCGGACGUGAUGCCUAUACACAUGAUUGUGCCUAGAUAUUCUCAUAACUAUGCUCAAUUCUGUCAAUUGCUCAAUAGUAAUUUGUUCACCCACCGUAGAAUACUUAUGCUCUUGAGAGAAGCCACUAGUGAAACCUAUGGCCCCCGGGUCUAUCAUCAUCAUAUUAAUCUUCCAACACUUAGUUAUUUACUUUGCCUUUUUACUUUUCUUUUAUUUUACUUUGCAUCUUUAUCAUAAAAAUACCAAAAAUAUUAUCUUAUCAUAUCUAUCAGAUCUCACUCUCGUAAGUGGCCGUGUAGCGAUUGACAACCCCUUAUCGCGUUGGUUACGAGGAUUUAUUUGUUUUGUGCAGGUACAAGGGACUCGCGCGUAGCCUCCUACUGGAUUGAUACCUUGGUUCUCAAAAACUAAGGCAAAUACUUACGCUACUCUGCUGCAUCACCCUUCCUCUUCGGGGAAAAACCAACGCAGUGCUCAAGAGGUAUCAAGAAGGAUUUCUGGCGUCGUUGCCGGGGAGUCUACGCAAAAGUCAAUAUACCAAGUACCCAUCACAAUCCCUAUCUCCCGCAUUACAUUAUUUGCCAUUUGCCUCUCGUUUUCCUCUCCCCCACUUCACCCUUUCCAUUUUAUUCGCCUCUCUCUCUAUCCUACCUCUCUUUUUCCGUUCACUUUUUUUCCGCUUGCUUUUUGUUUGCUUGUGUGUUGGGUUGCUUGCUUGUCGCGAUGGCUCAAGAUAACACUAAAUUGUGUGACUUUACCAAUACCAACAACAAUGAUUUUAUUAGCACUCCGAUAUUUCAUCUUACCGAUGCUGAAUCUUGUGAAAUUAAUACUGCUUUGCUAAAUCUUGUCAUGAAAAAUCCGUUUUCCGGCCUUCCUAGUGAAGAUGCCGCUACCAAUCUAAACAGCUUCGUUGAUUUGUGUGAUAUGCAAAAGAAGAAAGAUGUGGAUAACGAUAUUGUUAAAUUGAAGCUAUUUCCUUUUUCGCUUAGAGAUCGUGCUAAAGCUUGGAUUUCGUCUUUGCCUAAGAAUAGUAUUGAUUCAUGGAAUAAGUGCAAAGAUGCUUUUAUCUCUAAGUAUUUUCCUCCCGCUAAGAUCAUCUCCCUUAGAAACGAUAUUAUGAAUUUUAAGCAACUUGAUCAUGAAUAUAUUUCACAAGCUUGGGAGAGGAUGAAAUUAAUGACACAUAAUUGCCCUACUCAUGGUUUGAAUUUGUGGAUGAUUAUACAAAAAUUUUAUGCCAGAUUGAAUUUUGCUUCUAGAAAUCUUUUAGAUUCGGCCGCGGCAGGGACUUUUAUGGAAAUCACUUUAGGAGAAGCUACUAAACUCCUAGACAAUAUUAUGGUUAACUAUUCUCAAUGGCAUACUGAAAGAUCUACUAAUAAAAAGGUGCAUGCAAUAGACGAAAUUAAUGUUUUGAGUGGAAAGAUGGAUGAACUUAUGAAAUUAUUUGCUAGUAAAAGUGUUUCUUCUGAUCCUAAUGAUAUGCCCUUGUCUACUUGAUUGAGAAUAAUAAUGAAUCUAUGGAUGUGAAUUUUGUUGGUAGGAACAAUUUUGGUAACAACGCGUAUAGAGGAAAUUUUAAUCCUAGGCCUUAUCCUAGUAACCCCUCCAAUAAUUAUGGUAAUUCCUACAACAAUUCUUAUGGAAAUUAUAAUAAGACGCCCUCUGAUUUUGAAUCUAAUAUUAAAGAAUUUAUUACUUCGCAAAAGAAUUUCAAUGCUUUGAUUGAAGAAAAAUUGCUUAAGAUUGAUGAGUUGGCUAUGAACGUUGAUAGAAUUUCUCUUGAUGUUGAUUCUUUGAAACUUAGAUCUAUUCCACCAAAGCAUGAUAUCAAUGAGUCUCUCAAAGCCAUGAGAAUUUCCAUUGAUGAGUGCAAAGAAAGAACCGCUAGAAUGCGUGCUAAGAAAGAUGCCUUUAUAAGAGCGUGUUCUUCUAGUUCCGAUGAAAAUAAAGAUGAAGAUCUCAAAGUUAUUGAUGUGUCCCCUAUUAAAUCUUUGUUUUGCAAUAUGAAUCUUAAUAAUUAUGGGACUGAAUAUGAUCCACCAUUAUCUAGAAGGCGUUCCAAGAAUUCGGAGUCUUUAGAUCUUAAUGCUAAAAUUGAUGAAAGUGGGAUCGAAGAAAUCAAAACCCUAGAUGUUGCUAAACCCACUAUUUUUGAUUUCAAGGAAUUUAAUUAUGAAAAUUGCUCUUUAAUUGAAUGUAUUUCCUUGCUGCAAUCCGUGCUAAAUUCUCCUCAUGCUUAUAGUCAAAAUAAAGCAUUCACUAAACAUAUCGUUGAUGCCUUGAUGCAUUCUUAUGAAGAAAAACUUGAAUUGGAAGUUUCUAUCCCUAGAAAACUUUAUGAUGAGUGGGAACCAACUAUUAAAAUUAAAAUUAAAGAUCAUGAGUUCUAUGCUUUAUGUGAUUUUGGUGCUAGUGUUUCCACGAUUCCAAAGACUUUGUGUGAUUUGUUAGGUUUCCGUGAUUUUGAUGAUUGCCCUCUAAACUUGCACCUUGCGGAUUCCACUAUUAAGACACCCAUGGGAAGAAUUAAUGAUGUUCUUAUUGUUGCAAAUAGGAAUUAUGUGCCCAUAGAUUUUAUUGUUCUUGACAUAGAUUGCAAUCCUUCAUGUCCAAUUAUUCUUGGUAGACCUUUCCUUAGAACGAUUGGUGCAAUUAUUGAUAUGAAGGAAGGAAAUAUUAUAUUCCAAUUUCCGUUAAGGAAAGGCAUGGAACACUUUCCUAGAAAUAAAAUUAAAUUACCUUAUGAAUCUAUUAUGAGAGACACUUAUGGAUUGCCUACUGUCAGUGUCAAAACCGGCGGAUCUCGGGUAGGGGGUCCCGAACUGUGCGUCUAGGCGGAUGGUAACAGGAGGCAGGGGCCACGAUGUUUUACCCAGGUUCGGGCCCUCUUGAUGGAGGUAAAACCCUACGUCCUUCUUGAUUAAUAUUGAUGAUAUGGGUAGUACAAGAGUAAAUCUACCACGAGAUCAAGGAGGCUAAACCCUAGAAGCUAGCCUAUGGUAUGAUUGUUCUUCGUCCUACGGACUAAAACUGAAGGAAAUAUGCCCUAGAGGAAAUAAUAAAGUUAUUAUUUAUUUCGUUAUAUCAUGAUAAAUGUUUAUUAUUCAUGCUAGAAUUGUAUUAACCGGAAACAUAAUACAUGUGUGAAUACAUAGACAAACAUAGUGUCACUAGUAUGCCUCUACUUGACUAGCUCGUUAAUCAAAGAUGGUUAUGUUUCCUAACCAUGAACAAAGUGUUGUUAUUUGAUUAACGAGGUCACAUCAUUAGUUGAAUGAUCUGAUUGACAUGACCCAUUCCAUUAGCUUAGCACCCGAUCGUUUAGUAUGUUGCUAUUGCUUUCUUCAUGACAUAUACAUGUUCCUAUGACUAUGAGAUUAUGCAACUCCCGUUUGCCGGAGGAACACUUUGUGUGCUACCAAACGUCACAACGUAAAUGGGUGAUUAUAAAGGAGCUCUACAGGUGUCUCCAAUGGUAGAUGUUGGGUUGGCGUAUUUCGAGAUUAGGAUUUGUCACUCCGAUUGUCGGAGAGGUAUCUCUGGGCCCUCUCGGUAAUGCACAUCACUUAAGCCUUGCAAGCAUUGCAACUAAAUGAGUUAGUUGCGGGAUGGUGUAUUACGGAACGAGUAAAGAGACUUGCCGGCAACGAGAUUGAACUAGGUAUGGGAAUACCGAUGAUUGAAUCUCGGGCAAGUAACAUACCGAUGACAAAGGGAACAACGUAUGUUGUUAUGCGGUCUGACCGAUAAAGAUCUCCGUAGAAUAUGUAGGAGCCAAUAUGGGCAUCCAGGUCCCGCUGUUGGUUAUUGACCGGAGACGUGUCUCGGUCAUGUCUACAUUGUUCUCGAACCCGUAGGGUCCGCACGCUUAAGAUUACGAUGACAGUUAUAUUAUGAGUUUAUGCAUUUUGAUGUACCGAAGGUUGUUCGGAGUCCCGGAUGUGAUCACGGACAUGAUGAGGAGUCUCGAAAUGGUCGAGACGUAAAGAUUGAUAUAUUGGAAGUCUAUGUUUGGAUAUCGGAAGUGUUCCGGGUGAAAUCGGGAUUUUACCGGAGUACUGAGAGGUUACCGGAACCCCCUCGGGAGCUAUAUGGGCCUUUGUGGGCUUUAGUGGAAAGGAGAAAGGGGCAGCCCAAGGUGGCUGUGCGCCUCCUCCCUUCCCCUAGUCCUAUUAGGACUAGGAUAGGUGGCCGGCCCCCUCUCUCUCUUUCCCCCCUCAAGGAAUCCUAUUCCAACUAGGAUUGGGGGGGGGGGGGAAUCCUACUCCCAGAGGGAGUAGGACUCUCCUGGCACGCCAAGCUUGGCCGGCCAGCCUCCCCCCUCUAGUCCUUUAUAUACUGAGGUAGAGGCACCCUAGAACACACAAUUGAUCAACGUGAUCUAUUCCUUAGCCGUGUGCGGUGCUCCCAGCCACCAUAUUCCUCGAUUAUACUGUAGCGGAGUUUAGGCGAAGCCCUGCUGCUGUAGUGCAUCAAGAUCGUCACCACGCCGUUGUGCUGACGGAACUCUUCCCCGACACUUUGCUGGAUCGGAGUCCGGGGAUCGUCAUCGAGCUGAAUGUGUGCUCGAACUCGGAGGUGCCGUAGUUUCGGUGCUUGAUCGGUCGGAUCGGGAAGAUGUACGACUACUUCCUCUAUGUUGCGUCAAUGCUUCCGCAGUCGGUCUGCGUGGGUACGUAGACAACACUCUCCCCUCUCGUUGCUAUGCAUCACAUGAUCUUGCGUGAGCGUAGGAAUUUUUUUGAAAUUACUACGAAACCCAACAAAAACCCUNNNNNNNNNNNNNNNNNNNNNNNNNNNNNNNNNNNNNNNNNNNNNNNNNNNNNNNNNNNNNNNNNNNNNNNNNNNNNNNNNNNNNNNNNNNNNNNNNNNNNNNNNNNNNNNNNNNNNNNNNNNNNNNNNNNNNNNNNNNNNNNNNNNNNNNNNNNNNNNNNNNNNNNNNNNNNNNNNNNNNNNNNNNNNNNNNNNNNNNNNNNNNNNNNNNNNNNAGAGUCGGUUACAAUGGUAGAAGAUCUACAUAUCCGUAUCGCCAAGCUUGCCUUCCACGCCAAGGAAAGUCCCUUCUGGACACAGGAUGAAGUCUUCAACCUUGUAUCUUCAUAGUCUAGGAGUCUGGCCGAAGGUAUAGUCCGGCUAUCCGGACACCCCCUAAUCCAGGACUCCCUCAGUAGCCCCUGAACCAGGCUUCAAUGACGACGAGUCCGGCGCGCAGAUUGUCUUCGGCAUUGCAAGGCGGGUUCCUCCUCCAAGUACUUCAUAGAAUAUUUUGAACACAAAGGUAGUGUCCGGCUCUGCAAAAUAAGUUUCCACAUAUUGCCAUAGAGAGAAUAAUAUUUACACAAAUCUAAUCUACUGACGUAUUCCGUAGCGUGACAUCACACCACGGCCAAGUUUUUAUUCGAAUCUGUCCCACCUCAACGCGUUUAGUGAGGCGGUUUCCUUGGCACAUCUUGUCAAAGCAGAGAUUGUGUCCCCUUAUUCCGGGAUUCUCAUCAAUACGGGCGUGGGUAACCCAACCGUACCCGUCGGUAUGUUUCCUCGAUCAAAGGAGAGUCCCAAACGGUCACGGGAAGGGCCCUUGGUAUUCAACCUCUUAUAAAGAGACCAAGGCCUUACUCCUUUCUUUCAAUCUCAAAUGAGUUCGCCCUUCGCCUCUACUUCCAACACCCAAGGCUCUAGAUUUCAGGCGCUUCGGACCUUCGACAAUGUCCGGUUCCGACCUUCGAGGCCGAUGGAUGCCCUCCUCCGUCACGGAGGAGGACGUGCUGAAGUUGAGAGAGGCCAGGUUCUUGACCGGCGAAAUCUCGCAUAGGCUGCCUGCUCAAGGGCAGGUCAUUCCCACUCCCAAGCCUGGUGAGAGUGUGGUGUUCAUGUCUCACUUCCUUCGGGGGUUAGGCUUCCCGACGAUCCCUACGUGAGGGGGCUCAUGUUUUAUUAUGGGCUGGAAUUUCAUGACUUAGCUCCGGAGUCCAUCCUCCAUAUUUCUUCAUUCAGCGUCGUGUGUGAAGCCUUCCUCCAUAUUACUCCUCACUUUGGACUAUGGCUCAAGACCUUCAAAGUAGAGCCGAAGAUGAUCGAGGGAUGGCACGCGGAGUGCGGAGGUGCUUUUAUAAGCAAGAAUGCUGGUGCUCCAUGGCCCGAGGGCUCUUUUCAAGGGGAGUCCAGCUUACGGCAACGAGAGUGGUUUUAUAUCACAGCUCCCAGGAGCACCAAGUGGGUGGCGCUGCCUGCUUUUCGCUCGGGUCCCCCGCCACGACUGGCGUCAUGGGUCAACAAGGGGCUGGACUGGGGGCCGGCAAAGGACGUGCCCCUGUUGCAGGGCCGCAUCCGAGAUCUCCUAGAAAGAGACAUCAGUCUGGUCGUGGUGACGCAGGUUAUGUUAAUUCGCCGAGUUCUGCACUGCAAACGUCGGCCCCUUCGGUUGUGGAAGUUCAACCCGGAGGGACCACGAGUUCUCCAACAUUUUCUUGGCAUGACGCCCAUGGAUAUGUACAAAUUAUUCUUUGGACCACAAGUAGUGUGUCUGGAUUCUACGGAGGACGCAGGUCUGAGCUGCAAUCGUCCAGAUACUCAAGUAAGUAGCCUUGUGCCCGGACUUGCUAUCCAUAUAUUUAUCAUAAAGUUUCCCCUAAAAGAGUUGUCCUUUAAAUAGGAGUGGAUAGCGAAAGCAAAGCUAAUCAGAUGUCCGGCCCCCCUCCCCGAGACCAUGCCGGGUCCCAUGCUAGUCAAGAUGUUGGAGGUUGUGCCUUCAAAGGAAAGAGAGGGAGGGGACAAGGAAGCUACCGCCUCCUCGAAGGAGGUUGUCCAGAAGGGAGGAAUCGAAAAUUCCUCUCCUCAGGGGAAGAAGAGGACCGCCUCUGAAGACCCGGAGACCAUGGCCUCAAAGCGGGGGAAGAAAUCUUCGCUAGAGGGUCCUGUGCUGGGGGAUACUUCGGCCGAAUUAUGCCCUCAAGGGGAUCAGCCCUCCAUCGAGCCGUAAGUAGAGAGGAGUUUUAUUUUUAAGAAACGAGAGAAAUCCUUGCUUUAUAUCUGAGAAAAGUAAUCGAAAAUUUACCUUGUAGCUCGGACCUUAGCUCUUCUCAGCAGAGCUCGUCUUCGGGGGAUCUUCUUCCGGAGAUGAUGGAGAGCGGAAUGCCUCCCCCUGCCGUAUCACCUCGCGAGGUGGGCGACCCCGAGGUAUUGUCGCGGAGGGUUUCUCCGAAUCCGGCAGGGCCGGAAGGCAGUCAUAUGGCCCCCCAAAGUCCUCCUUGUCCGGCCUUCUAAAAGGGCCAUCGGACGAGUCCGGCGUCGUCUGGUGCGUGGUCGGAGGAGCUGAAGGAUCUGCUAGGGAGAGCAUCUAUCUCAGAGGAGCACCGUGCAUUGAUGGGUACGGUGAUUGAGAGGAUUUCAUCCACGGAGAGCGGAUUGCACGAGGCCGUCAGGAGUGUACUGACAGGUUUUGAGGUACGCGAAAUAAUGUACCCUUUUUGGACAGUUGCACAUAAAUAAGAUGCGACCUGUGUAGAUAGUAGCCCCUGAGACUCUGUGCAUUGUCAAAAGUGACGGUGCGCAGAGGAUCAUAAUCCCAGGUCUAAUAUGCCGCCUUCAUACGUAGGUGGCUAAGUGUCCGGUGGCAAGCCGGACUGAUGAAUUUGCCGAGCUAAAGCGGCAACUUGACGUGGCAGAUGCCGACAUCGCGCUUGUCAACAAGCGGCUUGACGAGGCGCAAGGUAUGUAAUUCCUCCGGCGGCUCCUGGUAAGAGGAGCUUUAUGCUAGUAUCUUACAAUGUGUGCGCUUGAUGCAGAUGGUGCGGCCGCCAUGGAGAAUCUUCGGGCAGAACUUGCCCGAGCCAAGGAGCAAUCCAGGAAAAGUGAUGCGGCUGCCGGAAUGGCAAUUGAAGAGCUGAAAGCCGAACAGGCUGCUCACUGCCAAAGCAAGAAGGAAAUGGCCGAGAUGGCCGUGAAGCUGAAGAACGCUGCUGACCGUUGCAAGCUUCUUGAAAAAUAAGAUCGGGCAAAACAAACGGACCUGGAGAAGGCCGUUGCCGAUGCCAAGGAUGCUCGCUCUGCGAUGAGAGCUGUGAAGGAGGAGCUGCGUCAGGCCGGAGAGAUCGCGACUGGAAAGCCCUUUAUGCUGCAGAGGAAGUUCCGUGAUCCUAAACAUGCUCCGUUGGACUGGAUGUGGAGUACGACGGACACCUAUAUGGAUUUGGCAGCGGCCGCGGAUGCGGCCGAACACUUCCGAGAUCAAGAAGAUCGCGAAGUGGAAAAGCUCUUUUGGUUGCAGUUCCACAAUCCGGAGCGUCCGCUGUCAUGAGCCGAUCAUUUGGCCGAAUGGGCCGAGCUAAAUAGGUUGUCCGGACUUGCCAUGAAGUAUGUCAUGAGUCAUCUGUGGCCAGAGAGGCCAGAGCCGAAAAGUUAUUUCAACUUGGUGCAGCAGUUCCUUGGUGCGGCGCCACAUAUCAAUGCGAUGAAGAGGUCAGCGUGCAUAGAGGGUGCGCGGAUGACUCUUGCCCGUGUCAAGACAUACUGGGCAGAAAUGGAGGCCGCCGCUGUUGCAUCCCCAGACUCGGAUGGAAGUCGAGUACCUGCCGAGCACUAUUUUCAGGAAGUUCUGCAAGGCGCUCGUUUAAUAGAGACGUAGUGCUCGAAGGACACUAUAUUCGAGUAGCAUUAUUGUAAUACAAUAUUUUGAUAAAUUGUAGAAGCUUUUUAUACUUGUGCCUGCAAGUAUUAUAAUACCUCCUGUGCGGCCGUUUAACAUAUAUGUUUAUACAAUCUGAAUGAUGGCAGUCGUCGGCUUCAGCCCCCACGCACAUAAUGCGGGGGUGUUCGCAGAAGGCGCAUUUUCACACUUGAUCCAACGUCUUGGUCCUACAAAGGAGGUGAUAGCGCAGCGAACUAGGCAAUCAUACUAUGAUGCUUUAUCACUUUCACUUAGCCAUAGGAGUUUGAUAGUGAGGCUACUUAUAUAGCCCCUGGUGGCGCCUGCGCUCGCCCGAACUCGGGGCGCGUAUGUGCCUGGCCGGGAAGCGAACCUUCGUUAAUGCGGAGGAAUCCUAAAGAUUCUGGUAAGUCAUCGAGUGGUUGACCAGUCUCACGCUAUAUCAUGACAGUCAGUUUUUGACUUUCUCUACUGAGGUGCUCGCCUCGCUGAACCGGGGCACAAUCGCAGUAGUUCUCCUGGUGCCACCUUAGCCGAUAGAGCGAAAUGUAAGGUAGCAAAACACAGGAGCCGGGCAAACCCAACAUUUGACCAAAGACAUGAUUCGGAGCUGAUGCAUAUAAGGACAAACUCGCGACGCCGAACACUCCCUAAGGUAUUUGGUCUUUAUGAGGGCGGGCGGGAUAACGCCCUUAGUAAUAAGCCCCUAGUGUCCAGGUACGUGCAAAAACUCUGACAUGGCCACAUGCCAAAAUGCCAGCCUCCUCCUUGGUUAUACCAAGAAACCAGGGGAUGUGUAUCAACAAGAGACAGUAAAAAAGGUUUACGCAGGGUCUUAAUCUGAAAAGAAUCCUUGGAACGGGUCCCUGCUGCACGUCUACGCCUGUGUCUCCGUUGUGCCGUAUCCUGGACGGGCGUAGCACGGUGUUCAUCUGUAAAAGGGAGGAACUUAGUUACAUAAAGAUCGUGCCGAACAUGAGUUAUACUAAAUAAAUGAAGUAUAAAUCGAAAUGGGUAAAAUUGAGCUUUAUUGUCUCUUGUUUUAUAUGCGCGGAGCCCCUAGUACAGGGGCAUACGGCUAUUAAGCCUUUAUAAAUUGUAUGUUUAUGCCGGACUCGUCUAGCCGUGUCCGUUGUCUUGAUGACUUGUUUACGUGCUUUGGUUGGUGAAGCCGCUUUAUUGUGGGGCUGUCAAGGCAGCCACACUGUCUUCCGCGUGGGGGGAACACUCAAUGUUUUCCCUUUAAUGAGAUGAUGCCUCGUGGACCGGGCAUCUUAAGCGUGAGAUAUGCAUAAUGCGGUAUUGCGUUAAAGCGGGUGAAAGCUUUGCGUCCCAGUAGUGCUUGAUAGCUACUUGAGAAUGGGGCGAUGUGGAAAGUUAGCUGUUCGUGACGGAAGUUAUCGGGGGAGCCGAACAUAACUUCUAGCCGGAGAGAACCCAUGCAACGGGCAUCCGGGCCUGGCGUUACCCCUUGAAAGGAGGUUUUGCUAUGGCGAAUUUUUGUUGGGUCUAUCCCCAUGUUGCGGAUUGUGUCCUGGUAUAACAGGUUUAGACCACUUCCGCCGUCCAUCAGGACAUUUGUAAAGUGGAGUCCGCCGAUUAUUGGAUCUAAUACCAAGGGGAGACCAUAAAUGCCUUCAUCAAUGAAACCAUAGAUCUGUCAAUUUGCUGUCUCUGUCUGGAGCGGCGCUUACGUCGCCGCUUUGAUUGCUUUCCCCUAAUCCACAACUCUCAAUGAAACCGACGUCCCCGUGCGUCCAAAGAUGGUGAUACCUAAAUCUAUCCUUACUUUUCAUGCCUAGCUAGGGGGCGUUAAACGAUAGCGCUUGUUGGGAGGCAACCCAAUUUUAUUUUUAUUCCUUACUUUUUGCUCCUGUUUAUUAAUAAAUAAUUUAUCUAGCCUUUGUUUAGAUAGUGUUUUUUGUGUUUAAUUAGUGUUUGUGCCAAGUAGAACCGUUGGGAAUAAUUGGGGAAAGUCUUGAUAUCUUGCUGUAAAAAACAGAAACUUUAGCGCUCACGAGAACUGCUGCCAUUUUUAUUUGGAAAGUGAUAUAUAGUUAAUUCUUUUUGCAGAUGAUUAAUAAAUAUAUUCCUCCAUCCAUAAAUUUAUUUUAGAAUUUUUGGGGUUCCAGAUCUUGCGCUAGCUUCAGAUUACUACAGACUGUUCUGGUUUUGACAGAUUCUGUUUUUCGUGUGUUGUUUGCUUAUUUUGAUGAAUCUAUGGCUAGUAAAAUAGUUCAUAAACCAUAGAGAAGUUGGAAUACAGUAGGUUUAACACCAACAUAAACAAAGAAUAAGUUCAUUACAGUACCUUGAAGUGGUCAUUUGUUUUCUUUCGCUAACGGAGCUCACGAGAUUUUCUACUUUGAGUUUUGUGUUGUGAAGUUUUCAAGUUUUGGGUAAAGAUUUGAUGGAUUAUGGAACAAGGAGUGGCAAGAGCCUAAGCUUUGGGAUGCCCAUGGAACCCCCAAGAUAAUCUAAGGACACCUAAAAGCCAAAUCUUGGUAAUGCCCCUGAAGGCAUCCCCUCUUUUCGUCUACUUCUAUCGGUAACUUUACUUGGAGCUAUAUUUUUAUUCACCACAUGAUAUGUGUUUUUCUUGGAGCGUCUUGUAUUAUUUGAGUCUUUAUUUGUUAGUUUACCACGAUCAUCCUUGCUGUACACACCUUUUCAGAGAGCCAUACAUGAUUUGGAAUUUGUUAGAAUGCUCUAUGUGCUUCGCUUAUAUCUUUUGAGUUAUAUAGUUUUGCUCUAGUACUUCGCUUAUAUCUUUUAGAGCACGGUGGUGGAUUUGUUUUAUAGAAACUAUUGAUCUCUCAUGCUUCACUUAGAUUAUUUUGAGAGUCUUAAAUAGCAUGAUAAUUUGCUUAAAUAAUGCUAAUAUGCUAGGUAUUCAAGAUUAGUAAAAAAAUAUCCUAGGAGUGUUUGAAUACUAAGAGACGUUUGAUGCUUGAUGAUCGUUUUGAGAUAUGGAGGUAAUAAUAUCAAAGUCGUGCUAGUUGAGUAGUUGUGAAUUCGAGAAGUGCUUGUGUUGAAGUUUGCAAAUCCCGUAGCAUGCACGUAUGGUAAACGUUGUGUAACAAAUUUGAAACAUAAGGUGUUUUUUUCAUUGUCUUCCUUAUGAGUGGCGGUCGGGGACGAGCGAUGGUCUUUUCCUACCAGUCUAUCCCUCUAGGAGCAUGCGCGUAGUGCCGAGGUUUUUUAUGACUUGUAGAUUUUUUCAAUAAGUAUGUGAGUUCUUUAUGACUAAUGUCGAGUCCAUGGAUUAUACGCGCUCUCACCCUUCCAUCAUUGCUAGCCUCUUCGGUACCGUGCAUUGCCCUUUCUCACAUUGAGAGUUGGUGCAAACUUCACCGGUGCAUCCAAACCCCGUGAUAUGAUACGCUCUUUCACACAUAAACCUCCUUAUAUCUUCCUCAAAACAGCCACCAUACCUACCUAUUAUGGCAUUUCCAUAGCCAUUCUGAGAUAUAUUGCCAUGCAACUUUCCACCAUUCCGUUUAUCAUGACACAUUCAUCAUUGUCAUAUUGCUUAGCAUGAUCAUGUAGUGGACAUAGUAUUUGUGGCAAAGCCACCGUUCAUAAUUCUUUCAUACAUGCCACUCUUGGUUCAUUGCAUAUCCCGGUACACCGCCGGAGGCAUUCAUAUAGAGUCAUCUUUUGUUCUAGCAUCGCGUUGUAAUCAUUGAGUUGUAAAUAAAUAGAAGUGUGAUGAUCAUCAUUUUCUAGAGCAUUGUCCCAAAUGAGGAAAAAAAGAGAAAGGCCAUAUAAAAAAAGGCCUGAAUAAAAAAAAGAGAGAAAAAGAGAGAAGGGACAAUGUUACUAUCCUUUGCCACACUUGUGCUUCAAAGUAGCACCAUAAACUUCAUGUCACUUUGCUUUUAUUUUACUUUGCAUAUUUGUCAGAAAAAUACCAAAAAUAUUAUCUUAUCAUAUCUAUCAGAUCUCACUCUCGUAAGUGGCCAUGUAGGGAUUGACAACCCCUUAUCACGUUGGUUGCGAGCAUUUAUUUGUUUUGUGCAGGUACGAGGGACUCGCGCGUAGCCUCCUACAGGAUUAAUACCUUGGUUCUCAAAAACUAAGGGAAAUACUUACGCUACUCUGCUGCAUCAUCCCUUCCUCUUCGGGGAAAAACCAACACAGUGCUCAAGAGGUAGCAGUGGUGUACCGGGAUUGCGAUGAAUCAAGAGUGACAUGUAUGAAAAAUUAUGAACGAUGGCUUUGCCACAAAUACGAUGUCAACUACAUGAUCAUGCAAAGCAAUAUGACAAUGAUGAUGCGUGUCAUAAUAAACAGAACGGUGGGAAGUUGCAUGGCAAUAUAUCUCGGAAUGGCUAUGGAAAUGCCAUAAUAGGUAGGUAUGGUGGCUGUUUUGAGGAAGAUAUAAGGAGGUUUAUGUGUGAUAGAGCGUAUCAUAUCACGGGGUUUGGAUGCACCGGCGAAGUUUGCACCAACUCUCAAUGUGAGAAAGGGCAAUGCACGGUACCGAAGAGGCUAGCAAUGAUGGAAGGGUGAGAGUGCGUAUAAUCCAUGGACUCAACAUUAGUCAUAAAGAACUCACAUACUUAUUGCAAAAAUCUACAAGUCAUCAUAAACCAAGCACUAUGCGUAUGCUCCUAGGGGGGUAGAUUGGUAGGAAAAGACCAUUGCUCGUCCCCGACCGCCACUCAUAAGGAAGACAAUCAAAGAACACCUCAUGUUUCAAAUUUGUUACAUAUCAUUUACCAUACGUGCAUGCUACGGGACUUGCAAACUUCAACACAAGCAUUUCUCAAAUACACAACUACUCAACUAGCACGACUUUGAUAUUAUUACCUCCGUAUCUCAAAACAAUCAUCAAGCAUCAAGCUUCUCUUAGUAUUCAAUGCACUCUAUAUGAAAGUUUUUAUUAUAUCCCUCUUGGAUGCCCAUCAUAUUAGGACUAGUUUCAUAACAAAAGCAAACUACCAUUCUGUUCUAAGGGACUCUCAAAAUAAUAUAAGUGAAUCAUGAGAGUUCAUCUAUUUCUAUAAAAUAAAACCACCACCAUGCUCUAAAAGAUAUAAGUGAAGCACUAGAGCAAAUGACAAACUACUCCAAAAGAUAUAAGUGAAGAUCAAUGAGUAGUCGAAUAAUUAUGCAACCAUGUGAAGACUCUCUAACAUUUAAUAAUUUCAGAUAUUGUUAUUUUAUCCAAGCAGCAAGCAAAACUAAAUAAAAUAAAAUGACUCUCCAAGCAAAACACAUAUCAUGUGGUGAAUAAAAAUAUAGCUCCAAGUGAAGUUACCGAUAGACGAGGACGAAAGAGGGGAUGCCUUCCGGGGCAUCCCCAAGCUUAGGCUUUUGGUUGUCCUUGAAUAUUACCUUGGGGUGCCUUGGGAAUCCCCAAGCUUAGGAUCUUUCCACACCUUGUUCCAUAGUCCAUCAAAUCUUUACCCAAAACUUGAAAACUUCACAACACAAAUCUUAACCAAAAACUCGUAAGCUCCGUCAGUAUAAGAAAAUAAAUCACCACUUAGGUACUGUUGUGAACUCAUUCUAAAUUCAUAUUGGUGUAAUAUCUACUGUAUUCCAACUUAUCUAUGGUUCAUACCCUCCGAUACUACUCAUAGGUUCAUCAAAAUAAGCAAACAACACAUUGAAAACAGAAUCUAUCAAAAACAGAACAGUCUGUAGUAAUAUGGAUCAAACGUAUACUUCUGGAACCCCAAAAAUUCUAAAAUAAAUUUCUGGACCUGAUUAAUUUAUCUAUUAAUCAUAUUCAAAAGGAAUUAACUAAAUAUCACUCUCCAAAUAAAAAUUGCAGCAAUUCUCGUGAGUGCUAAAGUUUCUGUUUUUUACAGCAUGAUUAUAAAGACUUCACCCAAGUCUUCCCAAAGGUUCUACUGGGCACAAACACUAAUUAAAACAUAAAACCACAUCCAAACAGGGGCUAGAUGAAUUAUUUAUUACUAAACAGGAGCAUAAAGAAAGGAACAAAAAUAAAAUUGGGUUGCCUCCCAACAAGCGCUAUCGUUUAACGCCCCUAGCUAGGCAUGAUGAUUUCAAUGAUGCUCACAUAAAAGAUAAGAAUUAAAACAUAAAGAGAGCAUCAUGAAGAAUAUUACUAGAGCAUUUAAGUCUAACCCACUUCCUAUGCAUUGGGAUUAUGUGAGCAAACAACUUGUGGGUACAAGAAUCAAUUUGCAUAGGAAGGUAAAACAAGCAUAACUUCAAAACUUUAAGCACAUAGAGAGGAAACUUGAUAUUAUUGCAAUUCCUACAAGCAUAAGUUCCUCCCUCAUAAUAAUUUUCAUUAGCAUCAUGAAUGAAUUCAACAAUAUAACCAGCACCUAAAGCAUUAUUUUCAUUAUCUAUAAGCAUAGAAAUUUUAUUACUCUCCACAUGAGCAAAAUUCUUCUCAUUCGGAAUAGUGGGAGUAUCAUAAGAAACUCGAAUACUAUAAAUUGUUUCCACAUUAAAAGAGUAAUGUUCAGAAAAGGGGUUAUCAUAAUCAUACAAGUUUUAUAAUCAUAAUCACUACUUUUUAUAGCAUAAGUACCAUCACAAUAAUCAUCAUAAGUAGGAGGCAUGCUAUCAUCAUUAUAAAUUUGCAUAUCAAAACUUGGGAGACUAAAAAUAUCAUCUUCAUUAAACGUAGCAUCCCCAAGCUUGAGACAAACAUUAGCUGCAGCAAAUAUAUUCUCAAAAACAUCAUUUUCAUCAAACAUAGCAUCCCCAAGCUUGGCCCUUUUCAUAUCAUAAGCAUAAUCACUCUCAUCAUUAAUAGUAUGGAUAGCACCAAUAGUAUAGCAAUUAUCAUAUUCUUCCAAGCAAGUGCCAAAAAGAUCUUCAAGAUCAUAAUAAGUAUCAUUAUCUUUCACAAUUAUAUUUUCAUGAGGCACAAUAGUAAUAGGAGCAGCAUUAUUUGGGGGAGAUAUCUUUUUACCUCUCUUCCUUUUUCUUUUCUUCUUCUUCACCACAUCAUGUGUGGGUUCAAUCCUCUUUUUGUAGCUCCUUAUUAAUGAGAUUGGUUGAAUAGGAGGCUCUUCCUCGUUACCUGAUUCAUCAUAAGAAAUAAUAGGAGGGUAUUGGGAAGUCUCUUCCCUUUCAUUAGUAUUCUCUUCAUCUUCUAUUUAUUUUCUUUUCUUCAUGUAGUUGGCAAUAUAAGGAUUUUCAAUACAAUUCACCGCACAAUACAUAUAAAUUUUCUCUAGAUCAAAAUCAAGAAAUCUACCAAGAUUAAACUUUGGAAUACCCUCAGUUAUACUUUUCAUUUCCUCAUACCCCAAAAGAAGACUAAGCUCUUUAUGAUGCUCAAGGGUAAUCAAAUUAUCACAAUUUUUGGGUACGAUUUGGUCAUGAAACAAUUUGCAUUGGAGAUUUAAAUGACCAUGUUCAUUGCAAAGUUCACAAGGGGCGCGAAAAAUAUUGAAUUUUUCAGCACAAACAUCAAGACUUUCUUGCAACAAUUUAGUUUCUAAAUACUUAUGCCUCUUGCAAUAUCUAUCUUCCCUAUUUGGUGUAUACUUGCAAACCCAAUGCACUCCACAAAAAUUGACAUGUUUAUAGGAGACAUUUUCAUCAUAACUAGUGCAAUCAUCAUUAGUACUACGGAUAUUCAAAGAGUUCAUACUAACAACAUUCCAAUCAUGCUCAUCAUUCAAAGAUUUAGUGCCAAACAUUUUAAUGCAUUCUUCUUAUAACACUUUGGCACAAUUUUCCUUUCCACCAUACUCACGGAAGAUAUUAAAAAGAUGAAGCGUAUGAGACAAACUCAAUGUUGGGGAACGUUGCAGAAAACAAAAAAAUUCCUACGGUUUCACCAAGAUCCAUCUAUGAGUUCAUCUAGCAACGAGUGAUCGGAUGCAUCUACAUACCUUGUAGAUCGUGAGCGGAAGCGUUCAAAGAAUGGGGAUGAGGGAGUCGUACUCGAUGUGAUCCAAAUCACCGGAGAUCCUAGCGCCGAACGGACGACACCUCCGCGUUCAACACACGUACGGUCAACGUGACGUCUCCUCCUUCUUGAUCCAGCAAGGGGAAGGAGAGGUUGAGGAAGAUGGGUCCAGCAGCAGCACGACGGCGUGGUGGUGGUGGAGAAGCAGUACUCCGACAGGGCUUUGCCGAGCUCUACGGAGGAGGAGGAGGUGUUGGAGGGGAGAGGGAGGCGCCAAGGGCAUGGGUGCGGCUGCCCUCCCUCCCCCCCUCUAUAUAUAGGGUCCCCAAGGGGGGGGCGCCGGCCCUGGAGAUUCAAUCUCCCAAGGGGCGCGGCCAAGGGGGGUGGAGUGCCCCCCAAGGCAAGUGGGGCGUGAAGGAAAUAUGCCCUAGAGGCAAUAAUAAAGUUAUUAUUUAUUUCCUUAUAAUCAUGAUAAAUGUUUAUUAUUCAUGCUAGAAUUGUAUUAACCGAAAACAUAAUACAUGUGUGAAUACAUAGACAAACAAGGUGUCACUAGUAUGCCUCUACUUGACUAGCUCGUUAAUCAAAGAUGAUUAUGUUUCCUAAUCAUGAACAAUGAGUUGUUAUUUGAUUAACGGGAUCACAUCAUUAAGAGAAUGAUCUGAUUGACAUGACCCAUUCCAUUAGCUUAGCACCCGAUCGUUUAGUAUGUUGCUAUUGCUUUCUUCAUGACUUAUACAUGUUCCUAUAACUAUGAGAUUAUGCAACUCCCGUUUACCGGAGGAACACUUUGGGUACUACCAAACGUCACAACAUAACUGGGUGAUUAUAAAGGAGUAUUACAGGUGUCUCCAAAGGUACAUGUUGGGUUGGCGUAUUUCGAGAUUAGGUUUUGUCACUCCGAUUGUCGGAGAGGUAUCUCUGGGCCCUCUCGGUAAUGCACAUCACUUAAGCCUUGCAAGCAUUGCAACUAAAUGAGUUAGUUGCGGGAUGGUGUAUUACGGAACGAGUAAGGAGACUUGCCGGCAACGAGAUUGAACUAGGUAUUGGAAUACCGACGAUCGAAUCUCGGGCAAGUAACAUACCGAUGACAAAGGGAACGACGUAUGUUGUUAUGCGGUCUAACCGAUAAAGAUCUUCGUAGAAUAUGUAGGAGCCAAUAUGGGUAUCCAGGUACCGCUAUUGGUUAUUGACUGGAGACAUGUCUCGGUCAUGUCUACAUUGUUCUCGAACCCGUAGGGUCCGCACGCUUAAGGUUACGAUGACAGUUAUAUUAUGAGUUUAUGCAUUUUGAUGUACCGAAGGUUGUUCGGAGUCCCGGAUGUGAUCAUGGACAUGACAAGGAGUCUCAAAAUGGUCGAGGCAUAAAGAUUGAUAUAUUGGAAGCCUAUGUUUGGAUAUCGAAAGUGUUCCGGGUGAAAUCGGGAUUUUACCGGAGAACCGGGAGGUUACCGGAACCCCCCGGGAGCUAAAUGGGCCAUGAUGGGCCUUAGUGGAAAAGAGAAGAGGCAGCCCUACAUGGGCCGCGCGCCCCUCCCCUCCCUUGGUCCGAAUAGGACAAGGAGAGGGGGCCGACCCCUCUCUCUCUUUUCCCCCCUCCGCGAAUCCUAUUCCAACUAGGAUUGGGGGGGGGGGGAAUCCUACCCCGAGAGGGAGUAGGACUCUCCUGGCGCGCCCUCCUUGGCCGGCCAGCCUCCUCCCUUUAGUCCUUUAUAUACGGAGGCAGGGGCACCCCAGAAACACACAAGUUGAUCCACGUGAUCUAUUCCUUAGCCGUGUGCGGCGCCCCCAGCCACCAUAGUCCUCGAUAAUACUGUACCGGAGUUUAGGCGAAGCCCUGCUGCUGUAGUGCAUCAUGAUCGUCACCACGCCGUCGUGCUGACGGAACUCUUCCCCGACACUUUGCUGGAUCGGAGUCCGAGGAUCGUCAUCGAGCUGAAUGUGUGCUAGAACUCGGAGGUGCCGUAGUUUCGUUGCUUGAUCGGUCGGAUCAUGAAGACGUACGACUACAUCAACCAAACGCUUCUGUUGUCGAUCUACUAGGUAUGUAGAUCACACUCCCCCCCCCUCGUUGCUAUGCAUCACAUGAUCUUGCGUGUGCGUAGGAAUUUUUUUGAAAUUACUACGUCCCCAACAGUGGCAUCCGAGCCUAGGUUUUAUAUGUUGAUGUUAUAUGCACGAGUAGAACACAAGUGAGUUGUGGGCGAUAUAAGUCAUACUGCCUACCAGCAUGUCAUACUUUGGUUCGGCGGUAUUGUUGGAUGAAGCGGCCCAGACCGACAUUACGCGUACGCUUACGCGAGACCGGUUCUCGCGACGUGCUUUGCACAGAGGUGGCUUGUGGGUGACAGUUUCUCCAACUUUAGUUGAACCAAGUGUGGCUACACCCGGUCCUUGCGAAGGUUAAAACGGAGUCAAAUUGACAAACUAUCGUUGUGGUUUUGAUGCGUAGGUGAGAUUUGUUCUUACUUAAGCCUGUAGCAGCCACGUAAAACUUGCAACAACAAAGUAGAGGACGUCUAACUUGUUUUUGCAGGGCAUGUUGUGAUGUGAUAUGGUCAAGACAUGAUGCUGAAUUUUAUUGUAUGAGAUGAUCAUGUUUUGUAACCGAGUUAUCGGCAACCGGCAGGAGCCAUAUGGUUGUCGCUUUAUUGUAUGCAAUGCAAUCGCGAUGUAAUGCUUUACUUUAUCACUAAAUGGUAGCGAUAGUCGUGGAAGCACAAGCUUGGCGAGACGACAAUGGUGCUACGAUGGAGAUCAAGGUGUCACGCCGGUGACGAUGGUGAUCACGACGGUGCUUCAGAGAUGGAGAUCACAAGCACAAGAUGAUGAUGGCCAUAUCAUAUCACUUAUAUUGAUUGCAUGUGAUGUUUAUCUUUUAUGCAUCUUAUCUUGCUUUGAUUGACGGUAGCAUUAUAAGAUGAUCUCUCACUAAAUUAUCAAGAAGUGUUCUCCCUGAGUAUGCACCGUUGCGAAAGUUCUUCGUGCUGAGACACCAUGUGAUGAUCGGGUGUGAUAGGUUCUACGUUCAAAUACAACGGGUGCAAAAUAGUUGCACACGCGGAAUACUCAGGUUAUACUUGACGAGCCAAGCAUAUACAGAUAUGGCCUCGGAACACGGAGACCGAAAGGUCGAGCGUGAAUCAUAUAGUAGAUAUGAUCAACAUAGCGAUGCUCACCAAUGAAACUACUCCAUCUCACGUGAUGAUCGGACAUGGUUUAGUUGAUUUGGAUCACGUGAUCACUUAGAGGAUUAGAGGGAUGUCUAUCUAAGUGGGACUUCUUAAGUAAUAUGAUUAAUUGAACUUAAAUUUAUCAUGAACUUAGUCCUGGUAGUAUUUUGCAAAUUAUGUUGUAGAUCAAUAGCUCGCAUUGUUGCUUCCCUGUGUUUAUUUUGAUAUGUUCCUAGAGAAAAUUGUGUUGAAAGAUGUUAGUAGCAAUGAUGCGGAUUGGAUCCAUGAUCUGAGGUUUAUCCUCAUUGCUGCAUAGAAGAAUUAUGUCCUUGAUGCACCGCUAGGUGACAGACCUAUUGCAGGAGCAGAUGCAGAUGUUAUGAACAUUUGGCUAGCUCAAUAUGAUGACUACUUGAUAGUUUAGUGCACCAUGCUUAAUGGCUUAGAAUCGGGACUUCAAAGACAUUUUGAACGUCAUGGACCAUAUGAGAUGUUCCAGGAGUUGAAGUUAAUAUUUCAAGCAAAUACCCGAGUUGAGAGAUAUGAAGUCUCCAACAAGGUCUAUAGCUAAAAGAUGGAGGAGAAUCGCUCAACUAGUGAGCAUGUGCUCAGAUUGUCUGGGUACUACAAUCGCUUGAAUCAAGUGGGAGUUAAUCUUCCAGAUAAGAUAGUGAUUGACAGAAUUCUCUAGUCACCAUCACCAAGUUAGUAGAACUUCCUGAUGAACUAUGAUAUGCAAGGGAUAACGGAAAUGAUUCCCAAGCUCUUCGUAAUGCGGAAAUUGACGAAGGUAGAAAUCGAGAAAAACAUCAAGUGUUGAUGGUAGACAAGACCACUAGUUUCAAGAAAAGGGCAGAGGGAAGAAGGGGAACUUCAAGAAGAACAGCAAGCAUGUUGCUACUCAAGUGAAGAAGCCCAAGUCUGGUCCUAAGCCUGAGACUAAGUGUUUCUACUGCAAAGGGACUGGUCACUGAAAGCGGAACUACCCCAAGUGAUUGGCAGAUAAGAAGGAUGGCAAAAUGAACAUAAGUAUAUUUGAUAUACAUGUUAUUGAUGUGUACUUUACUAGUGUUUAUAGCAACCCCUCAGUAUUUGAUACUAGUUCAGUUGCUAAGAUUAGUAACUUGAAACGGGAGUUGCAGAAUAAACAGAGACUAGUUAAGGGUGAAGUGACGAUGUGUGUUGGAAGUGGUUCCAAGAUUGAUAUGAUCAUCAUCGCACACUCCCUAUACUUUCGGGAUUAGUGUUGAACCUGAAUAAGUGUUAUUUGGUGUUUGUGUUAAGCAUGAAUAUGAUUUGAUCAUGUUUAUUAUAAUACGGAUAUUCAUUUAAGUAAGAGAAUAAAUUGUUGUUCUGUUUACAUGAAUAAAACCUUAUAUGGUUACACACCCAAUGAAAAUAGUUCAUUGGAUCUCGAUCGUAGUGAUACACAUAAUCAUAAUAUUGAAACCAAAAGAUGCAAAGUUAAUAAUGAUAGUGCAACUUAUUUGUAGCACUGCCAUUUAGGUCAUAUUGGUGUAAAGUGCAUGAAGAAACUCCAUGCUGAUGGAUUUUGGAAUCACUUGAUUAUGAAUCACUUGAUGCUUGAGAACCAUGCCUCAUGGUCAAGAUGACUAAGACUCCGUUCUCCGGAGAGAGCAACUGACUUAUUGGAAAUAAUACAUACUGAUGUAUGCGGUCCGAUGAGUGUUAAGGCUCACGGCAAGUAUCGUUAUUUUCUGAACUUCACAGAUGAUUUGAGCAAGAUAUGGGUAUAUCUACUUGAUGAAACAUAAGUCCUAAACAUUUGAAAAGUUCAAAGAAUUUCAGAGUGAAGUGGAAAAUCAUCAUGACAAGAAAAAAAAAUUUCUAUGAUCUGAUCGCGGAGACAAAUAUUUGAGUUACGAGUUUGGUCUUCAAAUAAAACAAUGUGGAAUAGUUUCACAAACUCAUGCCACAUGGAACACCACAGCAUAAUGGUGUGUCUGAACAUUAUAACCGUACUUUAUUAGAUAUGGUGCGAUCUAUGAUGUUUUUUUUUGAUCUACCACUAUCGUUUUGGGGUUAUGCAUUAAAGACAGCUGCAUUCACAUUUAAAAGGGCACCAUCUAAGUCCGUUGAGACGACACAAUCUGAACUGUGGUUUGGCAAGAAACCAAAGUUGUCAUUUCUUAAAGUUUGGGAUUGUGAUGCUUAUAUGAAAAGGUUUCAUCCUGAUAAGCUCAAAUCCAAAUAGGAGAAAUAUGUCUUCAUAGGAUACCCAAAGGAGACUGUUGGGUACACCUUCUAUCACAAAUCCGAAGGCAAGACUUUUGUUGCUAAAUUCGGAGUUUUUCUAGAGAAGGAGUUUCUCUCGAAAGAAGUGAGUGGGAGGAAAGUAGAACUUGAUGAGGUAACUGUACCUGCUCCCUUAUUGGAAAGUAGUUCAUCACAGAAAUCUGUUCCUGUGACUACUACACCAAUUCGUGAGGAAGCUAAUGAUGAUGAUCAUGUAACUUCAGAUCAAGUUACUACCAAAUCUCGUAGGUAAACCAGAGUGAGAUCCACACCAGAGUGGUACGGUAAUCCCAUUCUGGAAGUCGUGUUACUAGACCAUGACGAACUUGCGAACUAUGAGGAAGCGAUGAUGAGCCCAGAUUCUGCGAAAUGGUUUGAGGUCAUGAAAUCUGAGAUAUGAUCCAUGUAUGAGAACAAAGUAUGGACUUUGAUGGAUUUGCUCGAUGAUCGGCAAGCCAUAGAAAAUAAAUGGAUCUUCAAGAGGAAGACAGACGCUGAUAGUAGUGUUACUAUCUACAAAGCUAGAAUUGUCGCAAAAGGUUUUCGACAAGUUCAAGGAGUUGACUACGAUGAGAUUUUCUCACUCGUAUCUAUGCUUAAGUCUGUCCGAAUCAUGUUAGCAAUUGCCGCAUUUUAUGAAAUCUGGCAAAUGGAUAAACAAAACUGCAUUCCUUAAUGGAUUUACUAAAGAAGAGUUGUAUACGAUGCAACUAGAAGGUUUUGUCGAUCCUAAAGGUGUUAACUAAAUAUGCAAGCUCCAGCGAUCCAUCUAUGGACUAGUGCAAGAAUCUCAGAGUUGGAAUAUACGCUUUGAUAAGUUGAUCAAAGCAUAUAGUUUUAUGCAGACUUGCGGUGAAGCCUGUAUUUACAAGAAAGUGAGUGGGAGCACUACAACAUUUCUGAUAAGUAUAUGUGAAUGACAUAUUGUUGAUCGGAAAUAAUGUAGAAUUAUUCUGCAAAGCAUAAAGGAGUGUUUGAAAGGAGUUUUUUCAAAAAGGACCUCGAAGAAGCUGCUUACAUAUUGAGCAUCAAGAUCUAUAGAGAUAGAUCAAGACGCUUGAUAAGUUUUUUUUCAAUGAGUACAUACCUUGACAAGAUUUUAUAAUAGUUCAAAAUGGAACAGUCAAAGAAAGUGUUCUUGCCUGUGUCAUAAGGUGUGAAAUUGAGUAAGACUCAAAGCCCGACCACGGCAGAAGAUAGAAAGAGAAUGAAUGUCAUUCCCUAUGCCUCGGUCAUAGGUUCUAUAAAGUAUGCCAUGCUGUGUACCAGAUCUAUUGUAUACCCUACCAUUGAGUUUGGCAAGGGAGUACAAUAGUGAUCUAGGAGUAGAUCACUGGACAGCGGUCAAAAUUAUCCUUAGUGGAAUAAGGAAAUAUUUCUCAAUUAUGGAGGUGACAAAAAGGUUCGUCGUAAAAAGUUACAUCGAUGCAUGUUUUGACACAGAUCUGGAUGACUCUAAGUCUCGAUCUAGAUACAUAUUGAAAGUGGGAGCAAUAAGUUAGAGUAGCUCCGUGCAGAGCAUUGUUGACAUAGAAAUUCGCAAAAUACUUACGGAUCCGAAUGUGACAGACCUGUUGACUAAAAUUAUCUCACAAGCAAAACAUGAUCACACCUUAGUACUCUUUGGGUAUUAAUCACAUAGCGAUGUGAACUAGAUUACUGACUCUAGUAAACCCUUUGGGUGUUGAUCACAUAUCGAUGUGAACUAUGGGUGUUAAUCACAUGGUGAUGUGAACUAUUGUUGUUAAAUCACAUGGCGAUGUGAACUAGAUUAUUGACUCUAGUGCAGGUGGGAGACCGAAGGAAAUAUGCCCUAGAGGCAAUAAUAAAGUUAUUAUUUAUUUCCUUAUAAUCAUGAUAAAUGUUUAUUAUUCAUGCUAGAAUUGUAUUAACUGGAAACAUAAUACAUGUGUGAAUACAUAGACAAACAAAGUGUCACUAGUAUGCCUCUACUUGACUAGCUCGUUAAUCAAAGAUGAUUAUGUUUCCUAAUCAUGAACAAUGAGUUGUUAUUUGAUUAACGAGAUCACAUCAUUAAGAGAAUGAUUUGAUUGACAUGACCCAUUCCAUUAGCUUAGCACCCGAUCAUUUAGUAUGUUGCUAUUGCUUUCUUCAUGACUUAUACAUGUUCCUAUAACUAUGAGAUUAUGCAACUCCCGUUUACCGGAGGAACACUUUGGGUACUACCAAAGGUCACAAUGUAACUGGGUGAUUAUAAAGGAGUAUUACAGGUCUCUCCAAAGGUACAUGUUGGGUUGGCGUAUUUCGAGAUUAGGUUUUGUCACUCCGAUUGUCGGAGAGGUAUCUCUGAGCCCUCUCGGUAAUGCACAUCACUUAAGCCUUGCAAGCAUUGCAACUAAAUGAGUUAGUUGCGGGAUGAUGUAUUACGGAACGAGUAAAGAGACUUGCCGGCAACGAGAUUGAACUAGGUAUUGGAAUACCGACGAUCGAAUCUCGGGCAAGUAACAUACCGAUGACAAAGGGAACGACGUAUGUUGUUAUGCGGUCUGACCGAUAAAGAUCUUCAUAGAAUAUGUAGGAGCCAAUAUGGGCAUCCAGGUCCCGCUAUUGGUUAUUGACUGGAGACAUGUCUCGGUCAUGUCUACAUUGUUCUCGAACCCGUAGGGUCCGCACGCUUAAGGUUACGAUGACAGUUAUAUUAUGAGUUUAUGCAUUUUGAUGUACCGAAGGUUGUUCAGAGUCUCGGAUGUGAUCACGGACAUGAUGAGGAGUCUCGAAAUGGUCGAGACAUAAAGAUUGAUAUAUUGGAAGCCUAUGUUUGGAUAUCGGAAGUGUUCCAGGUGAAAUCGGGAUUUUACCGGAGUACCGGGAGGUUACCGGAACCCCCCGGGAGCUAAAUGGGCCAUGAUGGGCCUUAGUGGAAAAGAGAAGAGGCAGCCCUACAUGGGCCGCGCGCCCCUCCCCUCCCUUGGUCCGAAUAGGACAAGGAGAGGGGGCCGGACCCUCUCUCUCUUUUCCCUCCUCCGCGAAUCCUAUUCCAACUAGGAUUGGGGGGGGGGGGGAUCCUACUCCCAGAGGGAGUAGGACUCUCCUGGCGCGCCCUCCUUGGCCGGCCAGCCUCCCCCCUUUAGUCCUUUAUAUACGGAGGCAAAGGCACCCCAGAGACACACAAGUUGAUCCACGUGAUCUAUUCCUUAGCCGUGUGCAGCGCCCCCAGCCACCAUAGUCCUCAAUAAUACUGUAGCGGAGUUUAGGCGAAGCCCUGCUGCUGUAGUGCAUCAAUAUCGUCACCACGCCGUCGUGCUGACGGAACUCUUCCCCGACACUUUGCUGGAUCGGAGUCCGAGGAUCGUCAUCGAGUUGAACGUGUGCUAGAACUCAGAGGUGCCGUAGUUUCGGUGCUUGAUCGGUCGGAUCGUGAAGACGUACGACUACAUAAACCAAACACUUCCGUUGUCGAUGUACUAGGUAUGUAGAUCACACUCCCCCCCCCUCGUUGCUAUGCAUCACAUGAUCUUGCGUUUGCGUAGGAAAUUUUUUGAAAUUACUACGUUCCCCAACAGGGCGCCCCCCACCCUAGGGUUCCCAACCCUAGUCGCAGGGGGAAGGCCCAAGGGGGGCGCACCAGCCCACUAGGGGCUGGUUCCCCUCCCACUUCAGCCCAUGGGGCCCUCUGGGAUAGGUGGCACCACCCGGUGGACCCCCGGGACCCUUCCAGUGGUCCCGGUACAAUACCGGUGACCCCGAAACUUGUCCCGAUGGCCGAAAUAGCACUUCCUAUAUAUAAUUCUUUACCUCCGGACCAUUCCGGAACUCCUCGUGACGUCCGGUAUCUCAUUCGGGACUCCGAACAACUUUCUGGUUACUGCAUAUUCAUAUCCCUACAACCCUAGCGUCACCGAACCUUAAGUGUGUAGACCCUACGGGUUCGGGAGACAUGUAGACAUGACCGAGAUGGCUCUCCGGUCAAUAACCAACAGCGGGAUCUGGAUACCCAUGUUGGCUCCCACAUGCUCCUCGAUGAUCUCAUCGGGUGAACCACGAUGUCGAGGAUUCAAGCAACCCCGUAUACAAUUCCCUUUGUCAAUCGGUACGUUACUUGCCCGAGAUUCGAUCGUCGGUAUCCCAAUACCUCGUUCAAUCUCGUUACCGGCAAGUCACUUUACUCGUACCGUAAUGCAUGAUCCCGUGACCAGACACUUGGUCACUUUGAGCUCAUUGUGAUGAUGGAUUACCGAGUGGGCCCAGAGAUACCUCUUCGUCAUAUGGAGUGACAAAUCCUAGUCUUGAUCCGCGUCAACCCAACAGACACUUUCGGAGAUACCCGUAGUAUACCUUUAUAGUCAGCCAGUUACGUUGUGACGUUUGGUACACCCAAAGCACUCCUACGGUAUCCGGGAGUUACACGAUCUCAUGGUCUAAGGAAAGGAUACUUGACAUUGGAAAAACUCUAGCAAACGAACUAUACGAUCUUGUGCUAUGUUUAGGAUUGGGUCUUGUCCAUCACAUCAUUCUCCUAAUGAUGUGAUCUCGUUAUCAAUGACAUCCAAUGUCCAUAGUCAGGAAACCAUGACUAUCUGUUGAUCAACGAGCUAGUCAACUAGAGGCUUACUAGGGACAUGUUGGUGUCUAUUUAUUCGCACAUGUAUUACGAUUUCCUGAUAACACAAUUAUAGCAUGAAUAAAAUACAAUUAUCAUGAACAAGGUAAUAUAAUAAUAAUGCUUUUAUCAUUGCCUCUAGGGCGUAUUUCCAACAGUCUGCCGCUUGCACUAGAGUCAAUAAUCUAGUUACAUUGUGAUGAAUCGAACACCCAUGGAAUUCUGGUGUUGAUCAUGUUUUGCUCUAGGGAGAGGUUUAGUCAACGGAUCUGCUACAUUCAGGUCCGUAUGUACUUUACAAAUAUCUAUGUCUCCAUCUUGAACAUUUUCACGAAUGGAAUUGAAUCGACGCUUGAUGUGCCUGGUCUUCUUGUGAAACCUGGGCUCCUUGGCAAGUGCAAUAGCUCCAGUGUUGUCACAGAAGAGUUUGAUUGGCCCCGACGCAUUGGGUAUGACUCCUAGGUCAGUGAUGAACUCCUUCACCCAAAUUGCUUCAUGCGCUGCCUCAGAGGCUGCCAUGUACUCCGCUUCACAUGUAGAUCCCGCAGCGACGCUCUGCUUGCAAUUGCACCAGCUUACUGCCCCACCAUUCAAAAUAUACACUUAUCCGGUUUGUGACUUAGAGUCAUCCAGAUCUGUGUCGAAGCUAGCAUCGAUGUAACCCUUUACGACGAGCUCUUCGUCACCUCCAUAAACGAGAAACAUUUCCUUAGUCCUUUUCAGGUACUUCAGGAUAUUCUUCACCGCUGUCCAGUGUUCCUUGCCGGGAUUACUUUGGUACCUACCUACCAAACUUACGGCAAGGUUUACAUCAGGUCUGGUACACAGCAUGGCAUACAUAAUAGAACCUAUGGCUGAGGCAUAGGGGAUGACACUCAUCUCUUCUAUAUCUUCUGCCGUGGUCGGACAUUGAGCUGAGCUCAAUUUCACACCUUGCAACACAGGCAAGAACCCCUUCCUAGACUGAUCCAUAUUGAACUUCUUCAAUAUCUUAUCAAGGUAUGUACUUUGUGAAAGACCUAUGAGGCGUCUUGAUCUAUCUCUAUAGAUCUUGAUGCCUAAUAUAUAUGCAGCUUCUCCAAGGUCCUUCAUUGAAAAACUCUUAUUCAAGUAGGCCUUAAUGUUGUCCAAGAGUUCUAUAUCAUUUUCCAUCAAAAGUAUGUCAUCUACAUAUAAUAUGAGAAAUGCUACAGAGCUCCCACUCACUUUCUUGUAAACGCAGGCUUCUCCAUAAGUCUGCGUAAACCCAAACACUUUGAUCAUCUCAUCAAAGCGAAUGUUCCAACUCCGAGAUGCUUGCACUAGCCCAUAAAUCGAGGGUUGGAGCUUGCACACCUUGUCAGCAUUCUUAGGAUCGACAAAACCUUCCGGCUGCAUCAUAUACAAUUCUUCCUUAAGGAAACCAUUAAGGAAUGCCGUUUUGACGUCCAUUUUCCAUAUCUCAUAAUCAUAGAAUGCGGCAAUUGCUAACAUGAUUCGGACGGACUUUAGCUUCGCUACCGGUGAGAAAGUCUCAUCGUAGUCAACCCCUUGAACUUGUCGAUAACCCUUAGUGAAAAGCCGAGCUUUAUAGAUGGUCACAUUACCAUCCGCAUCUGUCUUCUUCUUAAAGAUCCAUUUAUUUUCUAUGGCUCGCCGCUCAACGGGCAAGUCAGUCAAAGUCCAUACUUUUUUUUCAUACAUGGAUCCUAUCUCGGAUUUCAUGGCUUCUAGCCAUUUGUCAGAAUCCGGGCCCGUCAGCGCUUUUUCAUAGUUCGGAGGUUCACCAUUGUCUAACAACAUGAUUUCCAAGACAGGGUUGCCGUACCACUCUGGUGCGGAACGUGUCCUUGUGGACCUACGAAGUUCAGUAGCAACUUGAUCCGAAGUUUCAUGAUCAUCUUCAUUAAUUUCCUCUCUAGUCGGUGCAGGCACCUCAGGAACAUUUUCUUGAGUUGUGCCAUUUUCCGGUUCAAGAGGUAAUACUUCAUCAAGUUCUACUUUCCUCCCACUUACUUCUUUCGAGAGAAACUCCUUCUCUAGAAAGGAUCCAUUCUUGGCAACAAAGAUCUUUGCCUUCGGAUCUGAGGUAGAAGGUAUACCCAAUAGUUUCUUUAGGGUAUCCUAUGAAGACGCAUUUUUCCGACUUGGGUUCGAGCUUUUCAGGUUGAAGUUUCUUGACAUAAGCAUCGCAUCCCCAAACUUUUAGAAACUAUAGCUUAGGUUUCUUCCCAAACCAUAAUUCAUACGGUGUCGUCUCAACGGAUUUCGACGGAGCCCUAUUUAAAGUGAAUGCGGCAGUCUGUAAAGCAUAGCCCCAAAAUAAUUGCGGUAAUUCGGUAAGAGUGAUCAUAGAUCGCACCAUAUCUAAUAGAGUGCGAUUACGACAUUCAGACACACCAUUACGCUGAGGUGUUCCAGGCGGCGUCAGUUGUGAAACUAUUCCACAUUUUCUUAAGUGUGUGCCAAAUUCGUGACUCAAGUAUUCUCCUCCAUGAUCUGAUCACAAGAACUUGAUUUUCCUGUCACGUUCAUUCUCAACCUCACUCUAAAAUUCCUUGAACUUUUCAAAGGUCUCAGACUUGUGUUUCAUUAAAUAGACAUACCCAUAUCUACUCAAGUCAUCAGUGAGGGUGAGAACAUAACGAUAGCCACCGCGAGCCCCAGCACUCAUUGGACCGCACGCAUCAGUAUGUAUGAUUUUCAAUAAGUUGGUUGCUCGCUCCAUUGUUCCUGAGAACAGAGUCUUGGUCAUUUUACCCAUGAGGCAUGGUUCGCACGUGUCAAAUGAUUCGUAAUCAAGAGACUCUAGAAGUCCAUCUGCAUGGAGCUUCUUCAUGCGUUUGACACCUAUGUGACCAAGGCGGCAGUGCCACAAGUAUGUGGGACUAUUAUUAUCAACCUUACAUCUUUUGGUAUUCACACUAUGAAUAUGUGUAGCAUUACGCUCGAGAUUCAUUAAGAAUAAACCAUUCACCAUCGGAGCAUGACCAUAAAACAUAUCUCUCAUAUAAAUAGAACAACCAUUAUUCUCGGAUUUAAAUGAGUAGCCAUCUCGUAUUAAACGAGAUCCUGAUACAAUGUUCAUGCUCAAACUUGGCACUAAAUAACAAUUAUUGAGGUUCAAAACUAAUCCCGUAGGUAAAUGUAGAGGUAGCGUGCCGACGGCGAUCACAUCGACCUUGGAACCAUUCCCGACGCGCAUCGUCACCUCGUCCUUCGCCAGUCUCCGCUUAUUCCGCAGCUCCUGCUUUGAGUUACAAAUGUGAGCAACUUCACCGGUAUCAAAUACCCAAGAGCUACUACAAGUACUGGUAAGGUACACAUCAAUUACAUGUAUAUCACAUAUACCUUUAUGAUGCCGGCCUUCUUGUCCGCUAAGUAUUUGGGGCAGUUCCGCUUCCAGUGACCACUUCCCUUGCAAUAAAAGCACUCAGUCUCGGGCUUGGGUCCAUUCUUUGGCUUCUUCCCGGCAGCUUGCUUGCCGGGCGCGGCAACUCCCUUGCCGUCCUUCUUGAAGUUCUUCUUACCCUUGCCUUUCUUGAACUUAGUGGUUUUAUUCACCAUCAACACUUGAUGUUCCUUUUUGACUUCUACCUCUGCUUAUUUCAGCAUUGCAAAUACUUCAGGAAUGGUCUUUUCCAUCCCCUGCAUAUUGAAGUUCAUCACAAAGCUCUUGUAGCUUGGUGGAAGCGACUAGAGGAUUCUCUCAAUGGCCGCGUCAUUUGGGAGAUUAACUCCCAGCUGAGUCAAGCGGUUAUGUAACCCAGACAUAGUGAGUAUGUGCUCACUGACAGAACUAUUUUCCUCCAUCUUACAGCUGAAUAACUUGUCGGAGACUUCAUAUCUCUCGACCCUGGCAUGAGCUUGAAAAACCAUUUUCAGCUCUUCGAACAUCUCAUAUGCUCCGUGUCUCUCAAAAUGCUUUUGGAGCCCCGGCUCUAAGCUGUAAAGCAUGCGGCACUGAACGAGGGAGUAAUCAUCGGAACGUGUCUGCCAAGCGUUCAUAACGUCUUGUUCUGCAGGGAGAACAGGUGCUUCACCUAGCGGUGCUUGUAGGACAUAAUCUUUCUUGGCAGCUAUGAGGAUGAUCCUCAGGUUCCGGACCCAGUCCGUAUAGUUCCUGCCAUCAUCUUUCAGCUUGGUUUUCUCUAGGAACGCGUUGAAGUUGAGGACAACAUUGGUCAUUUGAUCUACAAGACAUAUUGUAAAUAUUUUAGACUAAGUUCAUGAUAAUUAAGUUCAUCUAAUCAAAUUAUUCAGUGAACUCCCACUUAGAUAGACAUCCCUCCAGUCAUCUAAGUAUAACAUGAUCCGAGUUAACUAGGCCGUGUCCGAUCAUCACGUGAGACGGACUAGUCAACAUCGGUGAACAUCUUCAUGUUGAUCGUAUCUUCUAUACGACUCAUGCUCGACCUUUCGGUCUUCUAUGUUCCGAGGCCAUGUCUAUACAUGCUAGGCUCGUCAAGUCAACCUAAGUGUUUGCAUGUGUAAAUCUGUCUUACACCCGUUGUAUGUGAACGUUGGAAUCUAUCAUACCCGAUCAUCACGUGGUGCUUCGAAACAACGAACUGUCGCAACGGUGCACAGUUAGGGGGAACAUUUUCUUGAAAUUAUUAUGAGGGAUCAUCUUAUUUACUACCGUCGUUCUAAGUAAACAAGAUGCAAAAACAUGAUAAACAUCACAUGCAAUAAUAAUAGUGACAUGAUAUGGCCAAUAUCACAUAGCUCCUUUGAUCUCCAUCUUGGGGCUCCAUGAUCAUCUUGUCACCGGCAUGACACCAUGAUCUCCAUCAUCAUCGUGUCUCCAUGAAGUUGCUCGCCAACUAUUACUUCUACUACUAUGGCUAACACGUUUAGCAAUAAAGUAAAGUAAUUUACAUGGCGUUUCUCAAUGACACGCAGGUCAUACAAAAAAAUAAAGACAACUCCUAUGGCUCCUGCCGGUUGUCAUACUCAUCGACAUGCAAGUCGUGAUUCCUAUUACAAUAGCAUGAACAUCUCAUACGUCACAUAUAUAUCAUUCAUCAUUCAUCACAACUUUGGCCAUAUCACAUCACAAAACACUUGCUGCAAAAACAAGUUAGACGUCCUCUAAUUGUUGUUGCAAGUUUUACGUGGCUGAAAUAGGGUUCUAGCAAGAAUGUUUUCUUACCUACGUGAAAGCCACAACGUGAUUUGUCAACUUCUAUUUACCCUUCAUAAGGACCCUUUUCAUCGAAUCCGCUCCAACUAAAGUGGGAGAGACAGACACCCGCCAACCACCUUAUGCAACUAGUGCAUGUUAGUCGGUGGAACCGGUCUCACAUAAGCGUACGUGUAAGGUUGGUCCGGGCCGCUUUAUCCCACAAUACCGCUGAAGCAAAAUAAGACUAGUAGCGGCAAGAAAGUUGACAACAUCUACGCCCACAACAAAUUAUGUUCUACUCGUGCAAAGAGAACUACACAUAGACCUAGCUCAUGAUGCCACUGUUGGGGAACGUUGCAGAAAACAAAAAAAUUCCUACGGUUUCACCAAGAUCCAUCUAUGAGUUCAUCUAGCAAGGAGUGAUCGGAUGCAUCUACAUACCUUGUAGAUCAUGAGCGGAAGCGUUCAAAGAACGGGGAUGAGGGAGUCGUACUCGACGUGAUCCAAAUCACCGGAGAUCCUAGCGCCGAACGGACGGCACCUCCGCGUUCAACACACGUACGGUCAGCGUGACGUCUCCUCCUUCUUGAUCCAGCAAGGGGAAGGAGAGGUUGAGGAAGAUGGCUCCAGCAGCAGCACGACGGCGUGAUGGUGGUGGAGAAGCAGUACUCCGACUAGGCUUCGCCGAGCUCUACGGAGGAGGAGGAGGUGUUGGAGGGGAGAGGGAGGCGCCAAGGGCAUGGGUGCGGCUGCCCUCCCUCCCCCCUCUAUAUAUAGGGUCCCCAAGGGGGGCGCCGGCCCUGGAGAUCCAAUCUCCCAAGGGGCGGCGGCCAAGGGGGGUGGAGUGCCCCCCAAGGCAAGUGGGGCGCCCCCCACCCUAGGGUUCCCAACCCUAGGAGCAGGGGGAAGGCCCAAGGGGGGCGCACCAGCCCACUAGGGGCUGGUUCCCCUCCCACUUCAGCCCAUGGGGCCCUCCGGGAUAGGUGGCCCCACCCGGUGGACCCCCGGGACCCUUCCGGUGGUCCCGGUACAAUACCGGUGACCCCGAAACUUGUCCCGAUUGCCGAAAUAGCACUUCCUAUAUAUAAUUCUUUACCUCCGGACCAUUCCGGAACUCCUUGUGACGUCCAGGAUCUCAUCCGAGACUCCUAACAACUUUCGGGUUACUGCAUAUUCAUAUCCCUACAACCCUAGCGUCAUCGAACCUUAAGUGUGUAGACCCUACGGGUUUGGGAGACAUGUAGACAUGACCGAGAUGGCUCUCCGGUCAAUAACCAACAAUGGGAUCUAGAUACCUAUGUUGGCUCCCACAUGCUCCUCGAUGAUCUCAUCGGAUGAACCACGAUGUCGAGGAUUCAAGCAACCCCGUAUACAAUUCCCUUUGUCAAUCGGUACGUUACUUGCCCGAGAUUCGAUCGUCGGUACAAUACCUCGUUCAAUCUCGUUACCGGCAAGUCACUUUACUCGUACUGUAAUGCAUGAUCCCGUGACCAGACACUUGGUCACUUUGAGCUCAUUGUGAUGAUGCAUUACCGAAUGGGCCCAGAGAUACCUCUCCGUCAUACGGAGUGACAAAUCCCAGUCUUGAUCCGUGUCAACCCAACAGACACUUUCGGAGAUACCUGUAGUAUACCUUUAUAGUCACCCAGUUACGUUGUGACGUUUGGUACACCCAAAGCACUCCUACGGUAUCCGGGAGUUACACGAUCUCAUGGUCUAAGGAAAGGAUACUUGACAUUGGAAAAACUCUAGCAAACGAACUAUACAAUCUUGUGCUAUGUUUAGGAUUGGGUCUUGUCCAUCACAUCAUUCUCCUAAUGAUGUGAUCUCGUUAUCAAUGACAUCCAAUGUCCAUUGUCAGGAAACCAUGACUAUCUGUUGAUCAACGAGCUAGUCAACUAGAGGCUUACUAGGGACAUGUUGGUUUCUAUUUAUUCACACAUGUAUUACGAUUUCCGGAUAACACAAUUAUAGCAUGAAUAAAAGACAAUUAUCAUGAACAAGGAAAUAUAAUAAUAAUGCUUUUAUUAUUGCCUCUAGGGCAUAUUUCCAACACUCAAUUCCAUUUUUUAUAGUUUUCUUUUAUAAACUAAACUAGUGAUAAAACAAGAAACAAAAAGAUUCGACUUCAAGAUCUAAAGAUAUACCUUCAAGCGCUAACCUCCCCGGAACGGCGCCAGAAAAGAGCUUGAUGUCUACUACACAACCUUCUUCUUGUAGACGUUGUUGGGCCUCCAAGUGCAGAGGUUUGUAGGAUAGUAUAAAAUUUCCCUCAAGUGGAUGACCUAAGGUUUAUCAAUCCAUAGGAGGCGUAGGAUAAAUAUGGUCUCUCUCAAGCAACCCUGCAACCAAAUAACAUGGAGUCUCUUGUGUCCCCAACACACCCAAUACAAUGGUAAAUUGUAUAGGUGCACUAGUUCGGCGAAGAGAUGGUGAUACAAGUGGUAUAUUGAUGGUAGAUAAAGGUUUUUGUAAUCUGAAAAUAUAAAUACAGCAAAGUAACUAAUGAUAAAAGUGAGCGUACACGCUAUUGCAAUGCUAGGAAAAAAGGCCUAGGGUUCAUACUUUCACUAGUGCAAGUUCCCUCGACAAUAAUAACAUAAUUGAAUCACAUAAUUAUCCCUCAACAUGCAACAAAGUGUCACUCCAAAGUCACUAAUAGUGGAGAACGAACGAAGAGAUUAUGGUAGGGUAUGAAACCACCUCAAAGUUAUUCUUUCCAAUCAAUCCGUUGGGCUAUUCCUAUAAGUGUCACAAACAACCCUAGAGUUUGUACUAGAAUAACACCUUAAGACACAAAUCAACCAAAACCCUAAUGUCACCUAGAUACUCCAAUGUCACCUCAAGUAUCCGUGGGUAUGAUUAUACGAUAUGCAUCACACAAUCUCAGAUUCAUCUAUUCAACCAACACAUAGAACCUCAAAGAGUGCCCUAAAGUUUCUAUCGGAGAAUCACGACGAAACCGUGUGCCAACCCCUAUGCAUAGGUUCAUGGGAGGAACCCGCAAGUUGAUCACCAAAACAUACAUCAAGAGAAUCACGUGGUAUCCCAUUGUCACCACAGAUACGCAUGGCAAGACAUACAUCAAGUGUUCUCAAAUCUUUAAAGACUCAAUCCGAUAAGAUAACUUCAAAGGGAAAACUCAAUCCAUUACAAGAGAGUAGAGGGGGGAGAAAACAUCAUAAGAUCCAACUAUAAUAGCAAACUCACAAUACAUCAAGAUCGUACCACCUCAAGAACACGAGAGAGAGAGAGAGAGAGAGAGAGAGAGAGAGAGAGAGAGAUCAAACACAUAGCUACUGGUACAUACCCUCAGUCCCGAGGGAGAACUACUCCCUCCUCGUCAUGGAGAGCAUCGGGAUGAUGAAGAUGACCACCGAAGAGGGAUUCCCCCUCCGGCAGGGUGCUGGAACGGGUCUCGAUUGUCUUUCGGUGGCAACGAAGGCUUCUGGCGGCAGAACUUCCGAUCUAUUGUGAUCCCCGAUCGUUUUAGGGUAUAUGGGUAUAUAUAGGAGGAAGAAGUACGUCAGGGGAGCCACGAGGGGCCCAUGAGGGUCGAGGGCGUGCCCAGGGGGGUGGGCGCGCGCCCCUACCUCGUGGCUUCCUCGAAGCUUCCUUGACGUGGACUCCAAGUCUCCCGGGUUGCUUUCCUUCCAAAAAUAAGUUCCGUGAAGUUUCAAGUCAAUUGGACUCCGUUUGAUUUUCCUUUUCUGCGAUACUCUAAAACAAGGAAAAAAAAGAAGCUGGCACUGGGUUCUAGGUUAAUAGGUUAGUCCCAAAAAAUCAUAUAAAAUAGCAUAUAAAUGCAUAUGAAACAUCCAAGGUUGAUAAUAUAAUAGCAUGGAACAAUCAAAAAUUAUAGAUACGUUGGAGACGUGUCAACGCCGCGUGGGUCGGGCAUCGUGAGCUUACGGUAGGCAUAAUGUGGUACCGCGUUGAAUUGAGCGAACGCGGUUCGUCUGAGUAGUGCCUGAUAAUCACUGCGAAAGGGGACGAUGUCGAAGAUUAACUCUUCGGCACGGUAAUUGUCUGGUGAUCCGGAGACUACUUCAAGGGCGAAGGAGCCUGUACAGCUGGCCUCCAUACCUGGUAUGAUACCUCUGAAGGUGGUUUUAGUGGGAUUGAUCACCGAAUGAUCGAUGACCAUCUUGCGCACUGUGUCCUAGUAAAGUAGGUUUAGACUGCUCCCUCCGUCCAUAAGGACUCGCGUGAGGUGGAACCCGUCAAUUAUUGGGUCGAGGACUAGUGCGGCUGGAUUGCCCUGAUUGGUGUUAACCGGACGAUCCGUGCGGUUGAAGGUGAUCGGCCCUAGUUUAUAUUGUGGGACGACUGGUUCCGUUAAGUCGACAUCCCUAAGGGUGUGCGUCCGGUCCGGGUUGGGAGUGUAGGUGCCGUUUACUACGUUCACCGUUUGGAUUUGCGGGGGAAAUUUCUUUUGCCCUCCUGUACUCGAUGAUCUGGGCUCCUCGUCGCCAUCGUCGCUUUGAGACCCCUUAUCUUUGUUUUUGGCACCUGACCUGCCGGCUUGUUUGAAGAUCCAGCAUUCUCUGUUGGUAUGAUUGGCUGGUGUUCAUGCGGUGCCAUGAAUUUGGCAUGGGCGGUUGAGUAUGCGGUACAGGCUGGACGGACCCGAAUUUGGCAUGGGAGGGGAAAGCCAGGGUUCGUCCCGUUCGGGUUCGACCCGACCGAGCCACAAACAACGACCGAGCUGGGUGGGCCCGAGUCAGUGGCGUGGCGCGCGCGGGUAUGCCACCAUGUCACCUGACACGUGGGCCCGCUCGGUUAGAUUCAUGGUCAAUACGUGCUUAUACGGCUGUCAAACCGUUUUGCAACACUUAGGCUUAGAGCUGGUACUGAAUUGCAAAAAUUGUGUCUAAUGGUACUGAUUCGUUACGACGUGCCGAAGUGUAGUAGUUUCUUGCAAUUAACUCAAACUCUACGGUUAUAUCACCUCGAUGUGUGAGUCAAUGUGUUUGAACCAAUCAAGAGUUGCAUGUGAAUGUUUCAAGUGUGAUUAAUAGGUCCGUGUUAUAACAGCCACACCUUGCGAAAGAAGAUAGCAAACACCCAAUCAUGUCUAGUAGUUCGAUAUGGGCGCAACUAUGGGUAGCUUAUAGCGACACGGAAGCCAGCGUUUCCUAAAGAAACUCUCGGUUGGGCCGCCCUAGAGACAAAUUAUUUUUCUCUCAUUUUUUCUUAAUAUUAUUUAUUUCUAUUUUAAAAAAUAAAAGUAAAUAUAUUCCACAAACAAAUACUGAAAUUCUGAAAAAAUGUUGGUCCAUUGUUAAAAAAAUAUUGAUAGCAUUAAACAAAUCAUGGUAACAAAAUAAUCUACACAUAUUUAAAAAAUUGUACGUGAAAUUAUAAUGAAUGUUAAAUUUGUUUAAAAAUGUUCCUAAUGUAAUGUACAACAUGAAACAAAUUAUACAUCAAAACAUAUAUUUGAAAAUUGUUAAUUGUUUAUUUGAAAAAUGUUAAAUGUGUAUAGAAAAAAAGGUUCCUGAUAUAUAAGACAAAUGCAUGAAGUACAUGCAAUUUUUUUUACAUCCAAAGAUAUAUUUUAAAAAUAUUAAUCAUGUAUUUUAAAACUGUUAAAUGUUUAUAGAGAAAAAAUGCUCCUGAUGCAUACGAAACAAUUUCCAAUGUGUAUGAAAAAAUUAGACAUGAAAUAAGUAUUUUAAAAAAAAAUUAAUGAUUCUAUUUAAAAAUAUUUCUCAUGUAGAUGGAAAGAAAACUCGACUUAAAAAAGACUCAAAAAGAAAAAGAACGUACAGAGAGCAAAUUAGAAACAACUGAGUGAACUAGCGAUAUGCGAGAACACGUUAAUGGUCCAGCCCAUACAUGAGGACUCCAGAGGUGAGCCUGAAUAGGUGUGAUAUAGCUAUGACGAUUUGACACCCUUCAUAGCUUCACGAAUGCUAUAUCUCGCGCAAAGCGAGAUUAGCAUUUGCCACGCCUGAAGGUGCAAGAAUAGCAUCAGGUCGUUGUAAGGUUUGCAAUCCUACCAUCAGAGCUUCUAUCCGAUUUAAAUCAUGUUUCUGGCAACCUUGGGUCAUUCGCUCGCGCUCAAGCCAUUCGCUCACAGGUUCCACACACUAGUUUGGUUACUUUUUUUUCUUAUUUUCUUUCUUCACCGGUUUUCUUUCAUUUUUUGAAAAAAAAAAUUCAUCGGUUUUCUUUGUGUCUUUCAUGUUUUACUCUUGUUUUCCUUUUUUACUCGUUUAUCUAUCCUUUUUUUUCUUUGUUUCUUUCUCAGUGUUCUUUGUUUAGGGUUUAGGGAUUUCUUUGUUUUCCUUUCUUUUAAUGUCAACCUUUUGACAUAUAUUUUUUGUAUAUAUCAAAAAUAUUUUUGAUAGAGAGGUUUAACAGUUUUCAAAUACAUGAUUACCCUUUUUAAAGUUAUAUUUUUUGACAUCUACUUGUUCCAUAAACAUAGUGAUGGGGUUAUACAUAAGGGAUGGGCCCAAGUACACAUAUGUCCCAGCCAAAGGCCCAGGGUAUUCAAGGAUACGGUCCCAAAGACAAUGGGGCAUUGGAGAUACAAGCCCAAGGCAUCAGAUACAAGGGGAAUACUCGCUAAGGAGUCAAGUGUCUAUAGUCGGAUUACACACCCCCUGACAGACAAGACUCAAUAGUCGGUCAUGAGAAAGAUAUGAGCAGUAAGAUCAUCUACAGUCGGACAUCAGCAAGAUAGGAGCAGUCGGACCAUCUACAGUCGGCUACGUCCUAGGAUGAUGUGACCCUCAUGAUGCAUUCAUCGCCGUUACAUAACUGACUAGUUAAAUACGCCAGUUAGUAUUAAUAAUAGCCACGAACAGUCGAUCAUGCAUGUGACCAUCAAUAGUAUUUACACCAGCCUGUUAUGGCACUCCCUCCUAGCGCACUCCAUAUAAGACAAGAGUAGGACAUCACACGGAGGGUUGAACUCUCUCACAUUGUAACCUACGCCAAGAGCGAGAUCACACAGGAGUAGGGCGUUACCAACACCAUAGAGGGCCCAAACCUAUAUAAUUCCUUGUGUUUAAUCCCAUCUGCUUUACAUACCAAUUAGCUUAUAAUUGCCUCUACAUUCACAUCACCAUAGUAUUGUCAUGGUUAUAUCCAUGACAAGAACUAAUUUUUUUUACAUUAUAUAUAAAAAAAUAAUAUUUUUAGAUGCAUGGUUUCUUCCAUACACAUUAUACAUGUUUGUAUACAUAUCAGGACCAUUUAUAUAUACACAUUAAAAAAACUAAUUACAUGAUUACUUUUUUUAAAAUGUAUACUUUUAUGUCUAAUAUUUUCAUACAUACUGUACAUUUUUUGUACAUCAGGAACCUUUUUAUAUUUACAUUUAACAUUUUCAAAUACAUAAUUAAUAUUUUUUACACAUAUAUUUUUAUAUCUACUUUUCCCUUAAACAUUAUACAUUUUUUUAUACAUCAGGAACAUUUUUUAUAUACCAAUUCAACAGUUUUGAAAUACAUGAUUAACAUGUCUCAUAUAUAUGUUUGUGUCUAUUUUUUCAUACAAAAUAUACAGUUUUUUAUUAAUUAGAAACAUGUUUCUGUACAUGUUUAAUAUUUUCUUAUAAUGCGCAAUUAACAUUUUCAACUUUUCUGUAUAAAGUGAAUUUUACAAUAGAUAUAUUCAGAAUAUUUCAUAAAAAAGGCAAAGUAAAAAAACAAAAAAAAUGCAAAUAUGUGUAAAAGGAAGGAAGAAACCGUAGAAGGCAUGUGUAGGCGCUGUGGCGGCCCAAUAGGUCUGCUGCACAUCCUACUAUCUUGUGUCAAUCGAGACAUAGGCUUGCCCUCUUAAGGAGCAACUAACCAACGGUUACCCCUUGGCGAGCUCCUGCAAGGGUCAUUGUUGUGGUAUGAGAGCACGCCAAGUGGUCCGUCCAACUGCUGUCACAUGUCGUGUGUUAGGUGCUUCCUGUGGAUUUCAUUUUCAUUUUUUAUUUUUUGUACGCGUUUUCGGGUUUCUGAUUGUCUUUUCAAUGGGUUUUGGAUUUCUGCUUUUUCCAUGGUUUUCUCUAGAUCAUGAAAGAAAAAUAUCUUUUUAUUUUCUUAUGAAGCACAACCCUGCUUCUAAAAAAACAAUUUUAUGCUUUCACGAGAAGCACAAUUUUUGUUUCUCAUGUAAUCACAAAAUUGCUUGCAGCAGGCGCACCACAUGUGCUUCCAUGAUUAGCAUAGCUAUGCUUCCACGCGAAUCAAAUAUGUGCUUAUGCUACAAGCACAACCUAUGCUUCCAUAUGCUUCUCGAAAAGAGAAAAGGCACACCCUGUGUUUUCACGAGAAGUACAUUUGUGCAUCCCUGAGAACUGUAGCCUUGCUUCCGUGAGAAGCACAGUCUAUCUAUUACCUAAUAUUAAAAGAUAGAAGAUCUCAUAGUUCUCCAUCAGUCACCUCUUCAUAAACCGUUGGUUUUGUGUUAAUCUUAUAGAUUGACGGCCGAGAUUUAAAAAUAGAUUUGCACAGGAAAAAAAAGAUCCGCAUUGACGAUCCAUCGUAGGUAUCCAUCCAUCCAACUUUCUUUGUUCUGCCCACAUCACGCUUGGUAAAAAAAGAAAAAAAAUCAGAAACCCAUCGAUGCACGAUUGAGUAAGCCGGGAUAAAAAACAGCUCAAUAAAAUAUGGCCAGCCACGCGCGAUCUUAGGAGAAAAAUUGUUUGCCACAUGAUCUAUCUCCUAGCUACGCCGAUCCUCAACGGCGAUCAUGCCAAGAUGUUCGCCAGGAUCCGCAACUCCGUCGACCACUCGGGUGACAUGCCACAGCGACACAACAGGGCAGCAGCGAGUGACAUGGCCGGCUUGCCGGGCCGCGCGCUCUCCGGCUCCAGGUGCGCGCGGCACACCAGACAUGACGCACAUCCAGGUAGUAAUGCAACUGCCCUCGAAGAAGUGAUGCCGGCAUUACACGCACCGCGUUGAGGUUCUGCAGCCACACACUCCACCGACGUUGCCCUCGCCUUGCAGCCGCUCUUCCUCUUACAACUGGUGCUCCUGCAGCCAGUGGCGGAGACAGGGGGGACCAGCAGGGCCCUGGCCCCCCCUAACAGCAGAGAUAUAGUGCUAAUUUGCAGAUGAAUAGUGCUAAAAUUAGUGAUUAAUUUCUGUCAAAUGCAUGUUUUUCAUUGGCUUGGCCCUCCCUAAGCAGUUUUAACAUCAUUCGGCCUGGUUGAUACAAUUUUCCUGGCUCCGCCAUUGCCUCCAACUGCCCCAGCUACCCUGGGGCUGGGGCGACGAUGUCGGCGCCUCGCGCGCUCUGUAGGUGAAGGUGGGGAGCGCGGGGAUGUCCUUGAUGCUCGGCCUGAGGUGGGUUGCCAGAGGCGGGUCGUCGCCGGUGCGGUGGAGCUUGCGCCACUCAGACAAGAGCGACCGGCCAUAGCGGACGGCCACGUACAAUACGACACUGACAAGGACAAUGAUGAUGAUGUACAACAGCAUCAGGAAGGAGAACAACAUGCUCGUCCUUAGGGGACAUGCGCCGACGCGUCCGGCACUCCGACGCAAUGGUGGUGUAUGCGCCGGUCAACAUGCAGUCCAUGCACACGUCGUCAUGGGCGGUGGCGACUCGGCCUACAUCUCCCUCCUGCCCUAUCGGUUCGCCAUUCUCCCGAGCGUCCACAACGCACACUCGCCGGUGGCCGCCACUCUAGAAGUCGAGUCUAGACCGUUCGCCCCAGGGAUCGUAGCUCAGCGCUCAUGGAGCCCUGCUCCAGUGCUCCCCCUAACCUAAUUUUGAAGGAGUAUUUUUGUCCCCGCAAAUUUGUUUUUUUUCUGGCCCGCCGCCGCCCAGAUCCAAGCCCUGUCUAGUCCUGUAUAACCCAGAACGUAUACGUACAGUACCCUGGUUCGAAAAAAAAAACAUCACACGACCCCACGUCCACGUAAGACCUGCCGAAUCCAAUCAUUCACACGAGCAGCUCCAUCAAUCUUGCGAGCAUUGACGCAGCUCCAUAAGUCACGUAGUAGAUCUCCAGCGGCGGCUAUCUCGUCGCCGGCGAUCUCGUCGGACAGCGGGCGCGACAACGUCGUGAAUCUCUAACGAGCGCGCACAGGUACCGCAUCCCGCGUCCCCCCUCUAGUCUCGCUCGCGGCAACAUCGAACGAACUGCCGCCGCCAGUGGUAGUGGUUAACCUAGCGGGGCGGGUAACCUAGCUACCUGGCGGCGCAUGUGAUCGUGGAUCUUGUUCCGGUAGUGCUGCUCCUCGUGAUCUGGGUUCACGUAGCGUCGGUUGCCGUCGGCUGUGCGCACCACUGGUAUCGUUAUUUGAUGUGGCGGCUAACCUAGGUAUCCGACGGCAGAGGUAAUCACAGAUCAAGCUAGGUUUUGAGAUCGUGCAGUUCCUCGCGAUUGAAAGUGAUCGCGACGGGUGCCGUGGCCAUCUUCCUUACUAAGUUGGGCAGAUCUGAACGGCCUCGGUUGCGGUUGUUUACAUAACAUCCGUGAUCGUGUGCUAUGUGUUUUAUAUUUCAUCAUUGAUAAUGUUUGCACAUGUGAUGAUACAUAAUAUUGGUUGUAGGAAAUGGCGGACGAGGAGUUAACUGAUAUCAUGGUAGACAUGGAGUUUGGAGAACUGAUGAAAGACUGGAUAGAAGAUUGGUCAGAUGAUGAAAAUUCAGAUCGUGAAGAUCGGUCAGAGAAUGGGAACGAAUGGGACGAUCUUAUUGUGAGUGGCAUUGUCAUGUUGUAAUUUUUUGGUGGCAUCCGACAACAUUAAAUCUUUGUGUUGAAAAUUUAUAGAUCGAUGAGCUUGAUGAUGAUCAGGAAAACAACUCAGAGCUCUCGAAUGAAGAUUACAUUAGUCAGGUACGUAAGUGAAAAAGAUUGUUGGCAUGCAAAUUGAAUUUCUUCUGGAAUAUUAUAUGAUAAGUAAUUAUGUAUUUGUGUUGUAUUUUUCAGUUCAUUCUCGAAUGUCAUAAUGCGUAUGACUAUUACGGUGAAUCCGACGCGGAGACAGGCCUUAACAACGAAUCAUUAGAUGCACCUGGUUCUGGGGAGUCCGAGUCGUCGGUCAUCAUGAGUGAGGUAUGUGUGUAAUCAAUGUUCUAUGGAAGUAAGUAAUGUUAAACCUUAGAAAUAUGUUUUCAUGGUUGUGGUUUGAUUGUGUAGGUGACACAAAAUGAUGGGGCAAAGAAUGUCCAAGAUACUGCCAGUGCAGAUGAUAAGAGGGAUAUGUUCAUGCAGAUAAUGGAAAUGACCUUUAUGUCUCACGAUGCUGCGUAUGAUUUCUACAACAGCUAUGCUAGAGAUAAUGGUUUCAGCAUUAGAAAGAAUAAGGUCAGGUAUAGCAAAACAGAGUCACGUCAUAUGCGUUAUAGGCGGUUUGUUUGUUCAAGACAAGGGAAACGUGACAGCAAGUUGCUAACCGAGGAAGGACACAGCCGUAGGCUCAGAGCCGAGACACGCUGCUUUUGCGAAGCGCACCUGACCGUCAAGCUUGACCAAAAGCAUGGGGUUUGGUAUGUUGAAAGUUUUGAGGACAAGCAUAGCCAUAUGUUGGCAGGACCGGACGAGGUACCUUUUCUUUGGUCCCACAGAAAAAUCAAAGAGUACCAGAAGCAUGAGAUAAUGUCCACGGCUCGGAGAGCUCGGGAAUCCGGACAUAGUUGGUCCUCAAGAUAGAGGAAAGGUCGCGACAUUGUUCCUCCACCACUGCAAUAUGAUGGGUGACCGGUGGAGAGUUAAUCUCCCUUUGAUCGGGUUUAAGCCCAAUCCGAUCAUAGUCCGUAGCGACUCCCAAGGCGGCGAUGCGAUCCAAGAGCUCGUUUAAGGGGGCGAGCUCCAUUGGAUCCAUCUGUUCGGCGAGUGCCGAUUUGACGUGGAGGCUGUUUUCGAUGACCCGAGAAGUCAUCAUCGGCUCGGCGGCCGAACAUGCGGUCAUGAUGAAACCGCCUAGCCGGAGAGUUUGGCCGACAACCAAAGCUCCCCCAACAGUAGUACCGUCUUUAAAGACGAGACGAGACAUUCUUCCUUCUGGCAACGACACAGAGGAACUCUCAAUGAAAGCUUCAAUGUCGGUGUCAAAACCAGCGGAUCUCGGGUAGGGGGUCCCGAACUAUGCGUCUAAGGCGGAUGGUAACAGGAGGCAGGGAACACGAUGUUUUACCUAGGUUCGGGCCCUCUUGAUGGAGGUAAAGCCCUAUGUCCUGCUUGAUUAAUAUUGAUGAUAUGGGUAGUACAAGAGUAGAUCUACCAGGAGAUCAGAGAGGCUAAACCCUAGAAGCUAGCCUAUGGUAUGAUUGUAUGUUGUCCUACGGACUAAAACCCUCCGGUUUAUAUAGACACCGGAGGGGGCUAGGGUUACACAAGGUCGGUUACAAAGGAGAAGAUGUACAUAUCCGUAUUGCCUAGCUUGCCUUCCACGCCAAGUAGAGUCCCAUCCGGACACGAGACGAAGUCUUCAAUCUUGUAUCUUCAUAGUCCAACAGUCCGGUCAAAGGAUAUAAUCCGGCUGUCCGGAGCCCCUAAUUCAGGACUCCCUCAGGCCCCCUGUUGCUCCACCGACGUACUCCUUCCUCCUAUAUAUACCUAUGUACCCCCAAAUGAUCAGAUACGGAGCCAAAACCCUAAUUCCACCGUCGUAACUUUCUGUAUCCACCGCCGGAGGGGGCAUCGAUCAUGGAGGGCUUCUACAUCAACACCAUAACCUCUCCGAUGAAGUGUGAGUAGUUUACCUCAGACCUACGGGUCCAUAGUUAGUACCUAGAUGGCUUCUUCUCUCUUUUUGGAUAUCAAUACAAUGUUCUCCCCCUCUCUUGUGGAGAUCUAUUCGAUGUAAUCUUCUUUUUGCGGUGUGUUUGUUGAGACCGAUGAAUUGUGGGUUUAUGAUCAAGUCUAUCUAUGAAUAAUAUUUGAAUCUUCUCUGAAUUCUUUUAUGUAUGAUUGGUUAUCUUUGCAAGUCUCUUCGAAUUAUCAGUUUGGUUUGUCCUACUAGAUUGAUCUUUCUUGCAAUGGGAGAAGUGCUUAGCUUUGGGUUCAAUCUUGCGAAGUCCUUUCCCGGUGACAGUAGGUGCAGCAAGGCACGUAUUGUAUUGUUGCCAUCGAGGAUAACAAGAUGGGGUUUUCUUCAUAUUGCAUGAGUCUAUCCCUCUACAUCAUGUCAACUUGCUUAAGGCGUCACUCUAUUUUUAACUUAAUACUCUAGAUGCAUGCUGGAUAGCGGUCCAAGAGUGGAGUAAUAGUAGUAGAUGCAGGCAGGAGUCGGUCUACUUGUCUCGGAUGUGAUGCAUAUAUACAUGAUCAUACCUAGAUAUUCUCAUAACUAUGCUCAAUUCUGUCAAUUGCUCAACAGUAAUUUGUUCACCCACCGUAGAAUACUUAUGCUCCCGAGAGAAGCCACUAGUGAAACCUAUGGCCCCCGGGUCUAUCUUUAUCAUAUUAAUCUCCUACCACUUAGUUAUUUCCUUUGCUAUUUACUUUGCCUUUAUUUUACUUUGCAUCUUUAUCAUAAAAAUACCAAAAAUAUUAUCUUUAUCAUAUCUAUCAUAUCUCACUCUCGUAAGUGGCCUUAUAGGGAUUGACAACCCCUAUUUGCGUUGGUUGCGAGGAUUUAUUUGUUUUGUGCAGGUACGAGGGACUCGCGUGCAGCCUCCUACUGGAUUGAUACCUUGGUUCUCAAAAACUGAGGGAAAUACUUACGCUACUUUGUUGCAUCAUCACUUCCUCUUCGGGGAAAACCAACACAGUGCUCAAGAGGUAGCAAGAAGGAUUUCUGGCGCCGUUGCCGGGGAGGUCUACGCAAAAGUCAACAUACCAAGUACCCAUCACAUACCCUUAUCUCCCGCAUUACAUUAUUUGCCAUUUGCCUCUCGUUUUCCUCUCACCCACUUCACCCUUGCUGUUUUAUUCGCCCUCUCUCUCUCUAUCCUCCCUCUCUUUCUCUAUUUGCCUCUUUUUGCCCGCUUGCUUUUUGUUUGCUUGUGUGUUAGUUUGUUUGCUUGUCGUUAUGGCUAGUCCCUUACCUUCUCCGUUGUCUCCCAAGAAUGAAAUUUUAAAUUUUAAGCAAAGGGAGGGAGAAAAUCUAAAAGAUGCUUCGUAUAGAAUUUGCAAUGCUCAAAAUAGAUCAACUAGGAAGCAAUCUACUUCCGUUCUUCUUUGCAAUUUUUAUGUAGGCAUUACUCCUUGGCACCGUUAUGUUCUUGAUACUAUUACCGGAGGGAACUUUUUGGGUAGCCAUACUUUUGAUUCUUAAAAUGCUAUGUUAGAUUUAUUUGUUUCACCCCCUCUCUUGGUUAAUGGAACUAUAUUAACUUUGGAGCAUGUAAUGCAACGGCUUGAAAUUAUUGAAAAUAAGGUUGCUACCAUAGAAUUAAUUGAAAAUUUGGAUAUGGAUCUAAAGUAGGAGUUACUUUGAAAGAUAUUAAAGAAAAGGAACCCAUAGUUAAUGAGAAAAUAAAUCAUGAUUCCACUAGGAUCGAUAAACUUGAAGGUAUUAUUACCAACUUGGGAACCGCUUUUUCUUCUGUAAAGAAUACUCCAAGUCCUCCCAGUAAAAUUACCAAGCUUAUGUAUGUUCCUAAAAAUAAGGGUGAAUCCUCUAGUAAGGAAAAUGCGGAUCUCAAAUCUAGAAGUAUUCAUCCCAAUCUUUUUACUAUCAUUAAGGAACCAUUUGUUACAAAUGAGUUUUUUGAUGUUGUGCCUAAAAGUUUGAUAAUUAAUAAAAAGAAAGAAAUUCCUAAAGAUGGUAGAUGCCUCAUUGAAUAAUUACCUACCAAAGAUGGCAAUACUUAGAUCUAUCCCUGCUUGUUAUGCCUAGCUAGGGGCGUUAAACGAUAGCGCUUGUUGGGAGGCAACCCAAUUUUAUUUUUAUUCCUUGAGUUUUGCUCCUGUUUAGUAAUAGAUAAUUAUCUAGCCUCUGUUAUGAUUGUGUUUUUUGUGUUUAAAUUAGUGUUUGUGCCAAGUAGAACCGUUGGGAAGACUUGGGGAAAGUCUUGUUGAAUUUGCUGUAAAAACAGAAACUUUAGCGCUCACAAGAACUGCUGUCAUUUUUAUUUGAAAAGUGAUAUUUAGUUCAUUCUUUUUGCAUAUGAUUAAUAUAUAAAUUCCUCACGUCCAGAAAAUUAUUUUAGAAUUUUUGGGGUUCCAUAUCUUGCGCUAGCUACAGAUUACUACAGACUGUUCUGUUUUUGACAGAUUCUGUUUUUCGUGUGUUGUUUGCUUAUUUUGAUGAAUCUAUGGCUAGUAAAAUGGUUUAUAAACCAUAGAUAAGUUGGAAUACAGUAGGUAUAACACAAAUAUAAAUAAAUAAUGAGUUCAUUACAGUACUUUGAAGUGGUCUUUUAUUUUCUUUCGCUAACGGAGCUCACGAGAUUCUCUACUUUAAGUUUUGUGUUGUGAAGUUUUCAAGUUUUGGGUAAAGAUUUGAUGGAUUAUGGAACAAGGAGUGGCAAGAGCCUAAGCUUGGGGAUGACCAUGGCACCCCCAAGAUAAUCUAAGGACACCUAAAAGCCAAAGCUUGGGGAUGCCCCGGAAGGCAUCCCCUCUUUCGUCUACUUCUAUCGGUAACUUUACUUGGAGCUAUAUUUUUAUUCGCCACAUGAUAUGUGUUUUGCUUGGAGCGUCUUGUAUGAUUUGAGUCUUUUCUUGUUAAUUUACCACAAUCAUCCUUGCUGUACACACCUUUUGAGAGAGCCAUACAUUAUUUGGAAUUUCUUAGAAUACUCUAUGUGCUUCGCUUAUAUCUUUUGAGUUAUAUAAUUUUGCUCUAGUACUUCGCUUAUAUCUUUUAGAGCACGGUGGUGGAUUUGUUUUAUAUAAACUAUUGAUCUCUCAUGCUUCACUUAGAUCAUUUUUGAGAGUCUUAAUAGCAUGUUAAUUUGCUUAAAAUCCUAAUAUGCUAGGUAUUCAAAGUUAGUAAAAUUUCCUUAAGAGUGUUUUGAAUACUAAAGUUUGAUGCUUGAUGAUUGUUUUGAGAUAUGGAGAUAAUAAUAUCAAAGUCGUGCUAGUUGAGUAGUUGUGAAAUUGAGAAAUACUUGUGUUGAAGUUUGCAAGUCCCGUAGCAUGCACGUAUGGUAAACGUUAUGGAACAAAUUUGAAAGAUGAGGUGUUAUUUGAUUGUCUUCCUUAUGAGUGGCGGUCGGGGACGAGCGAUGGUCUUUUCCUACCAAUCUAUCCCCCUAGGAGCAUGCGCGUAGUACCGAGGUUUUUGAUGACUUGUAGAUUUUUGCAAUAAGUAUGUGAGUUCUUUAUGACUAAUGUUGAGUCCAUGGAUUAUACGCACUCUCACCCUUCCAUCCUUGCUUGCCUCUUCGGUACCGUGCAUUGCCCUUUCUCACAUUGAGAGUUGGCGCAAAGUUCGCCGGUGCAUCCAAACCCCGUGAUAUGAUACGCUCUUUCACACAUAAACCUCCUUAUAUCUUCCUCAAAACAGCCACCAUACCUACCUAUUAUGGCAUUUCCAUAGCCAUUCCGAGAUAUAUUGCCAUGCAACUUUCCAUCAUCCCGUUCAUCAUCACACAUUCAUUAUUGUCAUAUUGCUUAGCAUGAUCAUGUAGUUGAUAUAGUAUUUGUGGCAAACCCACCGUUCAUAAUUCUUUCAUACAUGUCACUCUUGGUCCAUUGCAUAUCCCGGUACACCGCCGGAGGCAUUCAUAUAGAGUCAUAUUUUGUUCUAAGUAUCGAGUUGUAAUUGUUCAGUUGUAAGAAAAAUGAAAGUGUGAUGAUCAUCAUUAUUAGAGCAUUGUCCCAGUGAGGAAAGGAUGAUGGAGACUAUGAUUUCCCCACAAGUCGGGAUGAGACUCCGGACGAAAAAAAAAGAAAAAAAGAGGCCAUAAAAAAAGAGAAAAGGCCCAAAUAAAAAAAGAGAGAGAAAAAGAGAGAAGGGACAAUGUUACUAUCCUUUUACCACACUUGUGCUUCAAAGUAGCACUAUGAUCUUCAUAGUAGAGAGUCUCUCAUGUUAUCACUUUCAUAUACUAGUGGGAAUUUUUCAUUAUAGAACCUGGCUUGUAUAUUCCAAUGAUGGGCUUCCUCAAGUGCCCUAGGUCUUCGUGAUCAAGCAAGUUGGAUGCACACCCACUAGUUUCUUUUGUUGAGCUUUCAUACAUUUAUAGCUCUAGUGCAUCCAUUGCAUGGCAAUCCCUACUUCUUGCAUUAACAUCAAUCGGUGGGCAUCUCCAUAGCCCAUUGAUUAGCCUCGUUGAUGUGAGACUUUCUCCUUUUUUGUCUUCUCCACAUAACCCCCCUCAUUAUAUUCUAUUCCACCCAUAGUGCUAUGUCCAUGGCUCGCGCUCAUAUAUUGCGUGAAAGUUUAUAGGUUUGAGAUUACUAAAGUAUGAAACAAUUGCUUGGCUUGUCAUCGGGGUUGUGUAUGAUGAGAGCAUUCUUGUGUGACGAAAAUGAAACCUGACUAAACCAUAUGAUUUUGUAGGGAUGAACUUUCUUUGGCCAUGUUAUUUUGAGAAAACAUAAUUGUUUAGUUAGUAUGCUUGAAGUAUUAUUAUUUUUAUGUCAAUAUGAACUUUUGUCUUGAAUCUUUCGAAUCUAAAUAUUCAUACCACAAUUAAGAAGAAUUACAUUAAAAUUGUGCCAAGUAGCACUCCGCAUCAAAAAUUCCGUUUUUUUCAUUUACCUACUCAAGGACGAGCAGGAAUUAAGCUUGGGGAUGCUUGAUACGUCUCCAACGUAUCUACAAUUUUUGAUUGCCCCAUGCUAUAUUAUCUACUGUUUUGGACAUUACUAGGCUUUAUUAUCCACUUUUAUAUUAUUUUUGGGACUAACCUAUUAACCGGAGGCCCAGCCCAGAAUUGUUGUUUUUUUGCCUGUUUUAGGGUUUCGAAGAAAAGGAAUAUCAAACGGAGUCCAAACGGAAUGAAACCUUCGGGAACGUGAUUUUUAGGAAGAUUAUGAUCCGGGAGACUUGGACCCUAUGUCAAGAAAAGAAACAGGAGGCCACGAGGUAGGGGGCGCGCCCCCCCCCCCCCCCCCAGGCACACCCUCCACCCUCGUGGGCCCCCUGUUUCUCCACCGACGUACUCCUUCCUCCUAUAUAUACCUAUGUACCCCCAAACGACCAGAUACGGAGCAAAAACCCUAAUUCCACUUCCGUAACUUUCUGUAUCCACGAGAUCCCAUCUUGGGGCCUGUUCCGGAGCUCCGCCGGAGGGGGCAUCGAUCACGGAGGGCUUCUACAUCAACACCAUAGCCUCCCCAAUGAAGUGUGAGUAGUUUACCUCAGACCUAUGGGUCCAUAGUUAGUACUUAGAUGGCUUCUCCUCUCUUUUUGGAUCUCAAUACAAUGUUCUCCCCCUCUCUUCUGGAGAUCUAUUCGAUGUAAUCUUCUUUUUGCGGUGUGUUUGUUGAGAUCGAUGAAUUGUGGGUUUAUGAUCAAGUCUAUCUAUGAAUAAUAUUUGAAUCUUCUCUGAAUUCUUAUGUAUGAUUGGUUAUCUUUGCAAGUAUCUUCGAAUUAUCAGUUUGGUUUGGCCUACUAGAUUGAUCUUUCUUGCAAUGGGAGAAGUGCUUAGCUUUGGGUUCAAUCUUGUGGUGUCCUUUCCCAGUGAGAGUAGGGGCAGCAAGGCACGUAUUGUAUUGUUGCCAUCGAGGAUAACAAGAUGGGGUUUUCUUCAUAUUGCAUGAGUCUAUCCCUCUACAUCAUGUCAUCUUGCUUAAGGCGUUACUCUGUUUUUAACUUAAUACUCUCGAUGCAUGCUGGAUAGCGGUCGAUGAGUGGAGUAAUAGUAGUAGAUGCAGGCAGGAGUCGGUCUACUUGUCCCGGACGUGAUGCCUAUAUACAUGAUCAUACCUAGAUAUUCUCAUAACUAUGCUCAAUUCUGUCAAUUGCUCAACAGUAAUUAGUUCAACCACCGUAGAAUACUUAUGCUCUUGAGAGAAGCCACUAGUGAAACCUAUGGCCCCCGGGUCUAUCUUUAUCAUAUUAAUCUCCUACUACUUAGUUAUUUCCUCUGCUAUUUACUUUGCCUUUAUUUUACUUUGCAUGUUUAUCAUAAAAAUACCAAAAAUAUCAUCUUUAUCAUAUUUAUCAGAUCUCACUCUCGUAAGUGGCCUUAUAGGGAUUGACAACCCCUGUUUGUGUUGGUUGCGAGGAUUUAUUUGUUUUGUGUAGGUACGAGGGACUCACGCAUAGCCUCCUACUGGAUUGAUACCUUGGUUCUCAAAAAAUGAGGGAAAUACUUACGCUACUUUGUUGCAUCAUCCCUUCCUCUUCGGGGAAAACCAACGCAGUGCUCAAGAGGUAGCAGAUAGGCAUCCAAGAUGGGUAUAAUAAAAACUAUCAUAAAAAGUGCAUUGAAUACUAUGAGAAGUGUGAUACUUGAUGAUUGUUUUGAGAUAUCAAGAUGGUGAUAUUAGAGUCAUGCUAGUUGAGUAAUUGUGAAUUUGAGAAAUACUUGUUCUAAAGUUUGUGAUUCCCCUAGCAUGGACAUAUGGUGAACCGUUAUGUGAUGAAGUCAGAGCAUGAUUUUUUAUUGAUUGUCUUCCUUAUGCGUGGCGGUCAGGGACGAGGCGAUGGUCUUUUCCUACCAAUCUACCCCCCUAGGAGCAUGCAAUGCACGUAGUACUUUGUUUCGAUAACUAAUAGAUUUUUGCAAUAAAUAUGUGAGUUCUUUAUGACUAAUGUUGAGUCCAUGGAUUAUACGCACUCUCACCCUUCCACCAUUGCUAGCCUCUCUAAUAUUGUGCACCUUUCGCUGGUAUCAUACAUCUACCAUAUACCUACCUCAAAACAGCCACCAUACCUACCUAUUAUGGAAUUUCCAUAGCCAUUCCGAGAUAUAUUGCCAUGCAACUUUCCACCGUUCCGUUUGUUAUGACACGCUUCAUCGUUGUCAUAUUUCUUUGCAUGAUCAUGUAGUUGACAUCGUAUUUGUGGCAAAGCCAUCUUUAUAAUUCUUUCAUACAUGUCUGUUGGGGAACGUUGCAGAAAACAAAAAUUUUCCUACAGUUUCACCAAGAUCCAUCUAUGAGUUCAUCUAGCAACGAGUGAUCGGAUAGCAUCUACAUACCUUUGUAGAUCACGCGCGGAAGCGUUCAAAGAAUGGGGAUGAGAAAUUCGUACUCGACGUGAUCCAAAUCACCGGAGAUCCUAGCGCCGAACGGACGGCACCUCCGCGUUCACGUACGGUCAGCGUGACGUCUCCUCCUUCUUGAUCCAGCAAGGGGGAAGGAGAGGUUGAGGAAGAUGGCUCCAGCAGCAGCACGACGGCGUGGUGGUGGUGGAGCAGCAGUACUCCGGCAGGGCUUCGCCAAGCUCGUGACGGAGGAGGAAAUGUGUUGGGGAGGGGAGGGGCUGUGCCUUGGAUGUCCUCUGCAGCCCUUCCCUCACCCCUCUAUUUAUAGGGGAAGGAGGAAGGGGGCCGGCCCCCUCUAGAUGAGAUCUAGAGGGGGGGCGGCGGCCAAGGGGAGGGGGGCUUGCCCCCCAAGCAAGGGGCGCACCCCCUUAGGGUUUCCCCCAACCCUAGGCGCAUGGGCCGUAGGGGGAGUGUGUUGGGUUUCGUUGUAAUUUCAAAAAAAUUCCUACGCACACGCAAGAUCAUGUGAUGCAUAGCAACGAGAGGAGAGUGUGAUCUACAUACCUAGUAGAUCGACAACGGAAGCGUUUGGUUGAUGUAGUCGUACGUCUUCACGAUCCAACCGAUCAAGCACCGAAACUACGUCACCUCCGAGUUCGAGCACACGUUCAGCUCGAUCACGAUCCCCGGACUCCGAUCCAGCAAAGUGUCGGGGAAGAGUUCCGUCAGCACGACGGCGUGGUGACGAUCUUGAUGCACUAUAGCAGCAGGGCUUGGCCUAAACUCCGCUACAGUAUUAUCGAGGACUAUGGUGGCUGGGGCGCCGCACACGGCUAAGGAAUAGAUCACGUGGAUCAACUUGUGUGUUUCUGGGGUGCCUCUGCCUCAGUAUAUAAAGGACCAAAGGGGGGAGGCUGGCCGGCCACAUAGGGCGCGCCAGGAGAGUCCUACUCCCUCUGGGAGUAGGAUCCCCCCCCCAAUCCUAGUUGGAAUAGGAUUCGCGGAGGGGGAAAAGAGAGAGGGGAGGCUGGCCACCUCUCCUUCUCCUAAUAGGACUAGGGGAGGGAGGGAGGCGCGCAUCCCAUCUUGGGCAGCCCCUUCUCUUUUCCGCCAAGGCCCACUAAGGCCCAUAUAGCUCGCGGGGGGUUCCGGUAACCUCCCGGUACUCCGGUAAAAUCCCGAUUUCACCCGGAACACUUCCGAUAUCCAAACAUAGGCUUCCAAUAUAUCAAUCUUUAUGUAUCGACCAUUUCGAGACUCCUCGUCAUGUUCGUGAUCACAUCCGGGACUCCGAACAACCUUCGGUACAUCAAAAUGCAUAAACUCAUAAUAUAAUUGUCAUCGUAACCUUAAGCGUGCGGACCCUACGGGUUCGAGAACAAUGUAGACAUGACCGAGACACAUCUCCAGUCAAUAACCAAUAGCGGGACCUGGAUGCCCAUAUUGGCUCCUACAUAUUCUACGAAGAUCUUUAUCGGUCAGACCGCAUAACAACAUACGUUGUUCCCUUUGUCAUCGGUAUGUUACUUGCCCGAGAUUCGAUCGUCGGUAUUCCAAUACCUAGUUCAAUCUCGUUACCGGCAAGUCUCUUUACUCGUUCUGUAAUACAUCAUUCCGCAACUAACUCAUUUAGUUGCAAUGCUUGCAAGGCUUAAGUGAUUUGCAUUACCGAGAGGGCCCAGAGAUACCUCUCCGACAAUCGGAGUGACAAAACCUAAUCUCGAAAUACGCCAACCCAACAUGUACCUUUGGAGACACCUGUAAUACUCCUUUAUAAUCACCCAGUAACGUUGUAACGUUUGGUAGUACCCAAAGUGUUCCUCCGGUAAACGGGAGUUGCAUAAUCUCAUAGUUAUAGGAACAUGUAUAAGUCAUGAAGAAAGCAAUAGCAACAUAUUAAACGAUCGGGUGCUAAGCUAAUGGAAUGGGUCAUGUCAAUCAGAUCAUUCUCUUAAUGAUGUGAUCCCUUUAAUCAAAUAACAACUCAUUGUUCAUGGUUAGGAAACAUAACCAUCUUUGAUUAACGAGCUAGUCAAGUAGAGGCAUACUAGUGACACUUUGUUUGUCUAUGUAUUCACACAUGUAUUAUGUUUCCGGUUAAUACAAUUCUAGCAUGAAUAAUAAACAUUUAUCAUGAUUAUAAGGAAAUAAAUAAUAACUUUAUUAUUGCCUCUAGGGCAUAUUUCCUUCAGUCUCCCACUUGCACUAGAGUCAAUAAUCUAGAUUACACUGUAAUGAUUCUAACACCCAUGGAGCCCUGGUGUUGAUCAUGUUUUGCUCGUGGAAGAGGCUUAGUCAACGGGUCUGCAACAUUCAGAUCCGUAUGUAUCUUGCAAAUUCUAUGUCUCCCACCUGGACUAGAUCCCGGAUGGAAUUGAAGCGUCUCUUGAUAUGCUUGGUUCUCUUGUGAAAUCUGGAUUCCUUUGCCAAGGCAAUUGCACCAGUAUUGUCACAAAAGAUUUUCAUUGGACCCGAUGCACUAGGUAUGACACCUAGAUCGGAUAUGGACUCCUUCAUCCAGACUCCUUCGUUCGCUGCUUCCGAAGCAGCUAUGUACUCCGCUUCACAUGUAGAUCCCGCUACGACGCUUUGUUUAGAACUGCACCAACUGACAGCUCCACUGUUCAAUGUAAACACAUAUCCGGUUUGCGAUUUAGAAUCGUCCGGAACAGUGUCAAAGCUUGCAUCAACGUAACCAUUUACGACGAGCUCUUUGUCACCUCCAUAUACGAGAAACAUAUCCUUAGUCCUUUUCAUGUAUUUUAGGAUGUUCUUGACGGCUGUCCAGUGAUCCACUCCUGGAUUACUUUGGUACCUCCCUGCUAGACUUAUAGCAAGGCACACAUCAGGUCUGGUACACAGCAUUGCAUACAUGAUAGAUCCUAUCGCUGAUGCAUAGGGAACAUCUUUCAUAUUCUCUCUAUCUUCUGCAGUGGUCGGGCAUUGAGUCUUACUCAAUUUCACACCUUGUAACACAGGCAAGAAUCCUUUCUUUGCUUGAUCCAUUUUGAACUUCUUCAAAAUUUUGUCAAGGUAUGUUGUUUGUGAAAGUCCAAUUAAGCGUCUUGACCUAUCUCUAUAGAUCUUUAUGCCUAAUAUGUAAGCAGCUUCACCGAGGUCUUUCAUUGAAAAACUCUUAUUCAAGUAUCCCUUUAUGCUAUCCAGAAAUUCUAUAUCAUUUCCAAUCAGUAAUAUGUCAUCCACAUAUAAUAUCAGAAAUGCUACAGAGCUCCCACUCACUUUCUUGUAAAUACAGGCUUCUUCGAAAGUCUGUAUAAAAUAAAAUGCUUUGAUCACACUAUCAAAGCAUUUAUUCCAACUCCGAGAGGCUUGCACCAGUCCAUAAAUGGAUCGCUGGAGCUUGCACACUUUGUUAGCUCCUUUUGGAUCGACAAAACCUUCUGGUUGCAUCAUAUACAACUCUUCUUCCAGAAAUCCAUUCAGGAAUGCAGUUUUGACAUCCAUUUGCCAAAUUUCAUAAUCAUAAAAUGCGGCAAUUGCUAACAUGAUUCGGACAGACUUAAGCAUCGCUACGGGUGAGAAGGUCUCAUCGUGGUCAACCCCUUGAACUUGUCGAAAACCUUUUGCGACAAGUCGAGCUUUGUAGACAGUAACAUUACCGUCAGCGUCAGUCUUCUUCUUGAAGAUCCAUUUAUUCUCAAUUGCUUACCGAUCAUCGGGCAAGUCAACCAAAGUCCAUACUUUGUUCUCAUACAUGGAUCCCAUCUCAGAUUUCAUGGCUUCAAGCCAUUUUGCGGAAUCUGGGCUCACCAUCGCUUCUUCCUAGUUCGCAGGUUCAUCAUGAUCUAGUAGCAUGACUUCCAGAACAGGAUUACCGUACCACUCUGGUGCGGAUCUUACUCUGGUUGAUCUAUGAGGUUCAGCAGUAUCUUGAUCUGAAGUUUCAUGAUCAUUAUCAUUAGCUUCCUCACUAACUGGUGUAGGUGUCACUGAAACAAUUUUCUGUGAUGUACUACUUUCCAAUAAGGGAGCAGGUACAGUUACCUCGUCAAGUUCUACUUUCCUCCCACUCACUUCUUUCGAGAGAAACUCCUUCUCUAGAAAGUUUCCGAAUUUAGCAACAAAAGUCUUGCCUUCGGAUCUGUGAUAGAAGGUGUGUCCAAUAGUUUCCUUUGGAUAUCCUAUGAAAACACAUUUCUCUGAUUUGGGUUCGAGCUUAUCAGGUUGAAGCUUUUUCACAUAAGCAUCGCAGCCCCAAACUUUCAGAAACGACAACUUUGGUUUCUUGCCAAACCACAGUUCAUAAGGCGUCGUCUCAACGGAUUUUGAUGGUGCCCUAUUUAAAGUGAAUGCGGCCGUCUCUAGAGCGUAUCCCCAAAAUGAUAGUGGUAAAUCAGUAAGAGACAUCAUAGAUCGCACCAUAUCUAGUAAAGUACGAUUACGACGUUCGGACACACCAUUACGCUGUGGUGUUCCGGGCGGCGUGAGUUGCGAAACUAUUCCACAAUUUUUCAAAUGUACACCAAACUCGUAACUCAAAUAUUCUCCUCCACGAUCAGAUCGUAGAAACUUUAUUUUCUUGUUACGAUGAUUUUCAACUUCACUCUGAAAUUCCUUGAACCUUUCAAAUGUUUCAGACUUAUGUUUCAUUAAGUAGAUAUACCCAUAUCUGCUUAAAUCAUCUCUGAAGGUGAGAAAAUAACGAUAUCCGCCACGAGCCUCAAUAUUCAUCGGACCACAUACAUCUGUAUGUAUGAUUUCCAACAAAUCUGUUGCUCUCUCCAUAGUACCGGAGAACGGUGUUUUGGUCAUCUUGCCCAUAAGGCACGGUUCGCAAGUACUAAGUGAUUCAUAAUCAAGUGGUUCCAAAAGUCCAUCAGAAUGGAGUUUCUUCAUGCGCUUUACACCGAUAUGACCUAAACGGCAGUGCCACAAAUAAGUUGCACUCUAAUUAUCAACUCUGCAUCUUUUGGCUUCAACAUUAUGAAUAUGUGUGUUACUACUAUCGAGAUUCAACAAGAAUAGACCACUCUUCAAGGGUGCAUGACCAUAAAAGAUAUUACUCAUAUAAAUAGAACAACCAUUAUUCUCUGAUUUAAAUGAAUAACCGUCUCGCAUCAAACAAGAUCCAGAUAUAAUGUUCAUGCUUAACGCUGGCACCAAAUAACAAUUAUUUAGGUCUAACACUAAUCCCGAAGGUAGAUGUAGAGGUAGUGUGCCGACUGCGAUCACAUCGACUUUGGAACCGUUUCCCACGCGCAUCGUCACCUCGUCCUUAACCAAUCUUCGCUUGAUCCGUAGUCCCUGUUUCGAGUUGCAAAUAUUAGCAACAGAACCAGUAUCAAAUACCCAGGUGCUACUGCAAGCAUUAGUAAGGUACACAUCAAUAACAUGUAUAUCACAUAUACCUUUGUUCACCUUGCCAUCCUUCUUAUCCACCAAAUACUUGGGGCUGUUCCGCUUCCAGUGACCAGUCUGCUUGCAAUAGAAACACUCAGUUUCAGGCUUAGGUCCAGGUUUGGGUUUCUUCUCUUGAGUAGCAACUUGCUUGCCGUUCUUUUUGAAGUUCCCCUUCUUCUUCCCUUUGCCCUUUUUAUUGAAACUAGUGGUCUUGUUGACCAUCAACACUUGAUGCUCCUUCUUGAUUUCUACCUCCGCGGCUUUCAGCAUCACGAAGAGCUCGGGAAUAGUCUUGUUCAUCCCUUGCAUAUUAUAGUUCAUCACGAAGCUCUUGUAGCUUGGUGGCAGUGAUUGAAGAAUUCUGUCAAUGACGCGAUCAUCUGGAAGAUUAACUCCCAAUUGAAUCAAGUGAUUAUUAUACCCAGACAUUUUGAGUAUAUGCUCACUGACAGAACUGUUCUCCUCCAUCUUGCAGCUAUAGAACUUAUUGGAGACUUCAUAUCUCUCAAUCCGGGCAUUUGCUUGAAAUAUUAACUUCAACUCCUGGAACAUCUCAUAUGCUCCAUGACGUUCAAAACAUCGUUGAAGUCCCGAUUCUAAGCCGUAAAGCAUGGCACACUGAACUAUCGAGUAGUCAUCAGCUUUGCUCUGCCAGACAUUCAUAACAUCCGGCGUUGCUCCUGCAGCAGGGCUGGCACCCAGCGGUGCUUCCAGGACGUAAUUCUUCUGUGCAGCAAUGAGGAUAAUCCUCAAGUUAUGGACCCAGUCCGUGUAAUUGCUACCAUCAUCUUUCAACUUUGCUUUCUCAAGGAACGCAUUAAAAUUCAACGGAACAACAGCACGAGCCAUCUAUCUACAAUCAAACAUAAACAAGAAAGAUACUAAUCAGGUACUAAGUUUCAUGAUAAAUUUAAGUUCAGUUAAUCAAAUUAAUUAAAGAACUCCCACUUAGAUAGACAUCCCUCUAAUCCUCUAAGUGAUUACGUGAUCCAAAUCAACUAAACCAUAACCGAUCAUCACGUGAGAUGGAGUAGUUUUCAAUGGUGAACAUCGUUAUGUUGAUCAUAUCUACUAUAUGAUUCACGCUCGACCUUUCGGUCUCCGUGUUCCGAGGCCAUAUCUGUAUAUGUUGGCUCGUCAAGUAUAACCUGAGUAUUCCGCGUGUGCAACUAUUUUGCACCCGUUGUAUUUGAACAUAGAACCUAUCACACCCGAUCAUCACGUGGUGUCUCAGCAUGAAGAACUUUCGCAACGGUGCAUACUCAGGGAGAACACUUCUUGAUAAUUUAGUGAGAGAUCAUCUUAUAAUGCUACCAUCAAUCAAAGCAAGAUAAGAUGCAUAAAAGGAUAAACAUCACAUGCAAUCAAUAUAAGUGAUAUGAUAUGAGCAUCAUCAUCUUGUGCUUGUGAUAUCCAUCUCCGAAGCACCGUCGUGAUCAGCAUCGUCACCGGCGUGACACCUUGAUCUCCAUCGUAGCAUCGUUGUCGUCUCGCCAAGCUUGUGCUUCUACGACUAUCGCUACCGCUUAGUGAUAAAAGCAAAGCAUUACAUCGCGAUUGCAUUCCAUACAAUAAAACGACAACCAUAAGGCUCCUGCCAGUUGCCGAUAACUCGGUUACAAAACAUGAUCAUCUCAUACAAUAAAAUUCAGCAUCAUGUCUUGACCAUAUCACAUCACAACAUGCCCUGCAAAAACAAGUUAGACGUCCUCUACUUUGUUGUUGCAAGUUUUACGUGGCUGCUAUGGGCUUAAGCAAGAACCAAUCUUACCUACGCAUCAAAACUACAACGAUAGUUUGUCAAUUUGACUCCGUUUUAACCUUCGCAAGGACCGGGCGUAGCCAUACUCGGUUCAACUAAAGUUGGAGAGACAGUCGCCCGCAAGCCACCUAUGUGCAAAGCACGUCGGGGGAACCGGUCUCGCGUAAGCGUACGCGUAAUGUUGGCCGGGUCGUCUCGUCCAACAAUGCCGCCGAACCAAAGUAUGACAUGCUGGUAGGCAGUAUGACUUAUAUCGCCCACAACUCACUUGUGUUCUACUCGUGCAUAUAACAUCAACAUAAAUAACCUAGGCUCGGAUGCCACUGUUGGGUUUCGUAGUAAUUUCAAAAAAAUUCCUAUGCACACGCAAGAUCAUGUGAUGCAUAGCAAUGAGAGGAGAGUGUGAUCUACAUACCUAGUAGAUCGACAACGGAAGCAUUUGGUUGAUGUAGUCGUACGUCUUCACGAUCCAACCGAUCAAGCACCGAAACUACGGCACCUCCGAGUUUGAGCACACGUUCAGCUCGAUGACGAUCUCCGGACUCUGAUCCAGCAAAGUGUCGGGGAAGAGUUCCGUCAGCACGACGGCAUGGUGACGAUCUUGAUGCACUACAGCAGCAGGGCUUCGCCUAAACUCCGCUACAGUAUUAUCGAGGACUAUGGUGGCUGGGGCGCCGCACACGGCUAAGGAAUAGAUCACGUGGAUCAACUUGUGUGUUUCUGGGGUGCCUCUGCCUCAGUAUAUAAAGCACCAAAGGGGGGAGGCUGGCCGGCCACAUAGGGCGCGCCAGGAGAGUCCUACUCCCUCUGGGAGUAGGAUUCCCCCCCCCCCCAAUCCUAGUUGGAAUAGGAUUCGCGGAGGGGGAAAAGAGAGAGGGGGGCCGGCCACCUCUCCUUCUCCUAAUAGGACUAGGGGAGGGAGGGAGGCGCGCAUCCCAUCUUGGGCAGCCCCUUCUCUUUUCCACUAAGGCCCACUAAGGCCCAUAUAGCUCUCGGGGGGUUCCGGUAACCUCCCGGUACUCCGGUAAAAUCCCGAUUUCACACGGAACACUUCCGAUAUCCAAACAUAGGCUUCCAAUAUAUCAAUCUUUAUGUCUCGACCAUUACUAGACUCCUCGUCAUGUCCGUGAUCACAUCCGGGACUCCGAACAACCUUCGGUACAUCAAAAUGCAUAAACUCAUAAUAUAACUGUCAUCAUAACCUUAAGCGUGCGGACCCUAUGGGUUCAAGAACAAUGUAGACAUGACCGAGACACGUCUCCGGUCAAUAACCAAUAGCGGGACCUGGAUGCCCAUAUUGGCUCCUACAUAUUCUACGAAGAUCUUUAUCGGUCAGACCGCAUAACAACAUACGUUGUUCCCUUUGUCAUCGGUAUGUUACUUGCCCGAGAUUCGAUCGUCGGUAUUCCAAUACCUAGUUCAAUCUUGUUACUGGCAAGUCUCUUUACUCGUUCUGUAAUACAUCAUUCCGCAACUAACUCAUUUAGUUGCAAUGCUUGCAAGGCUUAAGUGAUGUGCAUUACCGAGAGGGCCCAGAGAUACCUCUCCGACAAUCGGAGUGACAAAACCUAAUCUCGAAAUACGCCAACCCAACAUGUACCUUUAGAGACACCUGUAAUACUCCUUUAUAAUGACCCAGUAACGUUGUGACGUUUGGUAGUACCAAAAGUGUUCCUCCGGUAAACGGGAGUUCAUAAUCUCAUAUAGGAACAUGUAUAAGUCAUGAAGAAAGAAAUAGCAACAUACUAAACGAUCGGGUGCUAAGCUAAUGGAAUGGGUCAUGUCAAUCAGAUCAUUCUCUUAAUGAUGUGAUCACGUUAAUCAAAUAACAACUCAUCGUUCAUGGUUAGGAAACAUAACCAUCUUUGAUUAACGAGCUAGUCAAGUAGACGCAUACUAGUGACACUUUGUUUGUCUAUGUAUUCACACAUGUAUUAUGUUUCUGGUUAAUACAAUUCUAGCAUGAAUAACAAACAUUUAUCAUGAUUAUAAGGAAAUAAAUAAUAACUUUAUUAUUGCCUCUAGGGCAUAUUUCCUUCAGAGUGGCGCCCCAGCCCACUUUGGGCUGGAUCCCUUCCUCAUACAGCCCAUAAGGCCCUCCGGGAGAGGUGGCCCCUCCGAGUGGACCCCCGGAACCCCUCCGGUGGCCCCGGUACAAUACCGUUAUGCCCCCGAACCUUUCCGGUGACCGUAUGACAACUUCCCAUAUAUAAUUCUUUACCUCCGGAUUAUUCCGGGACUUCGAACAACUUUCGGAUUACUGCAUACUCAUAUCUAUACAACCCUAGCAUCACUGAACCUUAAGUGUGUAGACCCUACGGGUUCGGGAGACAAUCAGACAUGACCGAGACGACUCUCUGGUCAAUAACCAACAGUGGGAUCUGGAUACCCAUGUUGGCUCCCACAUGCUCCUUGAUGAUCUCAUCGGAUGAACCACGAUGUCGAGGACCUAAUCAAUCCCGUACUCAAUUCCCUUUGUCAAUCGGUACAUUACUUGCCCGAGACUCGAUCGUCGAUAUCCCAAUACCUUGUUCAGUCUCGUUACCAGCAAGUCACUUUACUCGUACCGUAAUGCAUGAUCCCGUGAUCAACCACUUGAUCACAUUGAGCUCAUUAUGAUGAUGCAUUACCGAGUGGGCCCAGAGAUACCUCUCCGUCAUACGGAGUGACAAAUCCCAGUCUCGAUUCGUGCCAACCCAACAGACACUUUCGGAGAUACCUGUAAUGUACCUUUAUAGUCACCCAGUUACCUUGUGACGUUUGGCACACCCAAGGCACUCCUACGGUAUCCGGGAGUUGCACGAUCUCAUGGUCUAAGGAAAUGAUACUUGACAUCCAGAAAAGCUACAGCAAACGAACUACACGAUCUUUGUGCUAUACUUAGGUUUGGGUCUUGUCCAUCACAUCAUUCUCCUAAUGAUGUGAUCCCAUUAUCAAUGACAUCCCCAUGUCCAUAGCCAGGAAACCAUGACUAUCUGUUGAUCAACGAGCUAGUCAACUAGAGGCUCACUAGGGACACAUUAUGGUCUAUGUAUUCACACAUGUAUUACGAUUUCCGGACAAUACAAUUAUAGCAUGAAUAAUAGAAAAUUAUCAUGAACAAGGAAAUAUAAUAAUCAUUUUAUUAUUGCCUCUAGGGCAUAUUUCCAACAGUCUCCCACUUGCACUAGAGUCAAUCAUCUAGUUACAUUGUGAUGAAUCGAACACCCAUGGAAUUCUGGUGUUGAUCAUGUUUUGCUCUAGGGAGAGGUUUAGUCAACGGAUCUGCUACAUUCAGGUCCGUAUGUACUUUACAAAUCUCUAUGUAUCCAUUUUGAACACUUUCACGAAUGGAGUUGAAACGACGCUUGAUAUGCCUGGUCUUCCUGUGAAACCUGGGCUCCUUGGCAAGGGCAAUAGCUCCAGUGUUGUCACAGAAGAGAGUCAUCGGGCCCGACGCAUUGGGUAUGACUCCUAGGUCGGUAAUGAACUCCUUCACCCAGACUGCUUCGUGUGCUGCCUCCGAGGCUGCCAUGUACUCCGCUUCACAUGUAGAUCCUGCCACAAUGCUUUGCUUGCAACUGCACCAGCUUACUGCCCCACCAUUCAAAAUAUACACGUAUCCGGUUUGUGACUUAGAGUCAUCCAGAUCUGUGUCGAAGCUAGCAUCAACGUAACCCUUUACGACAAGCUCUUCGUCACCUCCAUAAACGAGAAACAUUUCCUUAGUCCUUUUCAGGUACUUCAGGAUAUUUUUGAUCGCUGUCCAGUGUUCCAUGUCGGGAUUACUUUGGUACCUUCCUACCAAACUCACGGCAAGGUUUACAUCAGGUCUGGUACACAGCAUAGCAUACAUGAUAGACCCUAUGGCUGAGGCAUAGGGGACGACACUCAUCUUUUCUCUAUCUUCUGCCGUGGUCGGGCAUUGAGCCAAGCUCAAUCUCGUACCUUGCAAUACAGGCAAGAACCCCUUCUUUGACUGAUCCAUUUUGAACUUCUUCAAUAUCUUGUCAAGGUACAUACUCUAUGAAAGACCAAUGAGGCGUCUCGAUCUAUCUCUAUAGAUCUUGAUGCCUAAUAUAUAAGCAGCUUCUCCAAGGUCCUUCAUUGAAAAACACUUGUUCAAAUAGGCCUUUAUGCUUUCCAAGAAUUCUAUAUCAUUUCCCAUCAACAGUAUGUCAUCCACAUACAAUAUGACAAAUGCUACAGAGCUCCCACCCACUUUCUUGUAAAUGCAAGCUUCUCCAUAAGUCUGCAUAAACCCAAACGCUUUGAUCAUCUCAUCAAAGCGAAUGUUGCAACUCCGAGAUGCUUGCACCAGCCCGUAAAUCGAGCGUUGGAGCUUGCACACCUUGUCAGCAUUCUUAGGAUCGACAAGACCUUCCGGUUGCAUCAUAUACAAUUCUUCCUUAAGGAAACCAUUAAGGAAUGCCGUUUUGACGUCCAUUUGCCAUAUUUCAUAAUCAUAGAAUGCGGCAAUUGCUAACAUGAUUCGGACGGACUUCAGCUUCGCUACGGGUGAGAAAGUCUCAUCGUAGUCAACCCCUUGAACUCGUCGAUAACCCUUAGCGACAAGCCGUGCUUUAUAGAUGGUCACAUUACCAUCCGCGUCUGUCUUCUUCUUAAAGAUCCAUUUAUUUUCUAUGGCUCGCCGAUCAACGGGCAAGUCAGUCAAAGUCCAUACUUUGUUUUCAUACAUGGAUCCUAUCUCGGAUUUCAUGGCUUCCAGCCAUUUGUCGGAAUACGGGCCCGCCAUCACUUCUUCAUAGUUCAAAGGUUCACCGUUGUCUAACAACAUGAUUUCCAAGACAGGGUUGCCGUACCACUCUGGUGAGGAACGUGUCCUUGUGGACCUUCGAAGUUCAGUAGGAGCUUGAUCAGAAGUAUCUUGAUCAUCAUCAUUAACUUCCUCUCUAAUUGGUGCAAGCACCACAGGAACAUUUGCCUGAGUUGCGCCACUUUCCGGUUCAAGAGGCAAUACUUCAUCAAGUUCUACUUUCCUCCCACUUACUUCUUUCGAGAGAAACUCCUUCUCUAGAAAGGAUCCAUUCUUGGCAACAAAGAUCUUGCCUUCGGAUCUGAGGUAGAAGGUAUACCCAAUAGUUUCUUUAGGGUAUCCUAUCAAGACGCAUUUUUCCGACUUGGGUUCGAGCUUUUCAGGUUGAAGUUUCUUGACAUAAGCAUCGCAUCCCCAAACUUUUAGAAACGACAGCUUAGGCUUCUUCCCAAACCAUAAUUCAUACGGUGUCGUCUCAACGGAUUUCGACGGAGCCCUAUUUAAAGUGAAUGCAGUAGUCUCUAAAGCAUAGCCCCAAAAUGACAGCGGUAAAUUGGUAAGAGACAUCAUAGAUCGCACCAUAUCUAAUAGAGUGCGAUUACGACGUUCGGACACACCAUUACGCUGAGGUGUUCCAGGCGGCAUGAGUUGUGAAACUAUUCCACAUUUUCUUAAGUGUGUACCAAAUUCUUGACUCAAGUAUUCUCCUCCACGAUCUGAUCGCAAAAACUUGAUUUUUCUGUCAUGUUGAUUCUCAACCUCACUCUGAAAUUCCUUGAACUUUUCAAAGGUUUCAGACUUGUGUUUCAUUAAGUAGAUAUACCCAUAUCUACUCAAGUCAUCAGUGAGGGUGAGAACAUAACGAUAGCCACCACGAGCCUCAACAUUCAUUGGACCGCACACAUCAGUAUGUAUGAUUUCCAAUAGGUUGGUUGCUCGCUCCAUUGUUCCUGAGAACGGAGACUUGGUCAUCUUACCCAUGAGGCAUGGUUCACACAUGUCAAAUGAUUCGUAAUCAAGAGACUCUAAAAGUCCAUCUGUAUGGAGCUUCUUCAUGCGUUUGACACCUAUGUGACUAAGGCGGCAGUGCCACAAGUAUGUGGGACUAUCAUUAUCAACCUUACAUCUUUUGGCAUUCACACUAUGAAUAUGUGUAGCAUUACGCUCGAGAUUCAUUAAGAAUAAACCAUUCACCAUAGGAGCAUGACCAUAAAACAUAUCUCUCAUAUAAAUAGAACAACCAUUACACUUGGAUUUAAAUGAGUAGCCAUCUCGUAUUAAACGAGAUCCUGAUACAAUGUUCAUGCUCAAACUUGGCACUAAAUAACAAUUAUUGAGGUUCAAAACUAAUCCCGUAGGUAAAUAUAGAGGUAGCGUGCCGACGACGAUGACAUCGACCUUGGAACCAUUCCCGACGCGCAUUGUCACCUCGUCCUUCGCCAAUCUCCGCUUAUUCCGCAGCUCCUGCUUUGAGUUACAAAUGUGAGCAACUGCACCGGUAUCAAAUACCCAGGAGCUACUACGAGUAUUGGUAAGGUACACAUCAAUUACAUGUAUAUCACAUAUACCUUUCGUUUUGCCGGCCUUCUUGUCCGCUAAGUAUUUGGGGCAGUUCCGCUUCCAGUGUCCACUUCCCUUGCAAUAAAAACACUCAGUCUCGGGCUUGGGUCCAUUCUUUGGCUUCUUCCCGGCAGCUUGCUUACCAGGCGCGGCAACUCCCUUGCCGUCCUUCUUGAAGUCCUUCUUACCCUUGCCUUUCUUGAACUUAGUGGUUUUAUUCACCAUCAACACUUGAUGGUCCUUUUUGACUUCUACCUCUGCUGAUUUCAGCAUUGCAAAUACUUUAGGAAUGGUCUUUUCCAUCCCCUGCAUAUUGAAGUUCAUCACAAAGCUCUUGUAGCUUGGUGGAAGCGACUGGAGGAUUCUGUCAAUGACCGCGUCAUCCGGGAGAUUAACUCCCAGCUGAGUCAAGCGGUUAUUUAACCCAGACAUAGUGAGUAUGUGCUCACUGACAGAACUAUUUUCCUCCAUCUUACAGCUGAAGAACUUGUCGGAGACUUCAUAUCUCUCGACCCGGGCAUGAGCUUGGAAAACCAUUUUUAGCUCUUCGAACAUCUCAUAUGCUCCGUGUCGCUCAAAACGCUUUUGGAGCCCCGGUUCUAAGCUGUAAAGCAUGCCGCACUGAACGAGGUAGUAAUCAUCAGCACGUGUCUGCCAAGCGUUCAUAACGUCUUGGUUCUGUGGGACGGGUGCGUCACCUAGCGGUGCUUCUAGGACAUAAUCUUUCUUGGCAGCUUUAUAGUUGCUGCCAUCGUCUUUCAGCUUGGUUUUCUCUAGGAACGCAUUGAAGUUGAGGACAACGUUGGCUAUUUGAUCUACAAGACAUAUUGUAAAUAUUUUAGACUAAGUUCAUGAUAAUUAAGUUCAUCUAAUCAAAUUAUUCAAUGAACUCCCACUUAGAUAGACAUCCCUCCAGUCAUCUAAGUAUAACAUGAUCCGAGUUGACUAGGUCGUGUCCGAUCAUCACGUGAGACGGACUAGUCAACAUCGGUGAACAUCUUCAUGUUGAUCGUAUCUUCUAUACGACUCAUGCUCGACCUUUCGGUCUUCUGUGUUCCGAGGCCAUGUCUGUACAUGCUAGGCUCGUCAAGUCAACCUAAGUGUAUUGCGUGUGUAAAUCUGUCUUACACCCGUUGUAUGUGAACGUUGGAAUCUAUCACACCCGAUCAUCACGUGGUGCUUCGAAACAACGAACUGUCGCAACGGCGCACAGUUAGGGGGAACACUUUCUUGAAAUUAUUAUGAGGGAUCAUCUUAUUUACUACCGUCGUUCUAAGUAAACAAGAUGCAAAAACAUGAUAAACAUCACAUGCAAUCAAAUAAUAAUAGUGACAUGAUAUGGCCAAUAUCACAUAGCUCCUUUGAUCUCCAUCUUGGGGCUCCAUGAUCAUCUUGUCACCGACAUGACACCAUGAUCUCCAUCAUCAUGAUCUCCAUCAUCGUGUCUCCAUGAAGUUGCUAGCCAACUAUUACUUCUACUACUAUGGCUAACGCGUUUAGCAAUAAAUUAAAGUAAUUUACAUGGCGUUUCUCAAUGACACGCAGGUCAUACAAAAAAUAAAGACAACUCCUAUGGCUCCUGCCGGUUGUCAUAAUCAUCGACAUGCAAGUCGUGAUUCCUAUUACAAGAACAUGAUCUCAUACAUCACAUAUAUAUCAUUCAUCAUUCAUCACAACUUUGGCCAUAUCACAUCACAAAUCACUUGCUGCAAAAACAAGUUAGACGUCCUCUAAUUGUUGUUGCAAGUUUUACGUGGCUGCAAAAGGGUUCUAGCAAGAACGUUUUCUUACCUACGUAAUAGCCACAACGUGAUUUGUCAACUUCUAUUUACCCUUCAUAAGGACCCUUUUCAUCGAAUCCGCUCCAAAUAAAGUGGGAGAGACAGAAACCCGCUAGCCACCUAAUGCAACUAGUGCAUGUCAGUCGGUGGAACCAGUCUCACGUAAGCAUACGUGUAAGGUCGGUCCGGGCCGCUUCAUCCCACAAUACCGCUAAAGCAAGAUAAGACUAGUAGCGGCAAGAAAGUUGACAACAUCUACGCCCACAACAAAUUGUGUUCUACUCGUGCAAGGAGAACUACGCAUAAACCUGGCUCUGAUACCACUGUUGGGGAACAUUGCAGAAAACAAAAAAUUUCCUACGAUUUCACCAAGACCCAUCUAUGAGUUCAUCUAGCAACGAGUGAUCGGAUUGCAUCUACAUACCUUUGUAGAUCACGCGCGGAAGCGUUCAAAGAACGGGGAUGAGAAAGUCGUACUCGACGUGAUCCAAAUCACCGGAGGUCCUAGCGCCGAACAGACGGCACCUCCGCGUUCAACACACGUACGGUCAGCGUGACGUCUCCUCCUUCUUGAUCUAGCAAGGGGGAAGGAGAGGUUGAGGAAGAUGGCUCCAGCAGCAGCACGACGGCGUGGUGGUGGUGGAGCAGCAGUACUUCAGCAGGGCUUCGCCAAGCUCGUGACGGAGGAGGAGAUGUGUUGGGGAGGGGAGGGGAUGUGCCUUGGAUGUCCUCUGCAGCCCUCCCCUCACCCCUCUAUUUAUAGGGGAAGGAGGAAGGGGGCCGGCCCCCUCUAGAUGAGAUCUACAGGAGGGGCGGCGGCCAAGGGGAGGGGGGCUUGCCCCCCAAGCAAGGGGGCGCCCCCCCUUAGGGUUUCCCCCAACCCUAUGCGCAUGGGCCCUAGGGGGAGUGGCACCCCAGCCCACUUUGGGGUGGAUACCUUCCUCAUACAGCCCAUAAGGCCCUCCGAGAGAGGUGGCCCCUCCUGGUGGACCCCCGGAACCCCUCCGGUGGCCCCGGUACAAUACUGAUACGCCCCCGAACCUUUCCGGUGACCAUAUGACAACUUCCCAUAUAUAAUUCUUUACCUCCGGAUUAUUCCGGAACUCCUCGUGACGUCCAGGAUCUCAUCCGGGACUCCGAAAAACUUUCGGAUUACUGCAUACUCAUCUAUACAACCCUAGCGUCACCGAACCUUAAGUGUGUAGACCCUACGGGUUUGGGAGACAAGCAUACAUGACCGAGAUGACUCUCUGGUCAAUAACCAACAGCGGGAUCUGGAUACCCAUGUUGGCUCCCACAUGCUCCUCGAUGAUCUCAUCAGAUGAACCACGAUGUCGAGGACCUAAUCAAUCUCGUACUCAAUUCCCAUUGUCAAUCGGUACGUUACUUGCCCGAGACUCGAUCGUCGGUAUCCCAAUACCUUGUUCAGUCUCGUUACCGGCAAGUCACUUUACUCGUACCGUAAUGCAUGAUCCCAUGAUCAACCACUUGAUCACAUUGAGCUCAUUAUGAUGAUGCAUUACCGAGUGGGCCCAGAGAUACCUCUCCGUCAUACGGAGUGACAAAUCCCAGUCUCGAUUUGUGCCAACCCAACAGACACUUUCGGAGAUACCUGUAAUGUACCUUUGUAGUCACCCAGUUACGUUGUGAUGUUUGGCACACCCAAGGCACUCCUACGGUAUCCGGGAGUUGCACAAUCUCAUGGUCUAAGGAAAUGAUACUUGACAUCCAGAAAAGCUAUAGCAAAUGAACUACACGAUCUUUGUGCUUUGCUUAGGUUUGGGUCUUGUCCAUCACAUCAUUCUCCUAAUGAUGUGUUCCCAUUAUCAAUGACAUCCCCAUGUCCAUAGCCAGGAAACCAUGACUAUCUGUUGAUCAACGAGCUAGUCAACUAGAGGCUCACUAGGGACACAUUAUGGUCUAUGUAUUCACACAUGUAUUACGAUUUCCGAACAAUACAAUUAUAGCAUGAAUAAUAGACAAUUAUCAUGAACAAGGAAAUAUAAUCAUCAUUUUAUUAUUGCCUCUAGAGCAUAUUUCCAACAAUGUCACUCUUGGUUCAUUGCACAUCCCGGUACAACGCCGGAGGCAUUCACAUAGAGUCAUAUUUUGUUCUAAGUAUCGAGUUGUAAUUUUUGAGUUGUAAAGUAAAUAAAAGUGUGAUGAUCAUCAUUAUUAGAUCAUUGUCCCAUGUGAGGAAAUGAUGAUGGAGACUAUGAUUCCCCAGAAGUCGGGAUGAGACUCGGGAUGAAAAAGAAAAAAAAGAAAAAAAGAGGCCAUAAAAAGAGAGAAGGCCCAAAAAGAAAAAAUAAUGAGAGAAAAGAGAGAAGGGACAAUGCUAAUAUCCUUUGACCACACUUGUGCUUCAAAGUAGCACCAUGAUCUUCAUGAUAGAGAGUCUCCUAUGUUGUCACUUUCAUAUACUAGUGGGAAUUUUACAUUAUAGAACUUGGCUUGUAUAUUCCAAUGAUGGGCUUCCUCAAAAUGCCCUAGGUCUUCGUGAGCAAGCAAGUUGGAUGCACACCCACUUAGUUUCUUUUUGAGCUUUCAUAUACUUAUAGCUCUAGUGCAUCCGUUGCAUGGCAAUCCCUACUCACUCACAUUGAUAUCUAUUGAUGGGCAUCUCCAUAGCCCGUUGAUACACCUAGUUGAUGUGAGACUAUCUUAUCCUUUUUGUCUUCUCCACAACCACCAUUCUAUUCCACCUAUAGUGCUAUGUCCAUGGCUCACGCUCAUGUAUCGCGUGAAGAUUGAAAAAGUUUGAGAACAUCAAAAGUAUGAAACAAUUGCUUGGCUUGUCAUCGGGGUUGUGCACGAUUUAAAUACUUUGUGUGAUGAAGAUAGAGCAUAGCCAUACUAUAUGAUUUUGUAGGGAUAACUUUCUUUGGCCAUGUUAUUUUGAGAAGACAUCAUUGCUUUGUUAGUAUGCUUGAAGUAUUAUUAUUUUUAUGUCAAUAUUAAACUUUUGUCUUGAAUAUUUCGGAUCUGAACAUUCAUGCCACAAUAAAGAAAAAAUAUAUUGAGAAUUAUGCUAGGUAGCAUUCCACAUCAAAAGUUCUGUUUUUAUCAUUUACCUACUCGAGGACGAGUAGGAAUGAAUCUUGGGAUGCUUCAUACGUCUACAACAUAUCUAUAAUUUGUGAUUGUUCCAUGCUAUUAUAUUAUCUGUUUUGGAUGUUUAAUGGGCUUUAAUAUACAUUUUUAUAUUAUUUUUGGGACUAACCUACUAACCAAAGCCCCAGUGCAAAUUGCUUUUUUUUGCCUAUUUCAGUGUUUCGCAGAAAAGGAAUAUCAAACGGAAUCCAAACGGAAUGAAACCUUCGGGAGAGUUAUUUAUAGAACAAAUGUGAUCCAGGAGACUUGAGUGGAUGUCAAGAAAGAAGCGAGGAGGCCACUGAAGGAAAUAUGCCCUAGAGGCAAUAAUAAAGUUAUUAUUUAUUUCCUUAUAAUCAUGAUAAAUGUUUAUUAUUCAUGCUAGAAUUGUAUUAACCGGAAACAUAAUACAUGUGUGAAUACAUAGACAAACAAAGUGUCACUAGUAUGCCUCUACUUGACUAGCUCGUUAAUCAAAGAUGGUUAUGUUUCCUAACCAUGAACAAUGAGUUGUUAUUUGAUUAACGAGGUCACAUCAUUAGUUGAAUGAUCUGAUUGACAUGACCCGUUCCAUUAGCUUAGCAACCGAUCGUUUAGUAUGUUGCUAUUGCUUUCUUCAUGACUUAUACAUGUUCCUAUAACUAUGAGAUUAUGCAACUCCCGUUUGCCGGAGGAACACUUUGGGUGCUACCAAACGUCACAAUCUAACUGGGUGAUUAUAAAGGAGCAUUACAGGUGUCUCCAAAGGUAGAUGUUGGGUUGGCAAAUUUCGAGAUUAGGAUUUGUCACUCCGAUUGUCGGAGAGGUAUCUCUGGGCCCUCUCGGUAAUGCACAUCACAUAAGCCUUGCAAGCAUUGCAACUAAUGAGUUAGUUGCGAGAUGAUGUAUUACAAAACGAGUAAAGAGACUGGUUGGUAACGAGAUUGAACUAGGUAUUGUAUAUCGACGAUCGAAUCUCGGGCAAGUAACAUACCGAUGACAAAGGGAACAACGUAUGUUGUUAUGCGGUCUGACCGAUAAAGAUCUUCGUAGAAUAUGUAGGAGCCAAUAUGGGCAUCCAGGUCCCGCUAUUGGUUAUUGACCAGAGACGUGUCUCGGUCAUGUCUACAUUGUUCUCGAACCCGUAGGGUCCGCACGCUUAAGGUUACGAUGACAGUUAUAUUAUGAGUUUAUGCAUUUUGAUGUACCGAAGGUUGUUCGGAGUCCCGGAUGUGAUCACGGACAUGACGAGGAGUCUCGAAAUGGUCGAGACGUAAAGAUUGAUAUAUUGGAAGCCUAUGUUUGGAUAUCGGAAGUGUUCCGGGUGAAAUCGGGAUUUUACCGGAGUACCGGGANNNNNNNNNNNNNNNNNNNNNNNNNNNNNNNNNNNNNNNNNNNNNNNNNNNNNNNNNNNNNNNNNNNNNNNNNNNNNNNNNNNNNNNNNNNNNNNNNNNNNNNNNNNNNNNNNNNNNNNNNNNNNNNNNNNNNNNNNNNNNNNNNNNNNNNNNNNNNNNNNNNNNNNNNNNNNNNNNNNNNNNNNNNNNNNNNNNNNNNNNNNNNNNNNNNNNNNNNNNNNNNNNNNNNNNNNNNNAAGGUGGCCGCGCGCCUCCCCCUCCCCCUAGUCCUAUUAGGACUAGGAGAGGUGGUCGGCCCCCCUUCUCUCUCUUCCCCCCUCGGGGAAUCCUAGUCCAACUAGGAUUGGGGGGGGAGUCCUACUCCCGGAAGGAGAAGGACUCCUCCUGCGCCCUCCUCCUGGCCGGCGCCCCCCUCCCCCUUGGCUCCUUUAUAUACUAAGGCAGAGGCACCCCAGAAACACACAAGUUGAUCCACGUGAUCUAUUCCUUAGCCGUGUGCGGUGCCCCCAGCCACCAUAUUCAUCGAUAAUACUGUAGCGGAGUUUAGGCGAAGCCCUACUGCUGUAGUGCAUCAAGAUCGUCACCACGCCGUCGUGCUGACGGAAUUCUUCCCCGACACUUUCCUGGAUCGGAGUCCGGGGAUCGUCAUCGAGCUGAACGUGUGCUCGAACUCGGAGGUGCCGUAGUUUCGGUGCUUGAUCGGUUGGAUCGCGAAGACGUACGACUACUUCCUCUACGUUGUGUCAACGCUUCCGCAGUCGGUCUGCGUGGGUACGUAGAAAGCACUCUCCCCUCUCGUUGCUAUGCAUCACCAUGAUCUUGCGUGUGCGUAGGAAUUUUUUUGAAAUUACUACGAAACCCAAAAGUCGCAUCCGUGCCUAGGUUAUUUAUGUUGAUGUUAUAUGCACGAGUAGAACACAAGUGAGUUGUGGGCGAUAUAAGUCAUACUGCCUACCAGCAUGUCAUACUUUGGUUCGGCGGCAUUGUUGGACGAGACGACCCGGACCAACCUUACGCGUACGCUUACGCGAGACCGGUUCCCCCGACGUGCUUUGCACACAGGUGGCUUGCGGGCGACUGUCUCUCCAACUUUAGUUGAACCAAGUAUGGCUACGCCCGGUCCUUGCGAAGGUUAAAACGGAGUCUAUUUGACAAACUAUCGUUGUGGUUUUGAUGCGUAGGUGAGAUUGGUUCUUGCUUAAAGCCCGUAGCAGCCACAUAAAACUUGCAACAACAAAGUAGAGGACGUCUAACCUGUUUUUGCAGGGCAUGUUGUGAUGUGAUAUGGUCAAGACAUGAUGCUGAAUUUUAUUGUAUGAGAUGAUCAUGUUUUGUAACCGAGUUAUCGGCAACUGGCAGGAGCCUUAUGGUUGUCGUUUUAUUGUAUGCAAUGAAAACGCGAUGUAAUGAUUUACUUUAUUACUAAGCGGUAGUGAUAGUCGUGGAAGCAUAAACUUGGCGAGACGACAACGAUGCUAUGAUGGAGAUCAAGGUGUCACGCCGGUGAUGAUGGUGAUCACGACGGUGCUUCGGAGAUGGAGAUCACAAGCACAAGAUGAUGAUGGCCAUAUCAUAUCACUUAUAUUGAUUGCAUGUGAUGUUUAUCCUUUUAUGCAUCUUAUCUUGCUUUGAUUGACGGUAGCAUUAUAAGAUGAUUUCUCACUAAAUUACCAAGAAGUGUUCUCCCUGAGUAUGCACCGUUGUGAAAGUUCUUCGUGCUGAGACACCACGUGAUGAUCGGGUGUGAUAGGUUCUACGUUCAAAUACAACGGGUGCAAAACAGUUGCCCACGCGGAAUACUCAGGUUAUACUUGACGAGCCAAGCAUAUACAGAUAUGGCCUCAGAACACGGAGACUGAAAGGUCGAGCGUGAAUCAUAUAGUAGAUAUGAUCAACAUAACGAUGUUCACCAUUGAAAACUACUCCAUCUCACGUGAUGAUCGGUUAUGGUUUAGUUGAUUUGGAUCACGUAAUCACUUAGAGGAUUAGAGGGAUGUCUAUCUAAGUGGGAGUUCUUUAAUUAAUUUGAUUAACUGAACUUAAAUUUAUCAUGAAACUUAGUACCUAAUUAGUAUCUUGCUUGUUUAUGUUUGAUUGUAGAUAGAUGGCUCGUGUUGUUGUUCCGUUGAAUUUUAAUGCGUUCCUUGAGAAAGCAAAGUUGAAAGAUGAUGGUAGCAAUUACACGGACUAGGUCCGUAACUUGAGGAUUAUCCUCAUUGCUGCACAGAAGAAUUACGUCCUGGAAGUACCACUGGGUGCCAGGCCUGCUGCAGGAGCAACGCCGGAUGUUAUGAACGUCUGGCAGAGCAAAGCUGAUGACUACUCAAUAGUUCAGUGUGCCAUGCUUUACGGCUUAGAAUCGGGACUUCAACGACGUUUUGAACGUCAUGGAGCAUAUGAGAUGUUCCAGGAGUUGGAGUUAAUGUUUCAAGCAAAUGCCCAGAUUGAGAGAUAUGAAGUCUCCAAUAAGUUCUAUAGCUGCAAGAUGGAGGAGAACAGUUCUGUCAGUGAGCAUAUACUCAAAAUGUCUGGGUAUAAUAAUCACUUGAUUCAAUUGGGAGUUAAUCUUCCAGAUGAUUGCGUCAUUGACAGAAUUCUUCAAUCACUGCCACCAAGCUACAAGAGCUUCGUGAUGAACUAUAAUAUGCAAGGGAUGAACAAGACUAUUCCCGAGCUCUUCGCGAUGCUGAAAGCUGCGGAGGUAGAAAUCAAGAAGGAGCAUCAAGUGUUGAUGGUCAACAAGACCACUAGUUUCAAGAAAAAGGGCAAAGGGAAGAAGAAGGGGAACUUCAAAAAGAACGGCAAGCAAGUUGCUACUCAAGAGAAGAAACCCAAACCUGGACCUAAGCCUGAAACUGAGUGUUUCUAUUGCAAGCAGACUGGUCACUUGAAGCGGAACUGCCCCAAGUAUUUGGCAGAUAAGAAGGAUGGAAAGGUGAACAAAGGUAUAUGUGAUAUACAUGUUAUUGAUGUGUACCUUACUAAUGCUCGCAGUAGCACCUGGGUAUUUGAUACUGGUUCUGUUGCUAAUAUUUGCAACUCGAAACAGGGACUACGGAUCAAGCGAAGAUUGGUUAAGGACGAGGUGACGAUGCGCGUGGGAAACGGUUCCAAAGUCGAUGUGAUCGCAGUCGGCACACUACCUCUACAUCUACCUUCGGGAUUAGUAUUAGACCUAAAUAAUUGUUAUUUGGUGCCAGCGUUAAGCAUGAACAUUAUAUCUGGAUCUUGUUUGAUGCGAGACGGUUAUUCAUUUAAAUCAGAGAAUAAUGGUUGUUCUAUUUAUAUGAGUAAUAUCUUUUAUGGUCAUGCACCCUUGAAGAGUGGUCUAUUCUUGUUGAAUCUCGAUAGUGGUAACACACAUAUUCAUAAUGUUGAAGCCAAAACAUGUAGAGUUGAUAAUGAGAGUGCAACUUAUUUGUGGCACUGCCGUUUAGGUCAUAUCGGUGUAAAGCGCAUGAAGAAACUCCAUUCUGAUGGACUUUUGGAACCACUUGAUUAUGAAUCACUUGGUACUUGCGAACCGUGCCUUAUGGGCAAGAUGACAAAACACCGUUCUCCGGUACUAUGGAGGGAGCAACAGAUUUGUUGGAAAUCAUACAUACAUAUGUAUGUGGUCCGAUGAAUAUUGAGGCUCGUGGCGGAUAUCAUUAUUUUCUCACCUUCACAGAUGAUUUAAGCAGAUAUGGGUAUAUCUACUUAAUGAAACAUAAGUCUGAAACAUUUGAAAGGUUCAAGGAAUUUCAGAGUGAAGUUGAAAAUCAUCGUAACAAGAAAAUAAAGUUUCUACGAUCUGAUCGUGGAGGAGAAUAUUUGAGUUACGAGUUUGGUGUACAUUUGAAAAAUUGUGGAAUAGUUUCGCAACUCACGCCACCCGGAACACCACAGCGUAAUGGUGUGUCUGAAUGUCGUAAUCGUACUUUACUAGAUAUGGUGCGAUCUAUGAUGUCUCUUACUGAUUUACCGCUAUCGUUUUGGGGAUACGCUCUAGAGACGGCCGCAUUCACUUUAAAUAGGGCACCAUCAAAAUCCGUUGAGACGACGCCUUAUGAACUGUGGUUUGGCAAGAAACCAAAGUUGUCGUUUCUGAAAGUUUGGGGCUGCGAUGCUUAUGUGAAAAAGCUUCAACCUGAUAAGCUCGAACCCAAAUCGGAGAAAUGUGUCUUCAUAGGAUAUCCAAAGGAAACUAUUGGAUACACCUUCUAUCACAGAUCUGAAGGCAAGACUUUUGUUGCUAAAUUCGGAAACUUUCUAGAGAAGGAGUUUCUCUCGAAAGAAGUGAGUGGGAGGAAAGUAGAACUUGACGAGGUAACUGUACCUGCUCCCUUAUUGGAAAGUAGUACAUCACAGAAAAUUGUUUCAGUGACACCUACACCAGUUAGUGAGGAAGCUAAUGAUAAUGAUCAUGAAACUUCAGAUCAAGAUACUGCUGAACCUCGUAGAUCAACCAGAGUAAGAUCCGCACCAGAGUGGUACGGUAAUCCUGUUCUGGAAGUCAUGCUACUAGAUCAUGAUGAACCUGCGAACUAGGAAGAAGCGAUGGUGAGCCCAGAUUCCGCAAAAUGGCUUGAAGCCAUGAAAUCUGAGAUGGGAUCCAUGUAUGAGAACAAAGUAUGGACUUUGGUUGACUUGCCCGAUGAUCGGUAAGCAAUUGAGAAUAAAUGGAUCUUCAAGAAGAAGACUGACGCUGACGGUAAUGUUACUGUCUACAAAGCUCGACUUGUCGCAAAAGGUUUUCGACAAGUUCAAGGGGUUGACUACGAUGAGACCUUCUCACCCGUAGCGAUGCUUAAGUCUGUCCGAAUCAUGUUAGCAAUUGCCGCAUUUUAUGAUUAUGAAAUUUGGCAAAUGGAUGUCAAAACUGCAUUCCUGAAUGGAUUUCUGGAAGAAGAGUUGUAUAUGAUGCAACCAGAAGGUUUUGUCGAUCCAAAAGGAGCUAACAAAGUGUGCAAGCUCCAGCGAUCCAUUUAUGGACUGGUGCAAGCCUCUCGGAGUUGGAAUAAAUGCUUUGAUAGUGUGAUCAAAGCAUUUUGUUUUAUACAGACUUUCGGAGAAGCCUGUAUUUACAAGAAAGUGAGUGGGAGCUCUGUAGCAUUUCUGAUAUUAUAUGUGGAUGACAUAUUACUGAUUGGAAAUGAUAUAGAAUUUCUGGAUAGCAUAAAGAGAUACUUGAAUAAGAGUUUUUCAAUGAAAGACCUCGGUGAAGCUGCUUACAUACUAGGCAUAAAGAUCUAUAGAGAUAGAUCAAGACGCUUAAUUGGACUUUCACAAACAACAUACCUUGACAAAAUUUUGAAGAAGUUCAAAAUGGAUCAAGCAAAGAAAGGAUUCUUGCCUGUGUUACAAGGUGUGAAAUUGAGUAAGACUCAAUGCCCGACCACUGCAGAAGAUAGAGAGAAUAUGAAAGAUGUUCCCUAUGCAUCAGCGAUAGGAUCUAUCAUGUAUGCAAUGUUGUGUACCAGACCUGAUGUGUGCCUUGCUAUAAGUCUAGCAGGGAGGUACCAAAGUAAUCCAGGAGUGGAUCACUGGACAACCGUCAAGAACAUCCUGAAAUACAUGAGAAGGACUAAGGAUAUGUUUCUCGUAUAUGGAGGUGACAAAGAGCUCGACGUAAAUGGUUACGUUGAUGCAAGCUUUGACACUGAUCCGGACGAUUCUAAAUCGCAAACCGGAUACGUGUUUACAUUAAACGGUGGAGCUGUCAGUUGGUGCAGUUCUAAACAAAGCGUCGUAGUGGGAUCUACAUGUGAAGCGGAGUACAUAGCUGCUUCGGAAGCAGCGAACGAAGGAGUCUGGAUGAAGGAGUUCAUAUCCGAUCUAGGUGUCAUAUCUAGUGCAUCGGGUCCAAUGAAAAUCUUUUGUGACAAUACUGGUGCAAUUGCCUUGGCAAAGGAAUCCUGAUUUCACAAGAGAACCAAGCACAUCAACAGACGCUUCAAUUCCAUCCAGGAUCUAGUCCAGGUGGGAGACAUAGAGAUUUGCAAGAUACAUACGGAUCUGAAUGUUGCAGACCCGUUGACUAAGCCUCUUCCACGAGCAAAACAUGAUCAGCACCAAGGCUCCAUGGGUGUUAGAAUCAUCACAGUGUAAUCUAGAUUAUUGACUCUAGUGCAAGUGGGAGACUGAAGUAAAUAUGCCCUAGAGGCAAUAGUAAAGUUAUUAUUUAUUUCCUUAUAAUCAUGAUAAAUGUUUAUUAUUCAUGCUAGAAUUGUAUUAACCGGAAACAUAAUACAUGUGUGAAUACAUAGACAAACAAAGUGUCACUAGUAUGCCUCUACUUGACUAGCUCGUUAAUCAAAGAUGGUUAUGUUUCCUAACCAUGAACAAUGAGUUGUUAUUUGAUUAACGAGGUCACAUCAUUAGUUGAAUGAUCUGAUUGACAUGACCCGUUCCAUUAGCUUAGCACCCGAUCGUUUAGUAAGUUGCUAUUGCUUUCUUCAAGACUUAUACAUGUUCCUAUAACUAUGAGAUUAUGCAACUCCCGUUUGCCGGAGGAACACUUUGGAUGCUACCAAACGUCACAACGUAACUGGGUGAUUAUAAAGGAGCAUUACAGGUGUCUCCAAAGGUAGAUGUUGGGUUGGCGUAUUUCGAGAUUAGGGUUUGUCACUCCGAUUGUCGGAGAGGUAUCUCUGGGCCCUCUCGGUAAUGCACAUCACAUAAGCCUUGCAAGCAUUGCAAUUAAUGAGUUAGUUGUGAGAUGAUAUAUUACAGAACGAGUAAAGAGACUUGCCGGUAACGAGAUUGAACUAGGUAUUGGAUACCGACGAUCGAAUCUCGGGCAAGUAACAUACCGAUGACAAAGGGAACAACGUAUGUUGUUAUGCGGUCUGACCGAUAAAGAUCUUCGUAGAAUAUGUAGGAGCCAAUAUGGUCAUCCAGGUCUGGCUAUUGGUUAUUGACCGGAGACGUGUCUCAGUCAUGUCUACAUUGUUCUCGAACCCGUAGGGUCCGCACGCUUAAGGUUACGAUGACAGUUAUAUUAUGAGUUUAUGCAUUUUGAUGUACCGAAGGUUGUUCGGAGUCCCGGAUGUGAUCACGGACAUGAUGAGGAGUCUCGAAAUGGUCGAGACGUAAAGAUUGAUAUAUUGGAAGCCUAUGUUUGGAUAUCGGAAGUGUUCCGGGUGAAAUCGGGAUUUUACCGGAGUACCGGGAGGUUACCGGAACCCCCCNNNNNNNNNNNNNNNNNNNNNNNNNNNNNNNNNNNNNNNNNNNNNNNNNNNNNNNNNNNNNNNNNNNNNNNNNNNNNNNNNNNNNNNNNNNNNNNNNNNNNNNNNNNNNNNNNNNNNNNNNNNNNNNNNNNNNNNNNNNNNNNNNNNNNNNNNNNNNNNNNNNNNNNNNNNNNNNNNNNNNNNNNNNNNNNNNNNNNNNNNNNNNNNNNNNNNNNNNNNNNNNNNNNNNNNNNNNNNNNNNNNNNNNNNNNNNNNNNNNNNNNAAGGAGAAAGGGGCAGCCCAAGGUGGCCGCGCGCCUCCCCCCUUCCCCUAGUCCUAUUAGGACUAGGAGAGGUGGCCGGCCCCCCUUCUCUCUCUUUCCCCCUCGGGGAAUCCUAGUCCAACUAGGAUUGGGGGGGAGUCCUACUCCCGGAAGGAGAAGGACUCCUCCUGCGCCCUCCUCCUGGCCGGCGCCCCCUCCCCCUUGGCUCCUUUAUAUACUAAGGCAGAGGCACCCCAGAAACACAUAAGUUGAUCCACGUGAUCUAUUCCUUAGCCGUGUGCGGUGCCCCCAGCCACCAUAUUUCUCGAUAAUACUGUAGCGGAGUUUAGGCGAAGCCCUGCUGCUGUAGUGCAUCAAGAUCGUCACCACGCCGUUGUGCUGACGGAAUUCUUCCCCAACACUUUGCUGGAUCGGAGUCUGGGGGUCGUCAUCGAGCUGAACGUGUGCUCGAACUCGGAGGUGCCGUAGUUUCGGUGCUUGAUCGGUUGGAUCGCGAAGACGUACGACUACUUCCUCUACGUUGUGUCAACGCUUCCGCAGUCGGUCUGCGUGGGUACGUAGACAGCACUCUCCCCUCUCAUUGCUAUGCAUCACCAUGAUCUUGCGUGUGCGUAGGAAAUUUUUUGAAAUUACUACGAAACCCAACAGCCACGAGGCAGGACGGCGCACCUAGGGGGUAGGCCCGCCCUCCACACUCGUGGGCCCCUUGCAGCUCCACUGACGUACUUCUUCCUCCUAUAUAUACCCAUAUACCGCGAAAACAUCCAGGAGCACCACGAAACCCUAUUUCCAUCGCCACAACCUUCUGUACCCGUGAGAUCCCAUCUUGGGGCCUUUUUCGACGCUCCGCCGGAGGGGGAAUUGAUCAUGGAGGGCUUCUACAUCAACACCAUAGCCUCUCCGAUGAUGUGUGAGUAGUUUACCACAGACCUUCGGGUCCAUAGUUAUUAGCUAGAUGGCUUCUUCUCUCUCUUUGGAUCUCAAUACAAAGUUCUCCUCGAUUCUCUUGGAGAUCUAUUCGAUGUAAUUUCUUUUUGCGGUGUGUUUGUCGAUAUCCGAUGAAUUGUGGGUUUAAUCAAGAUUAUCUAUGAACAAUAUUUGAUUCUUCUCUGAAUUCUUUUAUGCAUGAUUUAAAUAUCUUUGCAAGUCUCUUCGAAUUAUCAAUUUGGUUUGGCCUACUAGAUUGAUCUUUCUUGCAAUGGGAGAAGUGCUUAGCUUUGGGUUCAAUCUUGCGGUGUCCUUUCCCAGUGACAGCAGGGGCAGCAAGGCACGUAUUGUAUUAUUGACAUCGAGGAUAAAAAGAUGGGGUUUAUAUCAUAUUGCUUCAGUUUAUUCCUCUACAUCAUGUCGUCUUGCCUAAUGUGUUACUCUGUUCUUAUGAACUUAAUACUCUAGAUGCAUGCUGGAUAGCGGUCGAUGUGUGGAGUAGUAGUAGUAGAUGCAGAAUCGUUUAGGUCUACUUGUCGCGGACGUGAUGCCUAUAUACAUGAUCAUGCCUAGAUAUUCUCAUAAUUAUUCGAUUUUCUAUCAAUUGCUCGACAGUAAUUUGUUCACCCACCGUAGAAUUUGCUAUCUUGAGAGAAGCCACUAGUGAAACCUAUGGCCCCCGGGUCUAUCUUCCAUCAUAUCUAUUUUCUAUUUCUAUCAUAGUUUAUUUUUGCAAUCUUUACUUUCCAAUCUAUACCAUAAAAAAUACCAAAAAUAUUUAUCUUAUUAUCUCUACAGAUCUCACUUUGUAAGUGACCGUGAAGGGAUUGACAACCCCUUUAUCGCGUUCGUUGCAAGGUUCUUGUUUGUUUGUGCAGGUACUAGGCAAAUUUCGUGUUACCUCCUACAGGAUUGAUACCUUGAUUCUCAAAAACUGAGGGGGAAAUACUUACGCUAUUGUGCUGCAUCACCCUUUCCUCUUCAAGGGAAAACCAACGCUUGCUCAAGAGUUAGCAGAUGCCAAUUCAAAUAAUCAUCAAAAUAAUUCUCCUACACGCGUUAUUCAGAUGGAGAAGAAGCGGUUGGCGUGGACAUUUCGUUUCUUAUCGAUGUCCAAGAGAAAAGCUACUAGGAAGUUCGUCCGCGCGGUGGAUUAUAAGUUUAAGUCUGUUACAUGAUACGUCCAUUUUGUAUCAUGUUUUCUUACUAUUAUUUAUAAUGUUUUAUCCAUAAUAAUGCUUUUUGGAGUAAUUCUAAUGUCUUUUCUCUCAUAAUUUGCAGUGUACACACAAAGAGGGAGAAUUUCGGCAGCUGGAAAUCUUGACCUGGGAAAGCUACAUCAGGCUACCUAUUCUGCACAACUCCAAACAAGCUGAAACUUGACAAUGAUUUUUUAUGGAAUAUAUAAGAAAUACUGGAGGAAAUAACUACCAUAGGGGGCCCAUCAGGUGGGCACAACCCACCUGGGCACGCUAGGGAGCCCAGGCAUGCCCUGGUGGGUUGUGCUCACCCAGGCCCACCUCUGGUGCCCAUCUUCUGGUAUAUAAGUCAUUUUAACCUAGAAAAAAUAAGGAUAAGGCUUUUGGGACGGAGCGCUGCCGUCUCGAGGCGGAACUUGGGCAGGAGCACUUUUGCCCUCCGGCGGAGCGAUUCCGCCNNNNNNNNNNNNNNNNNNNNNNNNNNNNNNNNNNNNNNNNNNNNNNNNNNNNNNNNNNNNNNNNNNNNNNNNNNNNNNNNNNNNNNNNNNNNNNNNNNNNNNNNNNNNNNNNNNNNNNNNNNNNNNNNNNNNNNNNNNNNNNNCAUCGUCCUCAUCAUCACCAACAACUCUCCCAUCUUGGGGAGGGUUAUCUCCAUCAACAUCUUCAACAACACCAUCUCAUCUCAAACCCUAGUUCAUCUCUUGUGUUCAAUCUUGUUACCGGAACUAUAGAUUGGUGCUUGUGGGUGACUGGUAGUGUUGAUUACAUCUUGUAGUUGAUUACUAUAUGGUUUAUUUGGUGGAAGAUUAUAUGUUCAGAUCCAUUAUGCUAUUUAAUACUCCUCUGAGCAUGAGCAUGUUUAUCAUUUGUGAGUAGUUACUUUCGUUCUUGAGGUUACGGGAGAAAUCAUGUUCCAAGUAAUCCUGUGAACUUCAUAUGUGUUCGAUAUUUUGAUAUUAUGUAUGUUGUGAUUCCCUUAGUGGUGCCAUAUUUGAACGUCGACUACAUGACACUUCACCAUAUUUGGGCCUAAGCGAAUGCAUUGUGGAGUAGCAAUUAGAUGAUGGGUUGCUAGAGUGACAGAAACUUAAAUCCCAGUUUAUGCGCUAUUCCGUAAGGGACCGAUUGGAUCCAAAAGUUUAAUGCUAUGGCUAGAAUUUAUUCAUAAUACUUUUCUCAUAGUUGCGGAUGCUUGCGGGAGGGUUAAUCAUAAGUAGGAGGUUUGUUCAAGUAAGAACAUCACCUAAGCACCGGUCCACCCACAUAUCAAAUUAUCAAAGUAGCGAACACAAAUCGAACCAACAUGACAAAAGUGACUAGAUGAAAAUCCCGUGUAGCCUCAAGAACGCUUUGCUUAUCAUAAGAGACCGUUUUGGCCUGUCCUUUUGCCUCAAAAGGAUUGGGAUACCUUGCUGCACUUUUGUCACUACUAUUGUUACUUGUUACAAAUUAUCUUGCUAUCAAACUACUUUGCUACUUACAAUUUCAGCACUUGCAAACAUUACCUUACUGAAAACUACUUGUCAUUUCCUUCUGCUCCUUGUUGGGUUUGACACUCUUACUUAUCGAAAAGAGCUAUAAUUGAUCCCCUAUACUUGUGGGUCAUCAUUACAACAUCCAAUCAUCCAUAUAAUCUCUGUGUUUCUUCUGUUUUCUACCAGUCAUAUUUCAUAUGUGCAUCAGAGGAAAAAUGCUUUCAGCGGGCAUGUUGGAGUGCACAUACCAAGUUCCCAGAUUGCAAAUAUGAUCCUGGGCUCCUAGCCAUUAAUAUGUUUAAUUCCACAUUUUCUUCAUCUAAUUUCUAAAUGACUAGACAACCUGUUAUACUCUUAUAGAAUUAUGAGCCGCCCAAACCAUGUUUCUCUUGGUCUAAUUUCUAAAUGAUAAUGUGCAACAUCUAUCUCCUUGUGAACCUUUUUUUUCUUCCGACUGUAUCCCCUGGUGAACCUAUCUUACGAUAAGAUUUUUUAGGGCAUUUUUUGAUGAUUUUUUCCUAUAGCCCUUAAAUAAAAUCAAAUAAAAUCAAGUGCAACUCACAGUAAGUUUUCUGCUCCUAGCUAGUUGUAAAGAACAAGUUCAAUUCAGUCUGAUUUAGUUCUUGACAUGACCGUGCUGCCAGCAACUCCUUUUCUCUAGCUAGCACAAUAAUUGUACUUGUUUGAUGUAAAGGACAUAAAUACAAAGAAAUAAAUUGGAAGCUUAUUUCAAAUUAACUAGCUAGUGGUGUUUGUGAAGUUCAAGAAAAAUCUAGUCUUUUUCUCGACAAAUAAGUUGACAUGCAAGGAAUCAAUGAAUGUAUUUGCAAGAAAGCAAACAUAAUUAUCGAUAAAAUUGGUUGUGAUUGUCACUAUAGACAAUGGUAGUAGCUAAUUGGAACUAGAUACAAACCAAUAAAAAACAAGAUCUCAAAUCUCCAACCAAUAAAGAGUUCAACCCAAAUUUUACAAUUACACUAUUAUAUUUAAAUAGUGAUUAUUGUAAUACAUGGCUAAUUAAUUAAUGCACUAGGUUGCGCUUGUGACCAGGCAAGACAAACUUAUGAACUUGCAUGCAUGGCAAUCAGAUCGACAUCCACACAAUGCCGAUAUGAACAUUUUCUUAAUACACCUUUAUUUGUAUUUUAUUUCAGAAUUUAAACAACUAGUUUGAGCGGGUCACACAUGACGUUGUGUGACACUUUAUUUGUCACCGCUACAUUGACAUAUCCAUCGACUAAACAACGGUGAUCCAACUAUAUAUUACUAGAGAUCUUUUCUUAUCAGUAGACACCAACUCCGAUGCCAACGCCUAAUGGCACACUAGUGGUGGUUUCGUACAACGGCACAUUGACACUGCACAUUGUUGGCAGGGUACGGAGUGCAAUGGAAGUCAUCACCUCAAGCUGAGCUAUCUGGUGUGGCUGCAAAAAGGUACCAUGUGCCAAUUGUUGUUGUUGAGGUUGUUGCCCGAGUUGCUGCUGCAACUGCUGUUGGGGUUGGGAGACACAUUGGCCCAACUGUUGGGGUUGUUGUUGCUGAUAUUGGAUGAUACUCUGACCCUGUUGUUGUUGUUGUUGUUGCUGCUGCUGCUGCUGCAGGAUGAUAGAGUAGAUGAUAGCACGGAUUGACUCAUGGCGGGAUUGCUCGGGGAUUUGCCGCAACUGCUGGCAACAUUGUUGCUGCAUCACAUGGCAAAUGCUCUGCUGCAACAUUUGUGACCUAGCAAGACAUCGCUGCAUUGCCACAGGGAUGCACUGCUGCUGGAGGAAUACCUUGCAUGGGUUUAGCUGCUGCAAAACAGAUGGAUGAAUAACUGGUAUUUGUUGUUGCUGUGAAAAUGGUGGUUGUUGUUGCUGCGAAAAUGGUGGUUGUUGCUGCUGUGAAAUUGGUGGCUGUUGUGAAAAUGGUGGUUGUUGUUGCUGUGUAAAUGGUUGUUGUUGUUGUUGUUGCUGCUGCUGCUGCUGUGAAAUUGGUGGCUGUUGUGAAAACGAUGGUUGUUGUUGCUGUGUAAAUGGUGGUUGUUGUUGUUGCUGCAAAAAUGGUGGUUGUUGUUGCUGCGAAAAUGGUNNNNNNNNNNNNNNNNNNNNNNNNNNNNNNNNNNNNNNNNNNNNNNNNNNNNNNNNNNNNNNNNNNNNNNNNNNNNNNNNNNNNNNNNNNNNNNNNNNNNNNNNNNNNNNNNNNNNNNNNNNNNNNNNNNNNNNNNNNNNNNNNNNNNNNNNNNNNNNNNNNNNNNNNNNNNNNNNNNNNNNNNNNNNNNNNNNNNNNNNNNNNNNNNNNNNNNNNNNNNNNNNNNNNNNNNNNNNNNNNNNNNNNNNNNNNNNNNNNNNNNNNNNNNNNNNNNNNNNNNNNNNNNNNNNNNNNNNNNNNNNNNNNNNNNNNNNNNNNNNNNNNNNNNNNNNNAAUUGUGGUUGUUGUUGCUGUGAAAAUGGUGGUUGUUGCUGCUGUGAAAUUGGUGGCUGUUGUGAAAACGGUGGUUGUUGUUGCUGCAAAAAUGGUGGUUGUUGUUGUUGUUGCGAAAAUGGUGAUUGCUGUUGCUGCGAAAAUGGUGGUUGUUGUUGCUGUGAAAAUGGUGGUUGUUGUUGUUGCUGUGAAAUUUGCGCAACGGCACUUGCCGCCGCAAGAGCGAGGAGGGCAAAGACGAGGAAGGUCUUCAUUGUGGAUUGGUGUUAACUAGUGUUGUUUGGCUUUGAUGCUUGUGCUUGUGAUGAUCUUUAUACUUCAUGCCUAUUUAUAGUUGCCGGGACACCACCUCUUUUCCUUCUUUGCACCGGCUUUAAUAAUUCUGUUUGGAUGCAUCUGAAAUGAAUUUUUUGGUACAUUGUGUUGGGUUGCACUAGCUACAAAAGCGUACUUUUGGAUUCAUCAUCAAAGUUGCCUUUUAGUUGUGCAUAUGAUCAUACACAAAGUACAGAAACCUCGAUGUUUGGUACAUAUGACUCACCUUAUUAACUUUACAUGUCACGCACUUAUCAGGAUAGUAUCACUUUUGCAACCGAGUUUGGAACCUUGUAUAGGCUGUCAGCCGUAAACAAGAAAGGCAAAGUUUGUGUAGGACUAAGUUUGCAAUCGUGUGUGGGCUGUUAAGAUAUGCUCGAUUAUUGAAGUCUUGCGUGUGGAGGGUUCUUCUAGACUCGGUUGCUUUUUAUAAAACUAACUUUGUAUUUUCCUCUAAGAUGAUAAGAUGAACUGACGCCUACAGAGCAUGACAUGACUCAUCAAAUGCCCUUUACAUGUAAAUGAUGGUAGUUGCUUACAAGCUACUCCCACUAGCAUAUAUCCGGUCCUAACUCUAGACACGUCAUCAUUAGUUCCAUCUUCUGAUUUUUUGAGAUAAAUCAUCAGUUCCAUCUGUAUGUGAAGGAAUUUUUUUUGGGUGAAGGGAAAUGAUAGGUGGGGCUGGAACAGAGGCCCACAGCCUCGAGCGAGUUAUUAGGCCCAAUAUAAGAGUUGUGUGUUAGGCCACCAAAUUAGAAUUGGGCUAUAGUUUUCGGAGGCCUCAACGUCACAAGCCUAGCCCACACUCGGCCGAUCUGCAUCGUCUUCAUCUCCCCCUCCCCGUCCUCCUCGCCGGCCGGACCACUCGCCGGCGCAGCCUCUCCCGCACCCCGCCGCCCGCGGCUGCUCCACGUACGUGCGCGGCGGCGGAGGCGUCAGCAGCCUCCCUUCCAUGCUCAGCAUCUGAAGAAAGUCCGUCUUCGGUGCCGCGAUAUCCAAGUUAGUUAUAGCAUCCAGUCAUCUGUAUAAUCUCAGUAUUUAUUCUGUUUUGUACUGUCGUAUUUCAUAUGUUCGUCAGAGGAGAUGUGCUUUCUAGAGGCAUGUUGCAGCUGGCCGAGUCCGAGAUCUCAUUUCAUUUAUAUGGCCAUAGGCAGCGAUCAAUAAAAGGGCACUGGAAUUUAUCUUCCAACGCCACUGUUGUUCUAGCUCUCUGUCUUUACUUUUGCUGCUUCUGUUGUAUGGCUACAAAGUUAGGCUUCAUCUGAUUUUAGUUAGUUAAUCUGAUCUUGUUAACCUGAUAAAGAGAAUUCCACCCUGCCCUUUAUUCUGCUUCUGCUUUUCACUGUCUCACAAUAACGCAACAUAUUAAGCUCACCAAAUUGUAUCCCUCAAAAAUAAAAAUGCUCGCCAAUUUGUAUCACAUUCUCAUACAUGUAUUUCAUCGCGGAAUCACAGGAGAUUGUCAAGUUGUGUUUUACCAUAUCAGUGUAUCAUUUGCUCAUAUGAGCAAGAGAUGGUCACCUGCCAGCUUAUUUUGUUCAUAUCUGAGAUCGAUCAUGCCUCCAUUGUAUGGUUAAGAAGUUAGGUUUCAUCCGAUUUUAGUUUGUUAAGCUGAUCUCGUUAAACUAAUAAUAAGAACUCCAUACAGUCGUUUAUUCUGAUCUUCAUUGCCUCACAAUAAUAAGAGAACCUAUUAAGCUCGUCGAAAUUGUAUCUCAUACUCAUACACAUAUCUUUGAUCAUCGAAUAACAUAAAUUAUCAUAUCAGUGCAAAAGUAUAUAUCAUUUGUCCAUAAUCCAUAUGCACAAGAGAUAAUUAUCUGCCAGGCAAUUAUUCUUAUCUUUGAGAUCCGAUCCUGUACUCAAUGCUAAUUAGAGGUGUCAUUAAGACAAGAAAAUAACCACUAGCCCCCGGGUCUUCUCUCGUUAGCAGAAAGCAUGUGAUGCAUUCAAGUUUCAGUGAAUUCACGAAAACCAAUAUUGUGGUCUGCUCUCACCCUUGAGUUGAGGUAAUUGUUUAAUUUGCAUUCUUGCGACUUCUUGUAUUUGGAAAGAAAAUUCAUACUAUUUUCCGACUUGCCAAUGCAUCGUCACUUCUGAAAACCAAUAUUGUGGUCCUCCUUGUAAAUGCAUAUAAGGUACUUGAGAUGGAUUGCAUUCUGUAAGUGCACUGUAUGUGUGCUGUCACCCAACAAUGGAGGUAAUUGUUAAGUUUGCAUUCCUGCAACUUCUUGUAUAUAUCUGGAAAGAAACUUCUUACUAUUUGCUGAGUUCACAUCCAAUGUAUCUUUGCUUUUUUUUCUUUUUCUUUUUGCAACACAAUGUAUCUUCACUUUUGAAAAACUGCAUUGGAUGUACCGACAUAAAUAUAUAAUAUAAUGAUGAUCUAAUGGCAAAUUAUAUGGCCAUAGGCAGUGAUGAUCAAUAAGAGGGCACAUGAAUUUAUCUUCUAACGUAUGCAUCACUAUUUGUUUAGCUCUCUGUCUUUAUUUUUCCGCCGGCAUUGUAUAGUUAAAAGUUAGGUUUCAUCUGGUUUAGUUAGUUAGGGGGAUCUUGUUGUGCUCUCUAUCUUUAUUUUUGUGGCCUCCGUUGUAUGGUUAAAAAGUUAGGUUUCAUCUGGUUUUAGUUAGUUAUAAGCGAAUCUCUUUAAGCUCUCUAUCUUUAUUUUUGCUGCCCCCGUUAUAUGGUUAAAAAGUUAGGUUUCAUCUGAUUUUAGUAAGUUAAGCAGAUCUCGUUAAGCUCUCUAUCUUUAUUUUUGCUGCCUCAUUGUAUGGUUAAAAAGUUGGGUUUCAUCUGAUUUUAGUUGGUUAUAAGCGGAUCUCGUUAAGGUGGUAAGAAGAACUCCAUAUUGUCCCGCCUCACAAUAACAGAACCUAUUAACCUCGUCAAAAUUGUAUCUCAUACUCAUACAUAUCAUUCAUUUUCGAAUAACAUGAAUUAUCAUAUCAGUACAUAUAUCAUCUGUCCAUAUGCACAAGAGAUAAUCAUCUGCCAGCUGAUUAUUCUUAUCGUUGAGAGCCGAUCCUGUCCCUUCAAUGUUAAUUAGAGGUGUCAUUAUAAAAGACAAGAAAAUAACCACUUGCCCCUGGGUCUUCUCUCGUCAGCAGAAACUUGCCCCCGGUGCUAGGGUUGAGGGACCCCUGGCGUCGCCCAGGGGGAGGCGGCGCGAGGGGAGGUGAGCUAGUUGCUCGUGCGCGGCCGCUGAUUUGCUGCAGGUUUUGUGAUAUUUGGACGUUCGAUGUACAUUGAGAUAUUGGAUUAACUUUGUUAUGCCUAUGAGAUUUGUACAUUGAGAUAUUGGAGGAACUACCACACAUUUGCAAAGCAGCCAUGGCUACUAGGAUCAUGGUUUUGCUUCUUCUCAUGCUCCUCUCAUUCUCAGAGUCCACCACCCCUUACCAGGUGUUAGAUUUCAACACGGCAACCCAGAGUACCGAGGAGCUUCACCAAGCUAUGGAGCGGGCGUUUUGGCUCCUCUCCUUCCGGCGGUUCAUCAGGCGAAGUGCAUAGGAAGGCCAAAUUUGUUGUUGCUGCAUGCUUCUGUGCUGAAGUGGACACGAAGCUAUGGAGCGGAAGCUGAUGUGCUGAAGCAUUCUCUCGUCGUCUUGUUGACUGCACUGGCAGACGGCCUGCAAGCUCGCUGCAUCCCGGACGCGAAGGCCCAAGAUGUUGCUGUUGUGCUCUUCCACGACGCGGGCGAGGAGGAGGUACCCCGGCAUCAUCCACCGCAGGCUCCCGUACUGCAUGAUGGAGCAAUUGGGCACUGACAUCUCUAUUUGUCGAGGCAUAUAGUGCAAUCUUAUAUUACCCUAAAGCUUCCAUGUAUCUGCCGUUCGUCGGAGGGAGGAUUCAUGGCAUAUGUUAUCGUCCUGGUUAAUGUGGUCAUCUGUUAUCCAACCUUAAUCCUUACUAGAACCGAGAAUUACAUAGGUAAUGUGGGGCAUUGGUGGCCAUUACAUAUGUAAUAGCUUAAAUCGAUUGAGAGAGAAGUUUACUUGCGUUUAUACUUAUAGUAGUUCAUAUGAACAAUCCAUAAUACUUACUAAAAAGUACGAGGGUAACGCAAGAAUGAGAUCAGAUCUCAACAGGGAAAUGAAAUUAGCUCCUAAUCAGCCAAAUAGUGGAUGUCAACCAAUUUUUUUACUAACACGCAACUAAUGACAUACUCUACUGUAUAUCCAAAUAUGCCAUAUCAGACAUCGGAAAAAUGAUUUUAUUAUAUCUAUAAAAAUAAUGAAUAAUAGUUUCUUUUUGCGAAAAUGAUCUAACCAAUUAUAAAAGUACAUUGGAACUAUAAAGUAUCUCCAACACAAUAAAAAUUAAAUCGAGAUUCCGAAACCACUGAAUGACCAAAACUACCGCCAAAUUGAGCACACGCUGCUAUCGCCACUCACCUACCGGAGCAGACUUGACAUUGUCGAUGAAAGCUGGGAUGUCUUCAUGCACGUGCUGCUAAGGACCAGCGCACUGGAGCCGCAGUCGUUGCCAUGAAACCCUUGAAUAAAUCUGAGCUUGGUAGGAAAAUUAGUGACCCACUGAAAACGACAGCUCCAUUUUACUCGGCAUAGGUGAAGGCACAACAAACCGCAUCAACAGGUACAAAACAAAGGAUGUCCAUGGGGUGCCAUCCGGACCGCGCCACCGGCUCAUAGCUACAUCAAUGCCCCUGUCAAUGUGCCGAAACCAGCGGAGGCACGGAUCCUCCGAUGAGGAGAUGGUCAGGGCGAUGUGGCUGGGAUCUAGCCGGGGACGUGGGGCUAGGAGGCGGCUCACGGGGCAUCGUGUACUUUUGAGCCCUCAUCACAUGGCUCAGUUAGGCCAGUGAAAUCUCCUGAAUAGCGAGGGCUACCCUGCCUCCCCUUUGUGUACUUCAUCUCCUGUUCCGUGUCCCAAAGGGCCGACUAUACACUACUAGGGAAAAGCCUAGUAGUAGCGAGGGUUAAAUAGCUAGUAGUAGCACGGGCGCUCGCGCUACUACUACGGCGCUAUAGCUAACUUAUAGUAGUAGCGUGGAUGUGCCCGUGCUACUACUACGUCUGUUAGUAGUAGCGUGGGUACCACCCACACUACUACUAUUAAUUUCAAAAACAAAAAGAAUCUCGAUGUCGUGCGUGCUGUCAAUUAAUGGCAGCAAUGGUUCGAUCCAGCGACGACAGGGGUCGGCGGAGCUGCAGAAGGGCAGUGGUAGAACAGAUCCGGCACCGACUGCUGUAGAGGGCCCGGAUCCAUGGCCGAGCAAGGCAGCGGCAUGGGGCUCCUCUUUGCAACCAAGGCAGCAAGCUCCUGGUGGUCCAUGGUGAUGACCUGCACGGGCAAGGACAUGGGAUGGUGAGUCAAACCAGAGCGAGAGAGAAAAAGAAAAACGAGGGAGACAGGAAGGAGAUGGAGGUACCAGCAGGGUUGGUCGCCGUUGGUGAGGUGCUCCGGCGUGGUGGCAUGGAGAUGCGGGGAAUACCUGCGAGCUCCGGGAAGCCGGUGGCACGAGGUGGCCAGCCUCUUUUGACGCCAUGGAGGAGGAGGCGCGCAUGCAUAGGAGGUCCAUGUGAGAGCCUAUGGAGAGACGGGGGGAGAGGAAGGAUUUGGGGAGGAGAUGGGGAUUUCAGAGCUCUUCAAAAACCAUGUAGUUAGUAGCAGCGUGGGUUUAUAGCCCUCGCUACUACUAUCAACUUAGUAGUAGUGCGUGUCUAUACCCCUCGCUACUACUAUGGCAUGUCCCGGGAGGGGUAAAAACCUGCGCUAGGGUAAAAACCCGCGCUACUAGUAAGUAGUAGUAGUGAGGGGUAUAAACCCGCGCUAGUAGUAAGCGUUUGCCUAGCCUUUCCCUAGUAGUGAUACUGCGGUUUUGGCAAGAUUUCAAUCAGCCCUAAUGUGGUGUUUCCCAUCCAAUUUAGGUGUUAUUGAGUUUUAUGUGUUUUUAAAAAGAACUAGCCCUAUCCAGGUUCGUGGGUUGAUGACUGGUUAUUUUAAUUUGACUUCCCUUCAACCAAACACGACAUUUCUCUGCUUUUUUGGCAGGAGAUCAGAAACUAAACAUGAUUCUCUCCCAGCAAAAGAAGAAAAAACUAAACAUGAUCUAGAUUAUGUACAAUUACAAUAUCUUAUGUCGAUACACCUAUUUAGCAUUUGUGUGUCUAUUGUAAGAACUGAAUGGGUCAUUAAUAUAUUGAAUUGGGUCUACUCUUCGUCAUGCAGUUUUCGUUGCCCAACUACAAAGCAAUUCAUGCUAAUUUUUCUAUUAAACCAUAUGGUCACUUGUAUGCAAGUAGCCCUACUAUUUCACACAAUUUUGUUGUCUACUCACAUGAUAAACAAAUGAUAACGGCUCCUGAAUGCAUGCUUAACAGUUCACGCCUAUUACGUGCUUACCUGAAUGGAAAACGAUCUUAACAAAGACUGCAGUAUAUAUAAGUCAGGCCUAUAUAUAUGUACUCAAUCACCUGAACUGCCUUAGCUAGGAUGCAAAAGUGAGUGUUAUAUGAGAGGUUUCGAAUUUAUUUUAUGCUCUAUUCCGUUUCUAUCAAUCUGCUUGAAAUAUUGGAGGAAAACAAAAAAAAAACCUAUUUAGCUGCCAUAAUCGCGUGCUGGACCAUGAACAACACGUUUAUGACCCGCCUGCGUGGUUAUCAAAAUAUCUAUUAGUUUGCGUCCUUCCUUGCGGAGACAUUUAUGUUUGGAGAGGAGCAACCAUUUGAAUAUCAGUCUAACAGCUUGCGGUGGAAGCCUCGUUCAGGUUGUCCAACUGUUUCUCAUUAUAUCCCCGAUACGAUUGAUUCUUGGGCCCUCGCAAACCAUUACUGUGAGGUCACGCUUGGCAUUCCUUUCUUUUUCUCUAUUAGCCUCGAUGCGCGGCAUGCGCGAGUACUCCACAAGGACCUUUGCUGCUUCCAAUGCCACUUCCUCCGCGAGUACUCCCUAUUGAUUCUUGGGCUCCGCAAGUACUCUGCAAAGACCCCGAUCGUGUGGCACGAAGCAAAUGUGCCCACACGUCCUGGCCCAGCUACGUUAGUUACCCGCGGGAUGACUCUUUAGUUACCUCGGGGGAUGGCAACUUUAGUUAUCCGGGAUGGCAAAUAUAGUUGUAAAAGCAUGUCAACUCUCUCUGUUUUGGUUAACUAUAGUUGCCAUGUCUAAUUUAUGGUAGUUGCCGCGUGUAAUCAAACCAUAGUUGCCGUGUGUGAUAAACUACUUGCCACAUGUGGUCAAACAAUAGUUUCCAUGUGUGUUUACAUAAUUGCCACAUGUGGUCCAACCAUAGUUGACAUGUAUGGCUAAUCAUAGGUGCCAUGUGUGUUUACAUGGUUGCCACGUACGCACAACUGCAGUUGCCAUCUACAAACGAAUCAUAGUUGCCAUGUGUGUUUACCUAGUUGCCACAUACGUGCAAUUGUAGUUAUCAUCUAUCACUGUACGAGCGUCGUGUGGGUGAAGAGCAGUUCACCCACACACGAGUGGACUGGGUGGUGACUGUGUGCACGGGAACUAGUUCGCCCACACGACGCAGCUGGCAACCGCGCGCUGUGGGUCGUGUGGGCGAGCGCUCUAACGCCCACACAACACGCUAGGCCUACUGGCACUGAAAUUCCAAUAGAUUCCUUUAAGAUUCAUGCAAAACAUAACAGAGGGAGACCAACGCGUGUGGGCGAAGUGCAGACCUGCCACACGUGUGGGCGUUAUCAUUUUUCUUGUUGUUUUGAAUCGGAUAUCUAUGCAACUGUAAAUUUGACCCAAAUUAUAUGGACUGCUGCAAUCUGUCGUGGACUUGUGGUUCACCCCUGUUUGGCGACUCUUAUGGUGCACUCUGGUUAGUUUCUUGGUCAUCGCUUUGUAUUUGUUGCCCAGAUGAAAUUUGAGUUUUCAACCCACUCCAGUUUACAAUUGUAAUUAUGUGUAAUAAGUAUUUGUUUUCUUAUUUAUUUUCAUGGUAAACUCGAUUGGUCUCAUUUUCACCGUCUUAGAAGAGAUAAGUUUUAGGUGCCACAAAAAAAUAUACUCAGAUCCUUCCAUUUUUGCAUUUACUCGGUGUUGACACUCAAAAGUGGCAUAAACAUAAAUGUGGCUCAAAAGAGUGCUUAGCGUGUUGAAAGUUGCUGCUCGGGGUACUGAUCGGCCGGUUACACACCCAAGACCACCAGAGAAGGAGAAGUGUUCUCCAUGAAAAAUCUUCAUCUCGUCAAGGCAAAUGAUUUUGAUAUUUGAAUCACCUCAAUCCAAUGUCGUGUUCAAAUUUACAGCCAAAGCAGUGCAUCCCUGCCACUAAUAAAAAGUUUCAGCCGGCACCAAACACCCAUAUAGCAAUGUCGACAGAUUUGGAAGCCUGACUGUCCAGCAAAAGUACACUAUCUCUAGUAGAGGAGUGGAUGUUGAUACAAGGCAUGUCGUCUGUUUCAGUUGGUCGUCCGGUUUGCACGGCUUAAGAUGGUUAAGCAGCAGCAACAGCAGCAGGUGAGGCUUUCAUGUUGGAGGAGGUGCACAUGUUGAAAAUGUGAUGGUCCUAUGAGAAACGGGUGACGACAGACAUUGGCAGUGCUCCUGGUGCUGAAAAUUGUAUGUCUGCCUGUGGAGGAAUUUCAGUUUCAGAUUCGGUGGUUUGAAACAGAUUUUGAUUGCUUCGAAUAAUGUACUAGGUUUUCAUCUUCAGAUUGUAAUCAAUCAGCUUGGUUGAACUUUGACCUCUAUCUUGUUUAGAUACUUGUAAUGUGAAUUUAUUAUCAGCUUCAACAUUUCCAAGGUUUUGGAGAAGCUAGGAUACUCAAGUUUGUGAGCAUUUAUGUCUAAUUUUAGUUUUGUUACUUAGUUGAGACAUUGUCCCGUGCAGAUGCUUGUUAGACCGUAAAAUUGACUUCCUGGAGUAAUAUUGACAGCUGAGAUGGGAGCCGCUGGUCUCAGACUCCUUGUUGGGGAGCAAGUUGCAAAAGUAGAUAACAGAGUAAUAAAAAGAGCUUACUGAUCACUAACAUGUGCUCUGCUUGUACCAUUGUUAUGUUUAGGAGAUGGAGGCCACGGAAGGAAAGCUUGUUUUUGGCGUGACAGGUAGAGAGGUUUGGCUGGUGAGGUGACGAAGAAACUGAAGAUUUAGAACAAUUAGUAGCUAUGUAUGUGGCGAUGUUAGGAUUUGGUGCGAUGUCAGUUUGGUAUUAGGUCCGGAUAUUCGGCACACCUUUUUCAAGGGGAUAGGAGUAGCAACAUGUGUUGUCUAGAUGGUGGAUUCAGGCUGACUGACGUAUUACUUUGUAUGUUCUUUGAGAAUAAUUAAUAAUAUGGCUGCAUGCAUCCUCCAGAUGCAGAGGCUGGGGUUUAUCCUCCUUAAAAAAAAUGUAUGUGGUCGUCUGGGAAUUUUUUGCUGUUCUAUUAUGGAUUUGAUUUCAAUAGAGAUAUCUUUCAUGAGCUCGUUUAGCAAGGAAUCGUGUUUUGUUUCAGUCUGUAAGCGCUCCAUAUAUACUUCUUGCAAAACCAUGCUUCCCUGCAGGUACAGGGUCCACAUGGCGACCCUAUGAUGGACCUGUCCUCAAGUACGUACGGUGAGUAACGAAUCAAAACUCUCAACACAUUUAGUACUUUGCUGAUCUCAUGUUAUUAUGCAUCUGACUCGAGAGGCUAUUUAUUGUCAGAGGCCUUGACGAACAAUGUGAAUGAUAGUAUGAUACCCAUGGAUGGAUCUCAGGAACUUGGCGGCAGAUUUGGAAGCUCGACUGUUCAGGCAGACUGUUUCAGGUGGUCGUUUGGUUUGCACAGUGUAAGAUGGUUAAGUAGCAGCAGCAGGUGUGGCUUUCAUGUUGAACGCGAUGGCCCUAUGAGAAACGGGCGAAGGCAGACAUUUACAGUGCUCUCGUUCUAAAAACUGUAUGUUUGUCUAUGGAGGAAUUUCAGUUUCAGAUUCAACUGCACCGAACAGAAUUGUCCUUCAUCUAUACUCAGAUAUGUGAGCUAUCUUUAAUGUAUCUAGUAUUGGUAUUGUUAUUUGGUUGAGAAGAAAUCGGCCUUUAACUUGUUCAAGAAACUUUUUCAACUGUAAUUUUUAUCUGUUUCAGUGCAGAUAGUAGGCCUAUAAUGCUGGGUUACUGUGGAGUUGUUGGCGGGGUAUAUUCAUCCAUUUUGCAAUAUGAACUAGGUUUGGACUUGUUGAGAAGCUUUCCAGCAUUCUCUAGAUUGGAGCCUGCUGAAGAAUGUGAGUCUGCUAGCUAGGGGAAUAAUUGCUUCUAAAACUGUACUGAACCUGCAGUUGCUCUAGAUCGAGAAUUGUUAGGGCCUGCGGCGUAGGGUGAGAACCCGGCGUCGAGUCGAGUCGAGCAUAGCUGCUGAGUCACAUCAUUUAGAUUUGGUUGGCUGCUGGUCAUUUGGGUGGGUGUCUACAACAACAGGCAGGGGUCGGCAGUUCAGUGUCAUGGCCGCUUAUGCCCAGUAGUGCUCUCUAGAUAUCCGAUUAACUUCCACCAUAUUUCCUCUCAAGAUCAUUUUUUUCUUCCCAACCUACUGAUAAUAUGUUCAAAUUUCAGUAGCCACGGGGCGGUUGGGUUUGGAAUGUACUCUAAAAAUAUAGAGUUGCGCUCUUGUAUUACAAAUGUAGAAAACGAAUGGAGUACAAAGUUGAAACACUUAUCUUGAAAAGGACUCAGUACAUAUUUACGUAGCCAGAGAUCGAUUUUUGAGAAACCCAUUUCUUGGUGAUGUUUUCUGCGCAAUUUUUUUUUCAGAUUUGUGCUUUUUUUUUACUUUCUCAUAGUUUUUGUUUGCAAUUUUUUAUUAUGGCGUUUCUGCAAGUUCUAUCGACAGGAUGGUGGGUAAGAGCAAGGGGGAAAAGGCUGCAGCAACCGCAAAAGAAGACGAUGUUAUAUCCAGGAAGCGCCGACAAACUGUUCCCAAGAAAUUCGAAUCCCCCUUUGCAUUUGACAAGCCCAGCAAGCGAACGCACGUGGUACUAAGCCAUCCGGCAACACUACCGCAACUAGAGGUACCGUUACUAGCUAACUUAGUGCUUAAUUUACUACCAUUUUAUGUACUCACCGUUCUUGACGUUCGUAAUUUAUCAUGCAGCUCUGUUUAGUGACCAUGACGUGGAAGGCUCUGUUAAGGACGAUUUGACACCGGAACUCAUCGAUGCUGCUGUUACAUUUGUGGAGGCAGCUGCUUGGUCUGAGAAGAAUAUGACAAAAAGAGUUUACUACAAUGAACGUGGCACCUCUGUGAUUGUGGAGAGUAUACGACCGGUACUUGACCAUACAUGGCCAGCGGAUGACGUAAGAUCUAUUACCAUGUUCUGCUAUUUAAGUGCAUAAUCUAGGUGUCACGUAUGAACAUAAAAUGUUCUAUUAUUUUACGCAGAUUAUCGAUGCUUACCAGACACAUUUGGCUCUACGCAUUGGUCAUGAUCGGCACCUCUGUCCAGCCUGGAGGUCCAAAUACCUUGU